UAAUACCUACGCACGGACCAAGGUCCCGCGUGCCUUAAGGAAGAGUCCCAUCGAGGCUAACCCUACCGUAUCUCUGUGGGACCUUGGCAAGAGGCACCCCACGCAUCCACCUUCACUCAGUCCAUAGGAACCGAAGUUCUGGACCUAUCGGCCUACCAACUCUCCGAAUUCGGCCAUCAUGAAGUUUCCACGUUGCAACAAUGGGAUCCGAACCCAGAGAGUCGCUACAACGCUUCCAUCAGUACCGCGGACUCCAUACCGGAAUACUGACUUGGUUCCCCGGGCAGGAUCCGAACCUGCAUCUAUACUUGUCAGCCUCAACCGAAGUUCUGGACCUAUCGGCCUACCAACUCUCCGAAUUCGGCCAUCAUGAAGUUUCCACGUUGCAACAAUGGGAUCCGAACCCAGAGAGUCGCUACAACGCUUCCAUCAGUACCGCGGACUCCAUACCGGAAUACUGACUUGGUUCCCCGGGCAGGAUCCGAACCUGCAUCUAUACUUGUCAGCCUCAACCUGGCCGAAUCUGCGAUUCGAACCUGGGUCUGCCAUGUGACAGCGGCAUGCUCUACCAAUUGAGCUACCGGGGAUUAUGGGACUAUGGGCCAACACUGAGCGGCUGCCGGAUGACCCAGGCACUGACCCCGGUUCGGAUGAGGAGGCCUGCCAGGCGUCUAGGCGGGCUUGUGGCACCGUGCACCAGCAACUCGUUGCAGAAUGGCCCACCAUUGCGAACAGGAACGCAAGGGCAGUUGCCAGCAUGUCUUACAAAGACAGAGAAGCAGUACUGGCGCUUGUGCAGCAACGGCUCCCUAUGCGCCACCUGAGCACGGAGGAGGGCCGAAAAGACCUGCUUUCCUUCUUGCAGUUGCGGCUGUUAAGCAAAGCUGCGGGGGAGGAGGAAGAAGAUGCAGGUGGCGGUGGUGGCAGUGGCUGGGCACCAGUAGCUGGCGGCGCGGCUAGUGGCAGCGCAGCGGCCGCGGCGGCCGUGGUCACAGCUACGACCACAGGGAGUGGGCACAACGGCGGUGGGCGCUCUGGCGCGGCUGAGCACAGCCACCACCAGCACCUUGCCGCUGCUGUCCAUCUCUCGGCGGCAGCUGCUGAGGGCGAUUCCGGCGGCGGUGGUGGCAGUGGCUGGGCACCAGUAGCUGGCGGCGCGGCCAGUGGCAGCGCAGCGGCCGCGGCGGCAGUGGUCACAGCUACGACCACAGGGAGUGGGCACAACGGCGGCGGGCGCUCUGGCGCUGGGGUUGCGGCAGAUGGCGGUGGCGGCGCUUAUGAGUGGCUAGACUGCAUGAAUACGGAUGUGAUGCACUUGCCAACCUUUGAGUCUGGCAGCUUGAUGGGGUUACUAUGUGACGAGGCGGAGCCUACUGGUGAUGCGGCAGCAGCUAUGGCAGCACUUGCUACUGCAGCUGCAGCUGUGGUCCCCCCCGGGACACUUACCAAUGCACAGAUGCUCGCGGCCCUCGCGGCCCUGUCGCAACUCCAAGAGCCCGUACAUGCCGACCAACAGCAGCUGCAGCCGGGACAGGCGCAGCCGGGGCAGGCGCAGCCGGGGCAGGCGCAGCCGGGGCAGGUGCCGCCGGGGCAGGGGCAGGCGCAGCCGGGGCAGGCGGGGCAGCCGGGGCAGGCGCAGCCGGGGCAGGCGCAGCCGGGGCAGGCGCAGCCGGGGCAGGCGCAGCCGGGGCAGGUGCCGCCGGGGCAGGCGCAGGCAGGGCAGGCGCAGGCAGGGCAGGCGCAGCCGGGGCAGGUGCCGCCGGGGCAGGCGCAGCCGGGGCAGGCGCAGCCGGGGCAGGCGCAGCCGGGGCAGGUGCCGCCGGGGCAGGGGCAGGCAGGGCAGGCGCAGGCAGGGCAGGCGCAGCCGGGGCAGGUGCCGCCGGGGCAGGCGCAGCCGGGGCAGGCGCAGCCGGGGCAGGCGCAGCCGGGGCAGGCGCAGCCGGGGCAGGCGCAGCCGGGGCAGGGGCAGGCAGGGCAGGGGCAGGCAGGGCAGGGGCAGGCAGGGCAGCCGCAGCUGCGAUGGCGGCUGCGGCGCCGCUUUGACCGCAGGUACCAUGAGUACUAUGCGGACUUGGGACAGCGCUCCAGCACGCUGCUAGAGAAGCUGCUGGGGUCGCGCAGUACCGUGUCAUUGCCAAAGCAGGGGAUUCUUGAGCAAAACAUUGCUCAGCAGGACGGGUACUGCGCAGACAGCGAAGAAGUCAGCGAUGGAGCACUGGCGGACCACGAAGAUGGCGAGUUUCUGCAUGGCUGUCAGCAAUCGGAGCUCCAGCACGACUUCAAGCAGCUGCAGCGGGACAAGCAGCGCGCCUUCAUUGUUAAGGAGCACAGCCGUGUGACGGGAGACAUAAUCAAGAAGAUACAGGCGCUGACGCUGGUGAGCAGCAACGCCGAUAUGGCCAUGUUCAGCAGUAGCAACAGGUCCACAGCGUAUAAGACGGUCCUCAUCGGCCGUCAUUGGUACGGUAUCAGCAAGCCACACACCGAGGGCCUCACUAGGCUCAUCAAAGUGUUCGCGCGCCACCCGUCUGCUCGUGGAAAGCUGCUGGGGGCAGCAGCGGAUAUCCUGGCGGAGUACGGCAGCGACAGCGAUAAGGGGCCAGGCGAUGGCAGCGAUGAUAGUGACAGUGGCAGUGGCGCCGACCACAGCGGCUUGCGCGGCGGCAGCAGCAGCAGCAACGGCGGUGACGAGCCACGGCGGGGUCAGAAGCGUGCUCGCCAGGUAGCCACGGCGGUGGCUGCGACAGCCAUGCAGGCGGCACACGCGGCAGCAGCGCAGGCACCAGCCACGGCGGCGGCGGCGGCAGCCAUGCAGGCAGCACCCGCGGCAGCGGUGCAAGCACCAGCCACGGCGGCGGCGGCGGCAGCCAUGCAGGCGGCACCCGCGGUAGCGGCGCAGGCACCAGCCACGGCGGCGGCGGCGGCAGCCAUGCAGGCGGCACACGCGGCAGCGGCGCAGGCACCAGCCACGGCGGCGGCGGCGGCGGCGGCGGCGGCGGCCAUGCAGGCGGCACCCGCGGCAGCGGCGCAGGCACCAGCCACGGCGGCGGCGGCGGCGGCGGCGGGAGCCAUGCAGGCGGCACCCGCGGCAGCGGCGCAGGCACCAGCCACGGCGGCGGCGGCGGCAGCCAUGCAGGCGGCACCCGCGGCAGCGGCGCAGGCACCAGCCACGGCGGCGGCGGCGGCAGCCAUGCAGGCGGCACACGCGGCAGCAGCGCAGGCACCAGCCACGGCGGCGGCGGCGGCGGCGGCGGCAGCCAUGCAGGCGGCACCCGCGGCAGCGGCGCAGGCACCAGCCACGGCGGCGGCGGCGGCAGCCAUGCAGGCGGCACACGCGGCACAAGCGGGAUCUUCUGCAGCACCGGCAUCAGCAGCAGCGGCAGCUGCAGCUCCAUCUCGUCGGGUGAAGCUGGACCAGGAUAAGGUGGGUUCGCGGAUGCAUGCACUAGUGCUGUUCCAGACAUGUCUCUAACCGUGUGCCAUUUGCAGCGCCUGGAACUGCAGAUGACCAUGGGCCCAUUCGUAAGCCUGACCAAGGUGAAGGCGAUUGCAGCCUGGCGGCAAGCAAACCCGGACAAGACUGCUGGCCUUUCGGAUCAUCAACUGGGCACGGCCUGGACUGCCGUGCGCGCUGCUGGACGUGCUCGGGGGAAGCGACUCGCGGAGUCAGAGGAGGCCGGCGAUGUGGGGACUGACAUAGCGUCCGUAGAAUCCCGUAUCAGGCAGAAGCUAGCUGCGGGCGAGACGUCGGGCGUUGAAGAUGACCUAAACGAGUUGCGGAUGACGGGGCAGAACGAGCUGUACGCACAACUCUACAACGAAGCUUGUGAGAAGGGCGUGUUUGCUGGACUGGCGUGGUAACUAACGUGGGCGGUUGGCUGCAGUACAAUGUUUGUGGUGGGAUCAAUGCGACUGUACGGCUGUAGGUCAGUGUAGUUGCUGGCCGGGCGUCGGCAGUACGGUAUGCAACGCAGCCGGCGGCUCCAUGGUCGCGGCGUUGCCUGGAGUUGAGCUGCAGCUUUACUCCUCACACGAGUAAUGCAACGGAUUGCCUUGUACGCUUGCCCACAUGUGUAAUACCACUCAAGACGCCAGCUGGCCGGGCGUUGCGUGCUAGUUCUGUCAAUUAGGGGCCGGGCCGCAGGGGGACAUACGCAUCUGCACACGGCGUUGCCUGGAGUUGAGCUGCAGCUUUACUCCUCACACCAUUAAUGCAACGGAUUGCCUUGCACGCUUGCCCACAUGUGUAAUACCACUCAAGACGCCAGCUGGCCGGGCGUUGCGUGCUAGUUCUGUCAAUUAGGGGCCGGGCCGCAGGGGGACAUACGCAUCUGCACACGGCGUUGCCUGGAGUUGAGCUGCAGCUUUACUCCUCACACCAUUAAUGCAACGGAUUGCCUUGUACGCUUGCCCACAUGUGUAAUACCACUCAAGACGCCAGCUGGCCGGGCGUUGCAUGCUAGUUCUGUCAAUUAGGGGCCGGGCCGCAGGGGGACAUACGCAUCUGCACACAGCCGGCGGCUCCAUGGUCGCGGCGUUGCCUGGAGUUGAGCUGCAGCUUUACUCCUCACACGAGUAAUGCAACGGAUUGCCUUGCACGCUUGCCCACAUGUGUAAUACCACUCAAGACGCCAGCUGGCCGGGCGUUGCGUGCUAGUUCUGUCAAUUCGGGGCCGGGCCGCAGGGGGACAUACGCAUCUGCACACAGCCGGCGGCUCCAUGGUCGCGGCGUUGCCUGGAGUUGAGCUGCAGCUUUACUCCUCACACGAUUAAUGCAACGGAUUGCCUUGCACGCUUGCCCACAUGUGUAAUACCACUCAAGACGCCAGCUGGCCGGGCGUUGCAUGCUAGUUCUGUCAAUUAGGGGCCGGGCCGCAGGGGGACAUACGCAUCUGCACACAGCCGGCGGCUCCAUGGUCGCGGCGUUGCCUGGAGUUGAGCUGCAGCUUUACUCCUCACACGAUUAAUGCAACGGAUUGCCUUGCACGCUUGCCCACAUGUGUAAUACCACUCAAGACGCCAGCUGGCCGGGCGUUGCGUGCUAGUUCUGUCAAUUAGGGGCCGGGCCGCAGGGGGACAUACGCAUCUGCACACAGCCGGCGGCUCCAUGGUCGCGGCGUUGCCUGGAGUUGAGCUGCAGCUUUACUCCUCACACGAUUAAUGCAACGGAUUGCCUUGCACGCUUGCCCACAUGUGUAAUACCACUCAAGACGCCAGCUGGCCGGGCGUUGCGUGCUAGUUCUGUCAAUUAGGGGCCGGGCCGCAGGGGGACAUACGCAUCUGCACACAGCCGGCGGCUCCAUGGUCGCGGCGUUGCCUGGAGUUGAGCUGCAGCUUUACUCCUCACACGAUUAAUGCAACGGAUUGCCUUGCACGCUUGCCCACAUGUGUAAUACCACUCAAGACGCCAGCUGGCCGGGCGUUGCGUGCUAGUUCUGUCAAUUAGGGGCCGGGCCGCAGGGGGACAUACGCAUCUGCACACAGCCGGCGGCUCCAUGGUCGCGGCGUUGCCUGGAGUUGAGCUGCAGCUUUACUCCUCACACGAUUAAUGCAACGGAUUGCCUUGCACGCUUGCCCACAUGUGUAAUACCACUCAAGACGCCAGCUGGCCGGGCGUUGCGUGCUAGUUCUGUCAAUUAGGGGCCGGGCCGCAGGGGGACAUACGCAUCUGCACACAGCCGUCAAUCACUGUUUAGCUUAUCUUACCGUCAGUCGACAAUUACGGUGCGGUAUCAACCAUACCACCAAGAAGAAUUAAUGAAUGUCCGAAUGAAUGCAUCAUAAAUAAAUCAUGCCAGUCCCAUUCAUCAGGGAUUUAUGAGGGAUCCGGAAUGCUCGUGUGCUGAAGCUGGGACUUCAGGUCUUGCACUAACGCCAAGUGUUGAUCUAACAGGAACACACUGCCUGCACACUCCUGCCUUUUUGCACGUGCCACACCGAGCUGCACCUGCACCACCUCGAGCCAACGUGCCAAUCGAGCCUUCUCCACCGUCAGAAUUCCUAGCUCUUCACCAGCCCGUGCCCGAUGCACAGCCGCCUCUAGGAAACGGCGGCCGUGGUACAUACGCUGUGCUGCGGUAGUAACACCCGGAGCACGCCAAGGUGGCUGGCUGCCUGGCUGGAACAGGCCGCGCACGUCGCUAUCCGUCAACCUAGCACCGUCUCCACCGUUACCAAACUGCUGCCAAACGUACAUCUCCUCCAGAGUGGCCCGCACCUGCCCACGCUUCCGCUGUGCGCUCUUCCGUGCGGUCUUCGCAGCCUUAUCAGCCGCGCCCGCCUGCCGCAGCUCCAGCUGCUGAAUCUCCAGCACAAGCUCCUCAACGCGGUCUUGGCACCUGUUAUUUGAAUGAUGGCGCCAAAUCGAGUGAACGGUUAACGGCUGGUUAAUAUUUCUAACCCAUGAAGGGACCUAGGUUUAAGGGUCACGAGCACGGGACUCAUGAACCGGCACUGCUUUUACAUGCCAAGACCCGAGCCCCAAAUAUUGAGUCCCACCACUUCCAAACCGCUCACCUGCUAACCUCCCGUUGUUUGAGGCGCGCUAAGGCGGCCGCAAAGUCAGGAAGGAGAGGAGUCUCCGUGCCAGAGGUGAUGGUGACAGCUGACUUGCGCCACUCCGCCGCUGCAGCUGGCCCCAGCUCAAGCUUGAGCUCCGCCUGCGCGAUGGCCUUGGCAGUGCGGGCUACUUGAGCAUCAGUGCUCGCGGCCGUCAAUGUGACGGCCGAUGGCGAUGAUACCACAGCCAACGCUGGAGCUUUGCGUUUCAGCUGUUUCAGCUCAACGUGGUGCAACAGCAGCUCCACGUACUCUACCUGUGGUGUGUGCGCAUAGCGGCAUGGCGUGACGUGGGGGCAUACACCGUGUGCUCGCCUGCUACCUGUUACAAAGACCUGCCGACUCUCCAUUCUCCUUACAACAUCCCAUACACACCGGCUUGGAGUCCUCCUCGUUGUCCACCUUCUUGCCUCGCAGCAGGUUGGCCUGCAUCCACUCCUCGGCUGCUGCCCAGACGUUCGUAAUACCACUGGCGUUGGCAGUUGCGGUUGCCUCCUCCUCGCGGCGUGUGUACUCAUCUGCGGCAAAGGAAGUGCAUACCGGAGCAUGUGCAUGUAAGCGACCUAAGGCUGAAGCGGGGUGCAGAUGUGAGCACCAGUCGUCCCACCGUAUAGCCGCUGCGUGUCCUUGUACUUGGUCUCCAGCAGGCGCACAAUGCGCUGCAACUUGUCCCGCCCGAGCACGGUGAGCAACGCCUCAAUGAAGUCGCGCCGAUGGUGCUUCGUCAUGUAGCGAACAAGGCCAGCAAUUGCCUGUAAGCCAGACCAAGGCGGGCAUGCGCAUCUCAGCACCUGAUCAUCUGACAAGCACCACAGGCCCAGGCGCAGCGCCCCGCACCUUUGUCUGGCUCCACAGUUGCUCCGUCUGCUCGCCAAUGCGCCGCCCCGCGUCCUGCUUGUACAAGCCGCUGUUGCUAAGCUGGCAUGCUAGGUCGUGGCCACUACCGUGCAGCCAGUUGACCAUGAUCCGUAGGCUCUUGGCCUCCUCCGGCAGAUCAGGAUGCGCAGCCACGUACACUCUGGGAAAAGGGGGGGUUGAAAUCCCCGGAAAAACAGGGGGUAGUUCCCCGGAAAAAUCUUCCCCGUAUGCUUUUCGAAGAAAGUAGGAGUUUGUACGGGGAAGUCCUUACGGGGAAGUGCUUACGGGCAAGUGAAGCCCUUUUACGGGAGAGUUCAGCACCCGAACGGGAAAGUUUUGGGAGCUGCUAACACACUUAGGAUCCACACUGUACACCACGCAAUACUGCGUUAUCUACGUUAUCCUUUUACGACACCGGCCACACACCUGCUCCUCGUUGACAAGUCCAUUACGCUCAUGCAACACUACACCAAACCGUAUGAUGUCUGCCUUAUGUGUAUGCGUGCAAACCUUAACGUGCAACAAUGACUAGCGCCAUCACUUGCGUGUCUGCUGGUACAAUGCAUCCGACAACCUUGAUGCCCACCUCCACCGCAGCCGCCACAUCUUCCUAUGACCAAACUCCGUCCUUGGCACCAUCAUGCCCGCCUCCACCCCUUGUGCUGCUGGACCAGCUGCUGCCCAUGCCGGAUCCUUAGUUGCGCCUCCACUGCCUGCUUGUUGGCUGUGUUACAUGGUUGCGCCUGCAUGCACGCGGCCACACAUACAUGUUACAGCUAGCCACAAACGGCAGAGACGACACCUUGCAGCCAAAGUCAGGGAGGCAGCGUAUAAGAGACAAAAGCCCUGUGCACGCAGGGUUGCCAAGGAACCACCUUACGGGCACCUCAGCAUCUCCGUCAUGCUUCACACCGAUUUACCCCACCACCUCCCACCAACACACACAACGACGCACAAAGACUGCGUCUGUGUAUGCCAACAUGUGUUGCGGACACUCACCGUUGCUGGGCACAAUAUUGGAGGUGUAGUGGCAGUCAGCCAGCCGUCUGGGGGACGGGUCCGGAGGGAAGCAGCAGGGGUUGGGUGUGCGAUGGGACAGGGUUGGGUACCAAGGUGUGGCAGGGCAGGGCAGCGGGCGGGUAUGUGACACGGGAUUAAGGUAUCAUGGCAAGGUAGCCACACAUAUAUGUUACUGCUCGUCAUUCCUCUGCCACAAACGGCAGAGACGACACAUUGCAGCCAAGGUCAGGGAGGCAGCGUAUAAGAGGCAAGAGCCCUGUGCACGCAGGGUUGCCAGGGAAUCACCUUCCGGCCACCUCAGCAUCGCUGUCAUGCUUCACACGGAUUACCCCACUACCUCCCACCAACACACACAACGACGCACAAGUACUGCGUCUAUGUAUGCCAACAUGUGUCGCGGACACUCACCGUUGCUGAGCACUAUGUCGGAGGUGUAGUGCCUGUCAGCCAGCCGUCUGGGGGACCGAUCCGUUGGGGAAGCAGCAGGGGUUGGGCGCCAAGGUGUGGCGGGGCAGGGCAGCGGGCGGGUACAUGACACGGGAUCAAGGUAUCGUGGCAAGGUAGCCAUAGAUGCCAACACCUUACAGGCAGGCAGGUAGGCAGCAAACAGUCAUUUGUUGAAGCCCCCCUCCCCCCGCCACACGCACACAUAGCGCGAGGAGGUGGACUUCAGCCACCUAAGCCGCCUAUGGCCCAGCACCUACGACAACUCCCUAAACCCAUCUCAUGAACUCACCCCAAAGAGCUCCUGAAACCGUUCCCAAGAGUGAGAGGUUGAAUCCUGCACAACACACAACACACGCGGGGUUGACGGGGGGCGGGCGGGCGGCACAUCACCGGCCGUUCGUGAGCGGCGUGCGGGUCCGGUGCUGCGACAUCCCGCUGCUGCUCAACCACACGGCCAGUUAACGCAUCCCAUUGUCAUUGCAACCUGUCGACUAACCUGGACGAACGUGUGUUGCCGGUAGUGUUGCAGAGCCAUGUUGGAUGGCGAUGAUGCGGGCGACCGAGAAGACAAACUUUGAAGCAAAGCUGAUACAAACGGACGCUGACUCGUAAACCUUACGUGACAGCUGGCUUCAGCUGACGUCUGAGCAGCGUCGCCGAGCCGGUCAACGAGUCAGCAGCGCGAGAAUUCGCGGCCCCAGUCAGCAAAGUAGCUACCGACAUUUGAGGUAGUCUUAACUUGUGUUCAAAACGCAAAUUAGCGAGGGAGAGCGGAGCAAGGGACAGCGACAUAAGUAAGUGCAACAGCUGCAGAACAGCUGAGACGAAAUGCACGUAUCAAGUAUAAGUAGGUACUAUCUUAUGUAUGCUACAAUAUUUACGUAAGUUAACACGCUUACACGCUUGUUGCUUGAAGUCAGGCUCGCGAAACCCCAUGCAGAUGCUCGCCGGUCGCCUUCCCCCCCCCCCCCCCCCGCCCCGCCCCCCCGCCCCGUUUCCAGUCCAUCAGCCUCUGCCGACUUUCCAAAUCCUCCCUGCCUACAUGCCUGUUCUCUGGGGUUGGGUGUGGAUGUGACAUUGGUGCCGCAAUGCCGCACCUUGUCCUACACCAGGCCCCGCCCCCCACCACCACCACCACCAACACACACACACACACACACACACACACACACACACACACACACACACACACACACACACACACACACACACACACACACACACACACACACACACACACACACACACACACACACACACACACACACACACACACACACACACACACACACACACACACACACACACACACACACACACACACACACACACACACACACACACACACACACACACACAUGCGCGUUUGUUUGCCAGCUGUUUGCGCCUGACAACUCAGGUCACCGGCUGCACCAGCCACACAACCCAGACAGGAAAGAGUUCCGGUGAACCUCCGUGCAGUUCCGGGUUGGGUUGAAGUGGGGUGGGAUGGGGUCGACUGCGUGCAUUAUGGAACAAACCCUAAGGGCCUUGAUGAGCUUGAAAUUAAGGGAGCCUGCACAUAUGCGAGCACAAAUCCGCCAGCAGCAGAGACGUGGGGGUUCCGGGGAACCCCGGCUACGGGGAAGUUUUGCCCCCCUUCCGGGAAAGUUUUGGCCCCUUACGGGAAAGUUCAGCAUUUUUCCGGGAACGGAUUUUUUUCCGGGGAAGACCUUUUCCCAGAGUGGUAUUGCUGCCAUGUGCUGCUGAGCCGGCAACCAAAAUCUAUGUAGACGUCAGCUAGAUCCUGGCGCUGCGUCACGAGGUGGUCUAGCAUGAGCAGGUAAUAAGCAAACUGCUCUGGGGUGCGCAGGUCGCAGAAAACUUCCCUAACCGGCAGCCCGUGCAUGCAGACUGCCCCGACCACACCAUGCACGUCGCAUGCCCCGGUUGCCGCAGAGUCCGCGCGAGCACAGUGCAGUGACGUCUGGCAUUCGCACGCACCCUCACUGCGCGCAUCGGCCGCUGCAUUGCUGGGCAAGUCCUUCACUACCGCCUGCAGAUUGAGCUGUCCCGCCUCGAAGAGCUGCUGCACCUCCGCAUCCACGGCACCGAAGUGGCCAGACAGCUGCGGAGGAAUGCCCGAGCUGGCAAUGCCACAGCUGGCGAAAUGCCCCAGCUUCGUGACUGCAUCUGCUGCUACUCCAAGGCGGUAGGGGUGGGCGGUAUCUGUGUGGUGGGAGGCAACGGAAACACCUGAACAAGUAGCAGCAAGGCUAACCUAUGGCUAACCGGAAUAACCAGGAAUAGUGUCACCCGCAGCAUCGUUGGCCACCCACUUGCGGUUGCAGAGCAGACGGGGCAUCCGCUGAACGGGCCCUGGUCCAGGCCCUCCACGCCCAGCGCCCCAAAGCUGUCGUGAUUGUGAGACGCCCGCAAGUGGCCGAAAAACGAGCCCAGGUACUGGCGGUCGUCCAAGCCCGUCCCGCUGAACUCCGCCAGGAAUUCUGUGAAGUCUGUAUCCAGAGGGCAGGUAUCAGCACAUAUGUACCUGAGCCUCGAGCUGGCUAACAUCGGCGAAUCCAACCGUGCACACACAUGGUUGCCCCUGCUUGCCGCCCGCACUAACCUGAUGCAGAAAGGCCUGCACGAAGCCCGAGCCACGCGUAGGCGUUGUGUACCUCCAGAUCAUACAGCGUGUCAUACUCCGUGGGCGUGCUGGGAAAGCACCCGGCAGCAAUUGCGUCCGGCGUAAAAGCGGCCCCACAGCUGCACGUAACCGUCGGCACGCUCACCACUCCGCUGCACUGCAGGCCAAUGUACCGCACGUUGUUGUACGUGGUGCACGACGUAGCUGACGUUGUGCACGCGUGCGCUGCCUGCCACGACGCCGCAAGCGCAUCGAAGCGCUGUUGCGCCUGCUCUAAUAAGAGCUUCCGUCGCAACAACCGCUGCUCGUUUAAUGCAGCCGCUUGCUGCAUGAAAGUGAUGCGCAUCUGCUCUGCGUAUUUUGCCCAGGCAGCCUCAAGGCGCUCCUGCCGCUCAGUCCAUGGCACAUGCUUGCGGGAUCCAGGCCCCCCUGAAUCAAACUGUGCCUGCUGAUCUCCUGAGGACUCCCCACGAGCUGCAGCUGACCGUGCCCUAGGCUUCGGCAGCCGGGGACCCGGUUCGGCGGCAUCCCGCUCGCAGCGCUCUGAAGGUACUUUGCGCUGAGGCUUUUCUGGAGGCGGGGCGGUUGACGAACCAUAUGUUGUUAAUUUAUCAGACCGGUGGUGUUUAGACAUUGCAGUAAGGAACCGGCCUGCCGAAGCGGAUAUGAGCUGUUGUAAGAAAGGCCUUGUAUGCAGGACCGGAAUCGGACAGGCAUAAGGUAGCAAGCAGCAGGCGGGCGUUGCAGAGGGGAGUGAGGGGGCCGCGCGCUGUGUGUAUGGCACGCAACGCGAGUGUGUUGGCGAGUGAUACUAGAACUGCAGAAUGGCAGGUGAUACUAGAACUGCAGAAUGGUUGUAAAACACAACAGCAUAACAACCCGGCGAAUGUUUUCGCCCUCUUGUGGCCCGCUUUUUCGCGUGACUGGACAACCAGAAACGGCCAUACACAAAAGACAAGACGCGCAGUAAUCCUAAGCUGUCUCCUUGCAGUAUUACGUGUCAUUUUUGCUGAUAAAAUCAGAAAGCGAGGCGGAGCGUGGUCGGGGUGGGCGAGCACCUUCGGCACGUCAGAGAAAGCUCGACAAGACAGCGCAAAUUGCUUCUAAACUUUGUGCUUGAGCUUCUAUUAUACAUUUGGAUGGUUGUUGCUGCGGCCGCGCAGGUUUUCGCUGCUCGCCGUGCCAGGAUUUCCGGAGCCGGCUCCAGUCCGCCCCCGCUGGCCUGGAGCCCGUCCACACCCCAACCGUCCCCAAACGCGCCGCGAGUCCCCAAACAAGCUUAACAUCACAUAUCUAUAAACAUUUGAGGCUGUUGAACGGGCUGUGAGGGCUUGCGGCUGAUAGGUGCCGCUUCCGCGCCAUCCGAUGCACUGCAGGCUAAAAUGCUAGCGCGCCAGGGUGGGAUACGUGCGCCCGAUCACUAAUGGUGACAAGUAUGUAUAACGUUGUGGUAGUGUGGCGGUCGGGCAACGAGUACACGUCCGCAGAAGCUUGUUUGGGCGGAGCCGGCUCCCGGCCGCGCCCUCUGGCCGGGGGGCUGCCGUCGCCCAGACAAGAGCCCUGCGUGCGCUUCUGCCCGCCAAGCAGUAUUUUCUGGCAACAUUCACUGGUAUAAUGCCACCAGUGUGCUGCAGACUAGUUCUGCGCUUGGCCGGAGAGAGCUCCGGGCGCAGCCUCGCUGUUGGUCAAACCAGCAGCAAGUGCGCCCUGAGCGCUCGGCCACAGGGCAGCAUCUACAUUAUUUGAUGAUACGCGUGGCAUUGUGGAAGUGGGAUUGGUAUAGAGCCGGAGGCGAGGCCCAAGCAGCGCCAGCGAGAACAAGACAACUGCUGACUGCUGUAAUGGAUGCAUAGACAAACGUGCGUCAGCACAGACUAGUACUGUCACAUGUAACACUUCAACUAUUGUCAAGGCGCCUGCCUCGUCCACCCUGCAUGAGGUGACCCUGGAACCAACCCCCGCGCUCCGGCGCUCGGACCUUGGCCUCGCUUACAGUCCUGCGCUACUGUAAAACCGUAAAACAUCUAGGUUUGACUUUAUUUUAUAGAAUGCAUUCAUGGCCUUCCCUGAGGAGUUUUCUGAAGAAGUCAUAGACGAAGAAGAAGUGCCUACUACAUCGUUAGGUUCAGAGUAUUUGCCAGGUAGUGCUGAUCAGGAAGAGGAGGAGGAGGAGGAGGAGGAGGAGGAGGAGACUUCGGAGGGGAAACAAGGCACUGGAGAACUGGAGCGGCCCAGCGAAGUCGUCGCAGCUCAACCCGAGGUGCACUUUAACAAUGGCGAAGCUACCGGUAAGCUUCUGUGUGCAAUCGGCUUUUUACAUUCGCGGCCAACCCCCGAUGCCCGACCUGAACUCUCAACAGCGCGCGCGGAAGCGGACUGCCAUGCGGAGCAACGCGGUCAAGACGAGUCACACGGGGAUGAAGGCAUGGGUGAGGUUACUGGGACUAUGGCAGUGCGCAUUUUUGACUUGUUUAACUUCUGCCACCUCAUACCUCGACCGCAGCGACGGGAGCGAUGGCAGAACCGCCUCCUGGUGGGCCGCUUCCCCACCAGCACGCGGAUGGCGAUGACCAAGAUAUGGAAGAUGAAGGAGCGGGUGAGGCAUGAGAUGGCAGCUUGGCAAAUGCGCGCGUGCCACACACAGAUGCUGAGCUUCCGAUUCUUGCCCCUCGUGAUCCUCACACACAGGCACGACGUCUCAAUGGCUGCAAAGCCUGCUGUCCUUCUUUGAACUCCUGAUGCAGGCGCCCCAAAGGCAGCAGAGGCGGAUAACGGCAGAGAUCGAAGGGCAGCUACAGCCGGAGCAGAUUAGAGCCCUGGCGCUCUUAAGCGACAAGCUGCAGCAGCUGCGCCCACGUGUGCGCACCUGCCAGCCUGCGCCUGCCAGGCAGUCUGAGCCGGUGACGGCGGCGGUGGUAGCGGACACGUCAGAGGCCGCAGGGUUGAGCAGAGGCGCUUCAGAAACGGGCGGAGAUGAGGCUGCCGCCAUGCACCCAGGCGGAGGCGACGGGCCCAGCAGCAGGGGCGGGGGGAGUGGCCACGCAGCAGCAGCAGCAGCUCGGACCAAAUACCCGCAACGCACGGACCAGCAGAAGCGGCACCGCUCAGCUGAGGAGUACGUGGAGCAUACCUGGGAUCGUUUGGCUACACAGCAUGACAAGCACGUGGCGCGGGGGAAAGGGGAGCUGGCGACCUUGGGCUUGGCUGCGGAUGCAGAACAUGGUGUGAAAUCGUACACGACGCACGCAAUGCCCAUCCGGAUUUUAUUUGAUCUGCGCAGCAUCACCGUCCGCGAGCUCUACGAGAUGUAUGAGCGCGCGGGGCAACUUGACACGACGACCGUGAUGGACGUGAUCGAGCACAUUAUGGUGACGGCCAUUCAGAACGACACCCGCCCCGUCCAAGGUGAAGGUAAGCGGCACGGACAGAGGCUGGGAAUGAGGGAGCCAAGGAUCGUGGGAGUAAAGUGAGCGAGGGGGGAGCAUGGUUGCCUCGCACUUAAUGCCGCACCCGUGUAAUUCCCGUCGUGGUCUUGUGGGCUCAGAGCUCAGCGAGGCGCAGCUUCUGCCAGCGCUGAAACUUCAGACCAGCACCUGGAACAAGGAGUCGGCGCGCUGGCUUGGAACGUCCCUCUACAACAUGCUAAAGACGGUGCGGGAGCGCCUGACUGAGAAGUUGAAGGUGCGUUUGGCAUUGUACAGUAUAGUUGCCCGGUAGAGAUUAUGAGCGCUCCUCCACGGAUGUCUGUGCGCCCUCACUUCGUUCCUUCCGCCUUUGCAUGCAUGCAGGUGGGGCUGCCGGCGCCGCCAACAGUCGCAGCAGUGCCGCAGGCGUCCCCGGAGGCGGCGCCGGCUACGGACAGCGGCACGGCGGGCUUGGAGCUGGAGGCAGGCGGCACUGCGGCAGCCGCGGCGGCGGCGGUGGGCGUGGACGCCCCCACUGAUGGCGCGAGAGCCGAGCUGCAGGUACGUGAGGCUGCUUUGGCUGUUGAGGGCUGCUGCUGGUGUGCAUGAAGGCACUUGCGGUGUGUUAGGUCUUCCUACCUGUGGCUGUGGCAUGCAUGCGGCCCAGCGCCACGUGCACCCUUCAGUUCUCCGGACGUCUGUGCACCCUCACUUCGUUCCUUUCGCCUUUGCAUGCAUGCAGGUGGGGCUGCCGGCGCCGCCAACAGCCGCAGCAGUGCCGCAGGCGUCCCCGGAGGCGGCGCCGGCUACGGACAGCGGCACGGCGGGCUUGGAGCUGGAGGCAGGCGGCAUUGCGGCAGCCGCGGCGGCGGCGGUGGGCGUGGACGCCCCCACUGACGGCGCGAGAGCCGAGCUGCAGGUACGUGAGGCUGCUUUGGCUGUUGAGGGCUGCUGCUGGUGUGCAUGAAGGCACUUGCGGUGUGUUAGGUCUUCCUACCUGUGGCUGUGGCAUGCAUGCGGCCCAGCGCCACGUGCACCCUUCAGUUCUCCGGACGUCUGUGCACCCUCACUUCGUUCCUUCCGCCUUUGCAUGCAUGCAGGUGGGGCUGCCGGCGCCGCCAACAGCCGCAGCAGUGCCGCAGGCGUCCCCGGAGGCGGCGCCGGCUACGGACAGCGGCACGGCGGGCUUGGAGCUGGAGGCAGGCGGCACUGCGGCAGCCGCGGCGGCGGCGGUGGGCGUGGACGCCCCCACUGACGGCGCGCUAACCAUGCAGCGCGUGGAUGUGUUCAGGACCGCCCUAGCGUCUCUGGACACCAAGAUGCGUCGAGGGUCCCGCAGUAUCCAUGCUGAAAAGUGGAGGCAAGAGGUGCUGCCAUUGCUCUUUGAGAUCUACAUCCGCCGGGUGUUUUUGAAGGGCCUGCUGUGGGACUUUCUGCAUUACUCGGCGACAAUCAGUUCGAAUGUGCCACCCGGCUCCCGGGACAAGCUCCCCAGCCUUCGCCACAUGAGCAACCUAGUGAUCAUGCGAGGGCACACUCGUGGGUCGGCACUGGAGGCCGUUCGGCGUGCCAACCCUGGCUUGAUGAAGGACUGGGUGAAAGCCGCCAACGCAGGCGGCGGCCGCAGGCGGCAUGCAGCCGAGGAGGACCUGGACGGCGACGACGGCGGUGUGGGCCACGACGGCGAGGGCCGGGGCGGCGAGGCCCACGCUACCCACGCCGAGGAGGAUGACCAGCCGCCGCAGACCACGGGCCGGCGAAAACGCCGCGGUGGCGGGGCAGCUGCUGCGGCGGGGCGAGGCCGCAGAACCAGCAGGCGGGGCCGCGGCAUUCAGGGCGGCGGAGACGGCGACGGUGGCGAGCUGGAGCCUGGCCCUGGCGACGUGUCGGCCGACGCCUCCGGUGACGGCAUCGGCGGCGAGGCCCACGCUACCCACGCUGAGGAGGAUGACCAGCCGCCGCAGACCACGGGCCGGCGAAAACGCCGCGGUGGCGGGGCAGCUGCUGCGGCGGGGCGAGGCCGCAGAACCAGCAGGCGGGGCCGCGGCAUUCAGGGCGGCGGAGACGGCGACGGUGGCGAGCUGGAGCCUGGCCCUGGCGACGUGUCGGCCGACGCCUCCGGUGACGGCAUCGGCGGCGAGGCCCACGCUACCCACGCUGAGGAGGAUGACCAGCCGCCGCAGACCACGGGCCGGCGAAAACGCCGCGGUGGCGGGGCAGCUGCUGCGGCGGGGCGAGGCCGCAGAACCAGCAGGCGGGGCCGCGGCAUUCAGGGCGGCGGAGACGGCGGCGGUGGCGAGCUGGAGCCUGGCCCUGGCGACGUGUCGGCGGACGCCUCUGGUGACGGCAUCGGCGGCGAGGCCCACGCUACCCACGCCGAGGAGGAUGACCAGCCGCCGCCGACCACGGGCCGGCGAAAACGCCGCGGUGGCGGGGCAGCUGCUGCGGCGGGGCGAGGCCGCAGAACCAGCAGGCGGGGCCGCGGCAUUCAGGGCGGCGGAGACGGCGGCGGUGGCGAGCUGGAGCCUGGCCCUGGCGACGUCGGCUGCGACGCCCACACUACCCACGCCGAGGAGGAUGAGCAGCCGCUGCGGACCAUGGCAGCUGAUGAGGCGGGGCGAGGCCCCAGCACCAGCAGGCCGGGCCGCGGCAUUCAGGGCGGUGGAGACGGCGGCGGUGGCGAGCUGGAGCCUGGCCCUGGCGACGUCGGCUGCGAGGCCCACACUACCCACGCCGAGGAGGAUGAGCAGCCGCUGCGGACCAUGGCAGCUGAUGAGGCGGGGCGAGGCCCCAGCACCAGCAGGCCGGGCCGCGGCAUUCAGGGCGGUGGAGACGGCGGCGGUGGCGAGCUGGAGCCUGGCCCUGGCGACGUGUCGGCGGACGCCUCCGGUGAUGGCAUCGGCGGCGGCGGUGGUGGUGGCGAGCCGGGCUCUGGCCCUGGCGACAUGUCGGAUGCUGAGCCCCAGGCUGAGGCCGUCAUCAUGAGGGGUACCGCCAUGGCUGUACGAGUUCCGCAGGUGCGUUGGCUUCAUGUGCCAGCUUAUUCCCCUGACUUCAGCCCCUAUCCCUCUUCCUCCUUUCCUUACACCCUACAUCCAUGCCUUGACACGCAGGCGCUGAAGCGUCCAGCUGGUGUGACAAAGGCCGGGCGUAAAUGGUUCAAGGCGGAUGUCAACAUCCACGCGCACUUGGUACGAGAGCAGUGGCAACCUGCAGCGCAGCCUGGGGCUGCAGGCACAGGGACAUGCCUGCAGUACUGCAAAUACGUGUGGUCGUUGGGCCCGUACGCCGAGGACAAGCUGCCUAAGGAGCCCUUGCCUAAAACGCGGAAGUACUGGCGGACACGCUCGCAGCCACGCUUGCAGCAGCACUCGCAGCAGCACGUGCAGCAGCACUCAGAGCAGCACUCAGAGCAGCACUCGGAGCAGCCUGGACCCUCCAUGUCUACAGCGUCGGCCUCCGAGCAGCAGUCACCCAGUGUUCACAAGUACCCCACGCGGCUCAAGCGGAAGGCCAACACUCUGGCCCCCAUCUUGGAGGAAGUAAGCCAGCCGACACCGGACCGCAACACCAGCCCAAGACGCAAGGUAUGCAGGGCUGUGCAUCCGUUGCUUCUUCCAUGUUCGUUGGCCACUACGUGAUUAACUGUAUUACCGUAGGCAAAGGAUGGCACAACCAACAACGGCACCAAUGGGGCCAGCGGCACUGGUGACACCAUGAUGAACGGUCACGAGACGUGGGAGCACAACAAGAGGCUGGCGGUGCUGGCGCAGCGCCUGGCGGACCCCGAGGACCUGGAGCCAUCCCGCAAGCGCCACAAGAGCCCUACGCCGCAGGAGUAUCUGCACAUGCAGUUCGGCGUGAGUAGGGGCCUGUGCAAGCAUGCGGGGGUGCAUUGGUAGCAGACGUGGUAUUGGCUGUACUGUUACAAUUGCACCGCGUUCACCUCAACCACGUCUUCACCACAGAGCUACGGCGCAUUCCUGGAGCAAAAGUAUGGUGGUGGGGUCGACGAUGAGGACAACGCACCGCUGCCCGACUACGAGCCGCCUGUGUUCAGAGAGAGUGAGACAGGGACGAAAGCAACCAUAGGGGCUCCACUUUCGAUCUUUGGUGAUGCGGGUUACGCAGUUGUUCUCGUAUCCAAUUCGCAGACUUGAGCGAGGCAGAGGCGGCGGAAUUGGACGCGACGCGGCCGGCCAGGCUGGCGAUAGCAAACGCUGCGCGCCUCAGGGCGGGCGAGGCAGGUGAGCGCAGUGGGCGGCGCCUGUCGGCGGCAGCGGCCGUGGUGCGGGUAUGCUGUGGCCACUCGUGGAGGGCCAGCGUGCAGCACACUCAGGUCAUGUCUUGAGCUUUGCACAGUUUGCUUGCGAUGCGAGGGGCGGCCACCCGUGUGCUUGGGCUUGAUUCAGUGCCCUCCCGCUCGCCCACCGUGCAGGCGCCGGCACCAGCUGCGCGCCAACCUCUGCACCCUCAUCGGCUACCGUGUCGGCUGCACAACUGGCUGUGGCGGCGGCGGCGGGUGGGGCUGCAGCGCCGCGCGCCCGGAGCGCGGGCGGGACGAUCAGGGCAGGUGCGGACAGUGGGCGGCUAGUUGUUGUGGCGACGGUGCGGGUAUGCCGUCGCGAAGAGUGAAGGGCCAGCGUGCAGCACAUUCAGGACAUGUCUUUGGCUCUGCGCAAUGCCUUGCGAUCCGGUGGGCGGCCGCCCGUGUGCUUGCACUUAAGUCAGCGCCCUCCCGCUCUCCCACUGCGCAGGCAGCGGCAGCGGCGCGCCCACACCAGCGCCUGUGCAGGCGGCGCCGCCGGCGGCGGGUGGGGCUGCCGCGCCGCGCGCCCGGAGCGCGGGCGGGGUGGGCGGAGCAGGUGCGGACAGUGGACGGCUAGUUGUUGUGGCGACGGUGCGGGUAUGCCGUCGCCAAGGUGAAGGGCCAGCGUGCGGCACACUCAGGACAUGCCUUGAGCUUUGCGCACGUGCUUGCGAUCCGAGGGGCGGCCGCCCGUGUGCUUGCACUUGAGUCAGCGCCCGCCCGCUCUCCCACCGCGCAGGCAGCGGCACCAGCUGCGCGCCAACCUCUGCACCCUCAGCGGCUACGGUGUCGGCUGCACAACUGGCGGUGGCGGCGACGAUGGCUAAGGCGGCGGAACCGCGCGAUGGGAGCGCGGGCGGGACGAUCAGGGCAGGUGCGGACAGUGGGCGGCUAGUUGUUGUGGCAGCGGUGCGGGUAUGCCGCCGCCAAGAGUGAAAGGCCAGCGUGCGGCACACUCAGGACAUGCCUUAAGCUUAGCGCACGUGCAUGCGAUCCGAGGGGCGGCCGCCCGUGUGCUUGGGCUUGACUCAGUGCCCUCCCGCUCGCCCACCGCGCAGGCAGCGGCACCAACUGCGCGCCAACCUCUGCACCCUCAGCGGCUACGGUGUCGGCUGCACAACUGGCGGUGGCGGCGGAGGCGGCUGGGGCUGCAGCGCUGGGCGCUGGGAGCGCGGGCGGGACGAUCAGGGCAGGUGCGGACAGUGGACGGCUAGUUGUUGUGGCGACGGUGCGGGUAUGCCGUCGCCAAGAGUGAAGUGCCAGCGUGCGGCACACUCAGGACAUGCCCUAAGCUUUGCGCACGUGCUUGCGAUCCGAGGGGCGGCCGCCCGUGUGCUUGCACUUGAGUCAGCGCCCUCCCGCUCUCCCACCGCGCAGGCAGCGGCACCAGCUGCGCGCAAACCUCUGCACCCUCAGCGGCUACGGUGUCGGCUGCACAACUGGCGGUGGCGGCGGCGGCGGCUGGGGCUGCAGCGCUGGGCGCUGGGAGCGCGGGCGGGACGGUCAGGGCAGGUGCGGACAGUGGGCGGCUAGUUGUUGUGGCAGCGGUGCGGGUAUGCCGCCGCCAAGAGUGAAAGGCCAGCGUGCGGCACACUCAGGACAUGCCCUAAGCUUUGCGCACGUGCAUGCGAUCCGAGGGGCGGCCGCCCGUGUGCUUGGGCUUGACUCAGUGCCCUCCCGCUCGCCCACCGCGCAGGCAGCGGCAUCAGCUGCGCGCCAACCUCUGCACCCUCAGCGGCUACGGUGUCGGCUGCACAACUGGCGGUGGCGGCGGAGGCGGCUGGGGCUGCAGCGCUGGGCGCUGGGAGCGCGGGCGGGACGAUCAGGGCAGGUGCGGACAGUGGACGGCUAGUUGUUUUGGCGACGGUGCGGGUAUGCCGUCGCCAAGAGUGAAGUGCCAGCGUGCGGCACACUCAGGACAUGCCUUGAGCUUUGCGCACGUGCUUGCGAUCCGAGGGGCGGCCGCCCGUGUGCUUGCACUUGAGUCAGCGCCCUCCCGCUCUCCCACCGCGCAGGCAGCGGCACCAGCUGCGCGCCAACCUCUGCACCCUCAGCGGCUACGGUGUCGGCUGCACAACUGGCGGUGGCGGCGACGAUGGCUAAGGCGGCGGAACCGCGCGCUGGGAGCGCGGGCGGGACGAUCAGGGCAGGUGCGGACAGUGGGCGGCUAGUUGUUGUGGCAGCGGUGCGGGUAUGCCGCCGCCAAGAGUGAAAGGCCAGCGUGCGGCACACUCAGGACAUGCCUUAAGCUUUGCGCACGUGCAUGCAAUCCGAGGGGCGGCCGCCCGUGUGCUUGCACUUGACUCAGUGCCCUCCCGCUCGCCCACCGCGCAGGCAGCGGCAUCAGCUGCGCGCCAACCUCUGCACCCUCAGCGGCUACGGUGUCGGCUGCACAACUGGCGGUGGCGGCGGCGGCGGCUGGGGCUGCAGCGCUGGGCGCUGGGAGCGCGGGCGGGACGAUCAGGGCAGGUGCGGACAGUGGGCGGCUAGUUGUUGUGGCAGCGGUGCGGGUAUGCCGUCGCCAAGUGUGGAGGGCCAGCGUGCGGCACACUCAGGACAUGCCUUUAGCUUUGCGCACGUGCAUGCGAUCCGAGGGGCGGCCGCCCGUGUGCUUGGGCUUGACUCAGUGCCCUCCCGCUCGCCCGCCGCGCAGGCAGCGGCACCAACUGCGCGCCAACCUCUGCACCCUCAGCGGCUACGGUGUCGGCUGCACAACUGGCGGUGGCGGCGGAGGCGGCUUGGGCUGCAGCGCUGGGCGCUGGGAGCGCGGGCGGGACGAUCAGGGCAGGUGCGGACAGUGGGCGGCUAGUUGUUGUGGCAGCGGUGCGGGUAUGCCGCCGCCAAGAGUGAAAGGCCAGCGUGCGGCACACUCAGGACAUGCCUUAAGGUUUGCGCACGUGCAUGCGAUCCGAGGGGCGGCCGCCCGUGUGCUUGGGCUUGACUCAGUGCCCUCCCGCUCUCCCACCGCGCAGGCAGCGGCAGCGGCGCGCCAACCUCUGCACCCUUAGCGGCUACGGUGUCGGCUGCACAACUGGCGGAGGCAGCGGAGGCGGCUGGGGCUGCAGCGCUGCACGUGCGGGCGGCAGCGGCGGCGGCCGCGGCGCUGGCAGCGGCGGCGGCUGCAGGGCCGCACACGGUCCUUGACGGCAGAGGCGGGGUUUUGGGCCCCCGAUGGCGCUUGAUUGGCCUGCUGGUGCCUGUGGAACCUCUGGCAGAUGAGGUUCUAAUUGCUGCCAACGGCGGAAUGUCGGAGACAGUCCUGGCGGAGGCCCAUCCCCCGGAGUCAAGGUCGUUCUGGCUUCAGAACCUGUUUCGGCCUGGAGCACGCCUAGAUGAGGUGCGCUGUGGCUGUACAAGUCAGCACGAUGCUGUUGUGUGCUCGGCUGCUAACUCUGCUUGCGUGUGCAGGUUAUGAUCACCGACAAACAGGUCACGCUACAACGGCAGGAAGUCCAGAAGUUCGCAAAAGGAUCCUCGCUUGGCGAUAAUGUCAUGUGCCGCUUCAUUCACGGCGCACAGGUACUGUUUCGUUGGGGUUCUCAUUUGAAGUCAUGGUGACGGACCCCCAUUCUCCUUCAUUCAGGCCCGCGACACGCGGCUGCGUGCGGACAAAGACGCAGCUGCUGCGGCACGGGCAGCGGCCGAGGCAUCGGCAGCUGCCGCGGGAGCCCCAGUCAAGGACGUGUACCUACCGCAAUGCCACUUUCUGUACACGUACUUCUACAACCGGCUGUAUGCGGUACGACGUUUUGCAUCCAGGAGUGUAGUCAUCGCCCUCUAACCUGUACUUACUUCUGCAGGAUGAGGGCAAGUACUGCUACGACAACGUGAAAAAGUGGACGACACCAAAAAGGCUCAAGGUGGCCGGGCAGGUGUGUCGAAGAGUCUCAGAUGACACGCAUGCAUCUCCUCACUCCUUGCUACUCGCAGUACACCCCCGACAUGAGCAUCUUGCGGCUGGACCGCAUCUUCGUCCCCGUGCACCACGGCAUGCACUACACGUGUGCCGAGGUGGACCUGCGGGCACACGAGCUGCGGUACUAUGACCCACUCAUGCGCGUGGUAAGUGACAGUCACGUGCCAGUAUUUGCUGCGUGUGCUUCGUUAAGCCAUGGUUUCAUUCAGGUACCUCUGAAAAAGAAGGACGCCAAGGACGCCGAGGAGGACGCCAAGGUCGCCGAUGACGCCGCAUGGGCACUGGGAGUCGAGGUGCUGGGGAAUCUGGCGCAGUGGGUGGAGGACGAGGCCAAGGACAAGCUGGGCGUGGAUCUGGAGGACGCGGACGACCAACGGUACGUAUCUUUGCUUGAGAUGCUGUGGGAGGGGUGAGGAGGGCAGGGAGGAGGGCUGUGCGUGCGUGUCCAUGUGGGUCAGUGCGGGUGCACGGAACACACGUGGCACUGCAUGACGUAUGUAGUUCGUGCCUGGUUACGGUAAACUCACAGGUGGCGAGCCACAGAGUGGCAGCGUACGUAUCUGGUGGCGCCACGGCAGAGAGACGGGACAAACGACUGCGGCAUCUUCGCCAUGAUGUACAUGAUGCGCCGCAGCGCCGGCCGGCCGCUGGACUUUGGCGAGGCGGACAUGGACAGGUUGCGUGUGGAGCUGGCCUACAUGCUGUGGCAGGGAGCUGUCCUGUAGCGGCGGUCAAAUAGGAGAGAAGCGGGCAACGGUGUAUUUGGACAGUGGCUGGAAAGUUUGUAAGGGGGGUCGCUUAGGUGCACACGGUUUACAAGUUUACUGAGUGCAUGAUUUGCAUGGCGGCACGGAAAUACAGACUUCACAGGUUUUGCCACAUAAGCUGGGAGAUUUAAGUUAUGAGCGGGCGGCGGGCUUGGGAGACUGAAGUGCAGUUGCCGGUGCAAACCAAUCGCUCCACGGCUCGACAGGGCGUGAACUCCACAAGUGAUUCAGUGUUAGGCUCGUUCCGUGUAGAUUCACACGAAAGCGCCAGAACACGCACGGCACAGCAGCGAUGCCAAGCGACUGGGGAGUGGGUGAGGGAAGGAGUGUGUCAGGUGGGAGGGCGUGAACUCCACAAGUGAUUAAGUGUUAGGCUCGUUCCGUGCAGAUUCACACGAAAGCGCCAGAACACGCACGGCGCAGCAGCGAUGCCAAGCGAUUGGGGAGUGGGUGAGGGAAGGAGUGUGUCAGGUGGGAGGGCGUGAACUCCACAAGUGAUUAAGUGUCAGGCGCGUUCCGUGCAGAUUCACACGAAAGCGCCAGAACACGCACGGCACAGCAGCGAUGCCAAGCGACUGGGGAGUGGGUGAGGGAAGGAGUGUGUCAGGUGGGAGGGCGUGAACUCCACAAGUGAUUAAGUGUUAGGCUCGUUCCGUGCAGAUUCACACGAAAGCGCCAGAACACGCACGGCGCAGCAGCGAUGCCAAGCGAUUGGGGAGUGGGUGAGGGAAGGAGUGUGUCAGGUGGGAGGGCGUGAACUCCACAAGUGAUUAAGUGUUAGGCGCGUUCCGUGCAGAUUCACACGAAAGCGCCAGAACACGCACGGCACAGCAGCGAUGCCAAGCGACUGGGGAGUGGGUGAGGGAAGGAGUGUGUCAGGUGGGAGGGCGUGAACUCCACAAGUGAUUAAGUGUUAGGCUCGUUCCGUGUAGAUUCACACGAAAGCGCCAGAACACGCACGGCACAGCAGCGAUGCCAAGCGACUGGGGAGUGGGUGAGGGAAGGAGUGUGUCAGGUGGGAGGGCGUGAACUCCACAAGUGAUUAAGUGUUAGGCUCGUUCCGUGCAGAUUCACACGAAAGCGCCAGAACACGCACGGCGCAGCAGCGAUGCCAAGCGAUUGGGGAGUGGGUGAGGGAAGGAGUGUGUCAGGUGGGAGGGCGUGAACUCCACAAGUGAUUAAGUGUCAGGCGCGUUCCGUGCAGAUUCACACGAAAGCGCCAGAACACGCACGGCACAGCAGCGAUGCCAAGCGACUGGGGAGUGGGUGAGGGAAGGAGUGUGUCAGGUGGGAGGGCGUGAACUCCACAAGUGAUUAAGUGUUAGGCUCGUUCCGUGCAGAUUCACACGAAAGCGCCAGAACACGCACGGCGCAGCAGCGAUGCCAAGCGAUUGGGGAGUGGGUGAGGGAAGGAGUGUGUCAGGUGGGAGGGCGUGAACUCCACAAGUGAUUAAGUGUCAGGCGCGUUCCGUGCAGAUUCACACGAAAGCGCCAGAACACGCACGGCACAGCAGCGAUGCCAAGCGACUGGGGAGUGGGUGAGGGAAGGAGUGUGUCAGGUGGGAGGGCGUGAACUCCACAAGUGAUUAAGUGUUAGGCUCGUUCCGUGCAGAUUCACACGAAAGCGCCAGAACACGCACGGCGCAGCAGCGAUGCCAAGCGAUUGGGGAGUGGGUGAGGGAAGGAGUGUGUCAGGUGGGAGGGCGUGAACUCCACAAGUGAUUAAGUGUCAGGCGCGUUCCGUGCAGAUUCACACGAAAGCGCCAGAACACGCACGGCACAGCAGCGAUGCCAAGCGACUGGGAAGUGGGUGAGGGAAGGAGUGUGUCAGGUGGGAGGGCGUGAACUCCACAAGUGAUUAAGUGUUAGGCUCGUUUCGUGCAGAUUCACACGAAAGCGCCAGAACACGCACGGCGCAGCAGCGAUGCCAAGCGAUUGGGGAGUGGGCGAGUGCCACCAGCAACGGGAGCAGACUGCAUAGUCGGAGACAACAUUUAUGAUGAAAGCUUUCAUCUUUACAGUGUGUCCCAGUUCUCUCUCUCUUUCUCUCUCUCUCUCACACACACACUGACACACACACUGACACACACACCAAAGUCCCAACUUCCAGCCAGCCAGCAACUUCUCGGUACAGUAACUCCGGCGUUCGACCAGCCAUGCACUUCUGCUCUGCCGCUGCAAAUUGUUUGCUGUCUGCUUGGGGUAUGGGCGUCAGCUGCACCCUACGGGACCUCGCCAACCUGCCUAAACCCUGUCCCAUCACGCACACACCGCAGUUUCCUCGCACAAAACUAGAAACGUAAUGUUCACGUAAUGCCCCCACCCACACACCCUCAUGCAGCACAUGAGAAAUGUCAGCUAGUGUGAAUGCAAAUGCAAGACAUGCUCGGGAGGUAUGGACUGGCCUAUUACGGCUGUGCUCGGACAUCAACACACACUGCCUUUAUUUAUGCCUUCGACUGCCCCUCCAUUCGUGCCAAGGCCCACGUCAUGUACAGGAAGUAGCGCACGUACACCAGGAAGACCGCCUGGGACAUGUACGCGCAGUGCGACUUGAGGAUUGCCAGCUUCGAGUUCCGCUGCUCGGCAAGCUGUGAAUUCUUGCACGACAGCGUUGGGUACGAGCCUAUGUCAUACGCCUUGCAGCAGCCCUUGUGCCCACGGAAGUGGGUCUUGUCGAUCACAAACAAUGUGUUUGUGACCCACUCCGGCUCCCGGUUCAGGAAGUAGGCGUGCGCGUGGCAAUUGUUGUCAUACACGACCACUUUCGGCGCCUCUGGCCACCUAGUGUACAGCACCUCGAACAAGGCUCGCGGCGAUUCCGCAUUCUCAAGCAUGUGAAAGCCCAAGCAGCCGCCGCAGUCCAGACAAUGGACAACGAACAGCCCGGGCGAUAGGUUCUUUGAGUCAUACUUGAAUUUGGUGCAGCGCUUGGCGCCCGCACGUUGAGAACGCAAGUCAGCAGCGUAAAGCCCAAUCUUGCGAUCAACGCGCCAUGGCAGUGUUGGGUAGUAGAAGCCCGUUUGUAGGAACUCAGUGUCAUAUGAAAGCGUGCCGGUGCCUGUGUAUGUGCAUUGGGGGGUGGGCGAGCGAGAGAGCGCUGACUCAAGUGCAAGCACACAGGCGGCCGCCCCUCGGAUCGCAAGGCAUUGCGCAAAGCUCAAGGCAUGUCCGGAGUGUGCUGCACGCUGGCCCUCACUCUUGGCGACGGCAUACCCGCACCGCCGCCGACAGGCGCCGCCCACUGUCCGCACCUGCUCCGCCCGUCCCGCCCGCGCUCCGGGCGCGCGGCGCUGCAGCCCCACCCGCCGCCGCCGGCGCCGCCUGCACAGGCGCUGGUGUGGGCGCGCCGCUGCCGCUGCCUGCGCGGUGGGCGAGCGACAGAGCGCUGACUUAAGUGCAAGCACACGGGCGGCCGCCCCUCGGAUCGCAAGGCAUUGCGCAAAGCUCAAGGCAUGUCCUGAGUAUGCCGCUCGCUGGCCCUCCACUCUUCGCGACGGCAUACCCGCACCGUCGCCACAACAACUAGUCGCCCACUGUCCGCACCUGCUCCUCCCGUCCCACCCGCGCUCCGGGCGCGCGGCGCUGCAGCCCCACCCGCCGCCGCUGGCGCCGCCUGCACAGGCGCUGGUGUGGGCGCGCCGCUGCCGCUGCCUGCGCGGUGGGCGAGCGACAGAGCGCUGACUUAAGUGCAAGCACACGGGCGCUUGGAGACGACAUACCCGCACCGCUGCAACAACAACUAGCCGCCCACUGUCCGCACCUGCUCCGCCCACCCCGCCCGCGCUCCUGGCGCGCGGCGCGGCAGCCCCACCCGCCGCCGGCGGCGCCGCCUGCACAGGCGCUGGUGUGGGCGCGCCGCUGCCGCUGCCUGCGCGGUGGGAGAGCGGGAGGGCGCUGACUUAAGUGCAAGCACACGGGCGGCCGCCCACCGGAUCGCAAGGCAUUGCGCAAAGCUCAAGGCAUGUCCUGAGUAUGCCGCUCGCUGGCCCUCCACUCUUCGCGACGGCAUACCCGCACCGUCGCCACAACAACUAGCCGCCCACUGUCCGCACCUGCCCUGAUCGUCCCGCCCGCGCUCCCAGCGCCCAGCGCUGCAGCCCCAGCCGCCUCCGCCGCCACCGCCAGUUGUGCAGCCGACACCGUAGCCGCUGAGGGUGCAGAGGUUGGCGCGCAGUUGGUGCCGCUGCCUGCGCGGCGGGCGAGCGGGAGGGCACUGAGUCAAGCCCAAGCACACGGGCGGCCGCCCCUCGGAUCGCAUGCACGUGCGCAAAGCUAAAGGCAUGUCCUGAGUGUGCCGCACGCUGGCCCUCCACACUUGGCGACGGCAUACCCGCACCGCGGCCGCUGCCGCCGACAGGCGCCGCCCACUGUCCGCACCUGCUCCGCCCGUCCCGCCCGCGCUCCGGGCGCGCGGCGCUGCAGCCCCACCCGCCGCCGCCGCCACCACCAGUUGUGCAGCCGACGCCGUAAUCGCUGAGGGUGCAGAGGUUGGCGCGCAGCUGGUGCCGGAGCCUGCGCGGUGGGAGAGCGGGAGGGCACUGAGUCAAGCCCAAGCACACGCGCGGCCGCCCCUCGGAUCGCAUGCACGUGCGCAAAGCUUAAGGCAUGUCCUGAGUGUGCCGCACGCUGGCCUUUCACUCUUGGCGGCGGCAUACCCGCACCGCUGCCACAACAACUAGCCGCCCACUGUCCGCACCUGCCCUGAUCGUCCCGCCCGCGCUCCCAUCGCGCGGUUCCGCCGCCUUAGCCAUCGUCGCCGCCACCGCCAGUUGUGCAGCAACAACAACUAGCCGCCCACUGUCCGCACCUGCUCCGCCCACCCCGCCCGCGCUCCGGGCGGGCGGCGCUGCAGCCCCACCGGCCGCCGGCGGCGCCGCCUGCACAGGCGCUGGUGUGGGCGCGCCGCUGCCGCUGCCUGCGCGGUGGGAGAGCGGGAGGGCACUGAGUCAAGCCCAAGCACACGCGCGGCCGCCCCUCGGAUCGCAUGCACGUGCGCAAAGCUUAAGGCAUGUCCUGAGUGUGCCGCACGCUGGCCUUUCACUCUUGGCGGCGGCAUACCCGCACCGCUGCCACAACAACUAGCCGCCCACUGUCCGCACCUGCCCUGAUCGUCCCGCCCGCGCUCCCAUCGCGCGGUUCCGCCGCCUUAGCCAUCGUCGCCGCCACCGCCAGUUGUGCAGCCGACACCGUAGCCGCUGAGGGUGCAAUGGUUGGCGCGCAGCUGGUGCCGCUGCCUGCGCGGUGGGAGAGCGGGAGGGCGCUGGAUCAAGCCCAAGCACACGGGCGGCCGCCCCUCGGAUCGCAAGCAAAUGUGCAAAGCCCAAGGCAUGUCCUGAGUGUGCCGCACGCUGGCCUUUCACUCUUGGCGACGGCAUACCCGCACCGCUGCAACAACAACUAGCCGCCCACUGUCCGCACCUGCUCCGCCCACCCCGCCCGCGCUCCUGGCGCGCGGCGCGGCAGCCCCACCCGCCGCCGGCGGCGCCGCCUGCACAGGCGCUGGUGUGGGCGCGCCGCUGCCGCUGCCUGGGCGGUGGGAGAGCGGGAGGGCGCUGACUUUAGUGCAAGCACACGGGCGGCCGCCCACCGGAUCGCAAGGCACCGGAUCGCAAGGCAGAGCCAAAGACAUGUCCUGAAUGUGCUGCACGCUGGCCCUUCACUCUUCGCGACGGCAUACCCGCACCGUCGCCACAACAACUAGCCGCCCACUGUCCGCACCUGCUCCGCCCGUCCCGCCCGCGCUCCGGGCGCGCGGCGCUGCAGCCCCACCCGCCGCCGCUGGCGCCGCCUGCACAGGCGCUGGUGUGGGCGCGCCGCUGCCGCUGCCUGCGCGGUGGGCGAGCGACAGAGCGCUGACUUAAGUGCAAGCACACGGGCGACCGCCCACCGGAUCGCAAGGCAUUGCGCAGAGCCCAAGACAUGUCCUGAGUAUGCCGCACGCUGGCCCUUCACUCUUCGCGACGGCAUACCCGCACCGUCGCCACAACAAGGAGACAUCAUGGUCAAGGGCAACGGUGGGGCUUACGUAUUCCUGCGCGUGCCGCCGUGUCACGUUCGGCGCGGGGAGCAGUACCCUUGUCGAAUUUGCCCAAACUGGCUGGCUUGUAAGCCGCCUUGGCAACGGAUAGGAGGCGGGUUAGCAGCAGCUUUGCUUUCUCUGGCAGCCUGCCGCCUGCUGUGUGGCUACACUCGUUGGCGAUGAAGUUGCCAAUAAUGGGGGCAUCUCUCGCAAGGUCACGAAGCUCCUUUGGGGAUAGCUGUCCGGUCAGCAGGGCCUGAAUGCGCGCGUGCGUGAUGCCCGGCAAGAAGGAGCACACGGGACUUUCCGAUGCGACAGCAGACAGUAGUCUGCACACCGCGUCAGCCACCACGCCAUCUCCCCGGCAUUCCUCCUACAGGCAAAGGUAAGCGCUGUUUCAAGAAAACAAGUUGGUGAAAUACAUACGGCAGAACCUACCACGUAAGGCUCCAGUUCAGGGCACCGUUGCCGUGUUUUGGUGAUCAGUGCUGUGUACUCCUCCGCAGUAACGGCACGUUGACCCGGUCUGCAGAGGCGCCCAAGCACCUCGCGAGAGGCACGCAGGUCCAGCAGGACGCGGUCUUUAUGCAGCGAGCCAGCGCGCGCAGAUAAGUCGUGUGACAUCCACGGCUUGGUGAGAUGCACCUGCACCGCAACGCUUGUGAUCAGGGCUGGCGUGGGACCAUGCUAGAACAGCGCAUCACCUUAUCCUUAUGCACGCCCAGUAAGAUGCCGUCAGCAAUAACAUAAUCGCACUGGUGAGUGCCACAGCCACACUGGAACGCGCUUUCGUAAGGGAUGUCUUGCAGGGCGAUGUAGUUGAUCCACGCCUGCUGAAACCUGUGGACGCAAAGGUAACUUGACUGCAAUUGCAUUUUAUAGAACGAUUGCAAUACCCACACUUUGCGCUUGUUGAGAAAGAAACGCAGUGCUGUCCUGGACCAAGCGGCCUGUGCAGCAGGUAAAGAUGCCAGUUAAAAAGUCGUGGUUUUGGAUUCAGUGGACGGACACCCACCGCACCAGCCACACCAGGAUACCUACAGGGCGUGCCUCAGCUGCAGUUGACACAUCUCCGCCACCCAUCUCUGCGCGGUGGGAGAGCGGGAGGGCGCUGACUCAAGUGCAAGCACACGAGCGGCCGCCCCUCGGACCGCAAGCAAAUGUGCAAAGCCCAAGACAUGUCCUGAGUGUGCUGCACGCUGCCCCUCCACGCUUGACAACCGCAUGCCCGCACCGCCGCCAGAACAACUAGCCGCCCACUGCCCUCACCUGUGCCGCCCGCGCUCUCAGCGCCCAGCGCUGCAGCCCGAGCCGCCUCCGCCGCCACCGCCAGUCGUGCAGCUGACACCGUAGCCGCUGAGGGUGCAGAGGUUGGCGCGCAGCUGGUGCCGCUGCCUGCACGGUGGGAGAGCGGGAGGGCGCUGGAUCAAGCCCAAGCACACGGGCGGCCGCCCCUCGGAUCGCAAGCAAAUGUGCAAAGCCCAAGGAAUGUCCUGAGUGUGCCGCACGCUGCCCCUCCACGCGUGGCGACGGCAUACCCGCACCGUCGCCACAACAACUAGCCGCCCUACUGCCCUCACCUGCGCCACCCGUGCCGCCCGCGCUCCCAGCGCCCAGCGCUGCAGCCCAAGCCGCCUCCGCCGCCACCGCCAGUUGUGCAGCUGACACCGUAGCCGCUGAGGGUGCAGAGGUUGGCGCGCAGCUGGUGCCGGUGCCUGCACGGUGGGAGAGCGGGAGGGCGCUGGAUCAAGCCCAAGCACACGGGCGGCCGCCCCUCGGAUCGCAAGCAAAUGUGCAAAGCCCAAGGAAUGUCCUGAGUGUGCCGCACGCUGGCCCUUCACUCUUGGCGACGGCAUACCCGCACCGUCGCCACAACAACUAGCCGCCCACUGUCCGCACCUGCCCUGAUCGUCCCGCCCGCGCUCCCAUCGCGCGGUUCCGCCGCCUUAGCCAUCGUCGCCGCCACCGCCAGUUGUGCAGCUGACACCGUAGCCGCUGAGGGUGCAGAGGUUGGCGCGCAGCUGGUGCCGGUGCCUGCACGGUGGGAGAGCGGGAGGGCGCUGACUCAAGUGCAAGCACACGGGCGGCCGCCCCUCUGAUUGCAAGCACGUGCGCAAAGCUCAAGGCGUGCUCAGAGUGUGCCGAUGGCUGCCCCUCCACGCGUGGCGACGGCAUACCCGCACUGCUGCCACAACAACUAGCCGCCCUACUGCCCUCACCUGCGCCACCCGUGCCGCCCGCGCUCCCAGCGCCCAGCGCUGCAGCCCAAGCCGCCUCCGCCGCCACCGCCAGUUGUGCAGCUGACACCGUAGCCGCUGAGGGUGCAGAGGUUGGCGCGGAGCUGGUGCCGCUGCCUGCGCGGUGGGAGAGCGGGAGGGCGCUGACUCAAGUGCAAGCACACGGGCGGCCGCCCCUCUGAUUGCAAGCACGUGCGCAAAGCUCAAGGCGUGCUCAGAGUGUGCCGAUGGCUGCCCCUCCACGCGUGGCAACGGCAUACCCGCACCGCUGCCACAACAACUAGCCGCCCACUGCCCUCACCUGCGCCACCCGUGCCGCCCGCGCUCCCAGCGCCCAGCGCUGCAGCCCCAGCCGCCUCCGCCGCCACCGCCAGUUGUGCAGCCGACACCGUAGCCGCUGAGGGUGCAGAGGUUGGCGCGCAGCUGGUGCCGCUGCCUGCGCGGUGGGAGAGCGGGAGGGCGCUGACUCAAGUGCAAGCACACGGGCGGCCGCCCCUCUGAUUGCAAGCACGUGCGCAAAGCUCAAGGCGUGCUCAGAGUGUGCCGAUGGCUGCCCCUCCACGCGUGGCGACGGCAUACCCGCACUGCUGCCACAACAACUAGCCGCCCACUGCCCUCACCUGUGCCGCCCGUCCGGCCCGCGCUCCCAUCGCGCGGUACAGCCGCCCCAGCCAUCGUCGCCGCCACCGCCAGUUGUGCAGCUGACACCGUAGCCGCUGAGGGUGCAGAGGUUGGCGCGCAGCUAGUGCCGGUGCCUGCACGGUGGGAGAGCGGGCGGGCGCUGAAUCAAGCGCAAGCACACAGGCGGCCGCCCCUCUGAUUGCAAGCACGUGCGCAAAGCUCAAGGCAUGUCCUGAGUGUGCCGAUGGCUGCCCCUCCACGCGUGGCGACGGCAUGCCCGCACCGCUGCCACAACAACUAGCCGCCCACUGCCCUCACCUGCGCCACCCGUGCCGCCCGCGCUCCCAGCGCCCAGCGCUGCAGCCCCAGCCGCCUCCGCCGCCACCACCAGUUGUGCAGCCGACACCGUAGCCGCUGAGGGUGCACAGGUUGGCGCGCAGCUGGUGCCGGUGCCUGCACGGUGGGAGAGCGGGAGGGCGCUGACUCAAGUGCAAGCACACGGGCGGCCGCCCCUCUGAUUGCAAGCACGUGCGCAAAGCUCAAGGCGUGCUCAGAGUGUGCCGAUGGCUGCCCCUCCACGCGUGGCGACGGCAUACCCGCACUGCUGCCACAACAACUAGCCGCCCUACUGCCCUCACCUGCGCCACCCGUGCCGCCCGCGCUCCCAGCGCCCGGCGCUGCAGCCCAAGCCGCCUCCGCCGCCACCGCCAGUUGUGCAGCUGACACCGUAGCCGCUGAGGGUGCAGAGGUUGGCGCGCAGCUGGUGCCGGUGCCUGCACGGUGGGAGAGCGGGAGGGCGCUGACUCAAGUGCAAGCACACGGGCGGCCGCCCCUCUGAUUGCAAGCACGUGCGCAAAGCUCAAGGCGUGCUCAGAGUGUGCCGAUGGCUGCCCCUCCACGCGUGGCGACGGCAUACCCGCACUGCUGCCACAACAACUAGCCGCCCUACUGCCCUCACCUGCGCCACCCGUGCCGCCCGCGCUCCCAGCGCCCAGCGCUGCAGCCCAAGCCGCCUCCGCCGCCACCGCCAGUUGUGCAGCUGACACUGUAGCCGCUGAGGGUGCAGAGGUUGGCGCGGAGCUGGUGCCGGUGCCUGCACGGUGGGAGAGCGGGAGGGCGCUGAAUCAAGCGCAAGCACACGGGCGGCCGCCCCUCUGAUUGCAAGCACGUGCGCAAAGCUCAAGGCGUGCUCAUAGUGUGCCGAUGGCUGCCCCUCCACGCGUGGCAACGGCAUACCCGCACUGCUGCCACAACAACUAGCCGCCCACUGCCCUCACCUGUGCCGCCCGUCCCGCCCGCGCUCCCAUCGCGCGGUACAGCCGCCCCAGCCAUCGUCGCCGCCACCGCCAGUUGUGCAGCUGACACCGUAGCCGCUGAGGGUGCAGAGGUUGGCGCGCAGCUGGUGCCGGUGCCUGCACGGUGGGAGAGCGGGAGGGCGCUGAAUCAAGUGCAAGCACACAGGCGGCCGCCCCUCUGAUUGCAAGCACGUGCGCAAAGCUCAAGGCAUGUCCUGAGUGUGCCGAUGGCUGCCCCUCCACGCGUGGCGACGGCAUACCCGCACCGCUGCCACAACAACUAGCCGCCCACUGCCCUCACCUGCGCCACCCGUGCCGCCCGCGCUCCCAGCGCCCAGCGCUGCAGCCCCAGCCGCCUCCGCCGCCACCAUCAGUUGUGCAGCCGACACCGUAGCCGCUGAGGGUGCACAGGUUGGCGCGCAGCUGGUGCCGGUGCCUGCACGGUGGGAGAGCGGGAGGGCGCUGACUCAAGUGCAAGCACACGGGCGGCCGCCCCUCUGAUUGCAAGCACGUGCGCAAAGCUCAAGGCGUGCUCAGAGUGUGCCGAUGGCUGCCCCUCCACGCGUGGCGACGGCAUACCCGCACUGCUGCCACAACAACUAGCCGCCCUACUGCCCUCACCUGCGCCACCCGUGCCGCCCGCGCUCCCAGCGCCCGGCGCUGCAGCCCAAGCCGCCUCCGCCGCCACCGCCAGUUGUGCAGCUGACACCGUAGCCGCUGAGGGUGCAGAGGUUGGCGCGCAGCUGGUGCCGGUGCCUGCACGGUGGGAGAGCGGGAGGGCGCUGACUCAAGUGCAAGCACACGGGCGGCCGCCCCUCUGAUUGCAAGCACGUGCGCAAAGCUCAAGGCGUGCUCAGAGUGUGCCGAUGGCUGCCCCUCCACGCGUGGCGACGGCAUACCCGCACUGCUGCCACAACAACUAGCCGCCCUACUGCCCUCACCUGCGCCACCCGUGCCGCCCGCGCUCCCAGCGCCCAGCGCUGCAGCCCAAGCCGCCUCCGCCGCCACCGCCAGUUGUGCAGCUGACACCGUAGCCGCUGAGGGUGCAGAGGUUGGCGCGGAGCUGGUGCCGGUGCCUGCACGGUGGGAGAGCGGGAGGGCGCUGAAUCAAGCGCAAGCACACGGGCGGCCGCCCCUCUGAUUGCAAGCACGUGCGCAAAGCUCAAGGCGUGCUCAUAGUGUGCCGAUGGCUGCCCCUCCACGCGUGGCAACGGCAUACCCGCACUGCUGCCACAACAACUAGCCGCCCACUGCCCUCACCUGUGCCGCCCGUCCCGCCCGCGCUCCCAUCGCGCGGUACAGCCGCCCCAGCCAUCGUCGCCGCCACCGCCAGUUGUGCAGCUGACACCGUAGCCGCUGAGGGUGCAGAGGUUGGCGCGCAGCUGGUGCCGGUGCCUGCACGGUGGGAGAGCGGGAGGGCGCUGAAUCAAGUGCAAGCACACAGGCGGCCGCCCCUCUGAUUGCAAGCACGUGCGCAAAGCUCAAGGCAUGUCCUGAGUGUGCCGAUGGCUGCCCCUCCACGCGUGGCGACGGCAUACCCGCACCGCUGCCACAACAACUAGCCGCCCACUGCCCUCACCUGCGCCACCCGUGCCGCCCGCGCUCCCAGCGCCCAGCGCUGCAGCCCCAGCCGCCUCCGCCGCCACCAUCAGUUGUGCAGCCGACACCGUAGCCGCUGAGGGUGCACAGGUUGGCGCGCAGCUGGUGCCGGUGCCUGCACGGUGGGAGAGCGGGAGGGCGCUGACUCAAGUGCAAGCACACGGGCGGCCGCCCCUUUCAUCCCCGCUUAUUGUUCCCACCUUCCCCGCGCGCCCCGCCAGUGCUCCGCGCAUGUAGCCCAGUGCUAGUGGGAGCCUUCGGUGGCGCAUCCUUUGGUGCAGAUACCUUAAGCCGUUUCACCUGCACGAAACAGUCCAGGAGUGAAGCCUCAAGUCUUUACACGACUAGCCCAUUCCCGCACGCCUACCGGCCGCGUCGUAUCUUGCUUGGAACCACCCGCAGUGGCACCAGAUGCACCCGCUGAAGCCUGCAUAACAGCACACGUACCCAAUCAGCAGGUAGGCAAUGCCCGAAGCCAGAGCGGCAGCUUCUUACCGUUUGUGGCUGCACAACUCCUUGCUUCCGCCGCUUGCCCAGGGUUAUGCCUGGCGCCUCCUCCGUCUGUUCAGCAGGAAGUGUCAGCAGUCUGUCAGGCAAUGCAUUGUUGGCCAUGUCUUACCAGGAAUCCACGCGAGACAUAGCAGCCCACAACUGUUUUCCACAUGGCGUAGAAUGGCACUGGCGCUGUGGCCAUCUCCACACAGUACCUGAAGACAGAUCAAGUUAGUUUGCCGGCCUGCUUUGCUAGUUAGCUUGCGCGUACCACUGCAGCAGCUCGUGGCUGAACAGGUCCAGAUUGUUAAGAUUGAGGAUGCCGUCCUGGCUGAAGUUGUAGUGCAAUGUGCGCUUGCACUUGCACACACGGUGAUACACAUCGACCUCUGCAAACCACGUCAGGCUGUACACCACGGACUUGCCCUCAACACACGAUAGCUCUUCCUUAGCAUCCACCCAAGGGCGGCCGCACACGCAACUACCGCACUCCACCGCCGGUGGGGCGAAGUGGCGCGGCAUGCUGCCAUACUCAGGAUACUUGCGUAGCUUCACAUGUGUGAAGAGGCCGUCGACGAUGCGCUCCUGCAAGCAAGGAGAGCCGUCAGUCGUGCGUGUCAUGCCGUUGACGCUUGCCCUCACACUCGACCUGAGCCACUGCUUUCAGCAUUCUCACCUGGGAAACUGACGUGGCCUUGAACUUGCCGGUCACAGGAUCCAGGUAGCGCUGGAGCAUGUCUGCCAGCUCUUUGCGAUAGUCGUCACCAGGUUCUGACGGCCGGGUGCCCGGGGUUAAGCUGUGGACGUGCUUCACAUGGCUGCAGUUCUUGCUGUCAGAGCAUGCUGCGCACUGCAGCACCAUGCCACGCUGAACGACAACAGCAGCUUCGCCGUUCUUCAGCGGACUCCCGACAAGCCAGCGCCUGACCCCAGGGGAACCCAGGAAGAACACCUCCUGUACUGAUGCUGGUGGCUCCGGCACGUUGGCCCGCUCAAGGGGAUGAAGCUUUGUCAGUGGCUCACGUCGCCACUGCAAAGGCAGCUACAAGGCAGACGUACGAUGUGUAAAUUCUCAAGGCAAGCGUGAAGAACCUAUGCAGCUCGUACCGUAAGCGCCAGGGCGUGCUUGCACGCGUGACCAAGGCCUUCCAGCACUUCCUCCCGUGACCAGCCGGACUCGUCCACAUCGAAAGCCAAGCAAGAGCGCCAGUCCUCCAUGCACGUGCACCAGGAAAUGACAUGGAUGCCAUCGCUGAAGCGCACGGUCUUGAAGGUAACGAGCUCAUAGCUCCCCUUCGGGCCAGACGGCACGCAGUACACGGUUUUUGUGCGUGUCCCUGCGACAGGCUUUGGCGGCCAGCUUUCAUCGGGCGAGCACUGUUGCUGAAGCCACGCUGCAAAUGUAGUAAGUUUUAUCCCGUCAGCUGCCCGCCGCGGGCAUCCAGAGACGGCGCAGCAUGAGAACUUUACAUCGUUCUCAUCUGCCGCGAGACGCGUGUAGUUGCAGGGCGACUGGACAUUGCUACGAAUACUAUCAGCACGUAGCCCAGGAGAGUCCGCAGCGUCAGGGAUGUCAACAGGUUCAGCUUGUGGCUCUGCUGGGAUUGAUGCGCCCCUUGCAGCUGCUAGUGCGUUAUCCUGAGCUGGCUGGUGUUUUAGAUGCUGCUGUUGCUGCUGCUGUUGUUGUUCUUGUUCGUGCUGCAGGACCUGGCCAGCUGAGCGGUCUACUAUGCGCCCGUAAGCACGUUGACCAGUUGGAAGCCUGGUGUGAACACGCAACACGUUCUGGCCGAUUUUUUUUGGUCUCCCAAUACGUUUGGUUGUCGACAACUGCAGUGCCUCUCUUAUAGCUUCUUCAUCCAUAGUAGCAAUAAAUAGUAGCUCAUUAAUAAGGCAAGCAAGUGCAAGCUUGUCUGGACACAGAGUCACAAAGCCAGCUUUAUGCAUGGUGGACGAGACAAGCGCUCUGGCACUGGAUACAAGCCUUAAAUGUAAUCACGGUAUCGUGUACUAGUAGUUCUGACGCAUAUACUUCUAUGCAUCCAUUACAGCAGUCAGCAGUGUCGUUGUCCUGGCGCUGCUUGGGCCUCGCCUCCGGCUCUAUACCAAUCCCACUUCGACAAUGUCACGCGUAUCGUGAAAUAAUGUAGAUGCUAACCUUUGGCCGAGAGCUCAGGGCGCGCUUGCUGCUGGUUUGACCAACAGCGAUGCUGCGCCCGGAGCUCUCUGGCGAAGCACAGAACUAGUCUGCAGCACACUGGUGGCAUUAUACCAGUGAAUGUUGCCAGAAAAUACUGCUCGGCGGGCAGAAGCGCACGCAGGGCUCUUGUCUGGGCGACAGCAGCCCCCCGGCCAGAGGGCGCGGCCGGGAGCCGGCUCCGCCCAAACAAGCUUCUGCGGACGUGUACUCGUUGCCCGACCGCCACACUACCACAACGUUAUACAUACUUGUCACCAUUAGUGAUCGGGCGCACGUAUCCCACCCUGGCGCGCUAGCAUUUUAGCCUGCAGUGCAUCGGAUGGCGCGGAAGCGGCACCUAUCAGCCGCAAGCCCUCACAGCCCGUUCAACAGCCUCAAAUGUUUAUAGAUAUGUGAUGUUAAGCUUGUUUGGGGACUCGCGGCGCGUUUGGGGACGGUUGGGGUGUGCACGGGCUCCAGGCCAGCGGGGGCGGACUGGAGCCGGCUCCGGAAAUCCUGGCACGGCGAGCAGCGAAAACCUGCGCGGCCGCAGCAACAACCAUUCAAAUGUAUAAUAUAAGCUCAAGCGCAAAGUUUAGAAGUAACUUGCGCUGUCUUGUCAAGCUUUCUCCGACGUGCCGAAGGUGCUCGCCCACCCCGACCACGCUCCGCCUCGCUUUCUGAUUUUAUCAGCAAAAAUGACACGUAUUACUGCAAGGAGACAGCUUAGGAUUACUGCGCGCUCUUGUCUUUUGUGUAUGGCCGUUUCUGGUUGUCCAGUCACGCGAGAAAGCGGGCCACAAGAGGGCGAAAACAUUCGCCGGUUGUUAUGCUGUUGUGCUUUACAACCAUUCUGCAGUUCUAGUAUCACCCGCCAUUCUGCAGUUCUAGUAUCACUCGCCAACACACUCGCGUUGCGUGCCAUACACACAGCGCGCGGCCCCCUCGCUCCCCUCUGCAACGCCCGCCUGCUGCUUGCUACCUUAUGCCUGUCCGAUUCCGGUCCUGUAUACAAGGCCUUUCUUACAACAGCUCAUAUCCGCCAAUUGAGGCCGGUCCAUACCUCGACAUUGAGACGGAAGGGACAGAAGGAGGGGGCCCUAGAAUGCUCAAGUAUCCGUUCACAUCAAUGCCCUUCUUAGCAGUUGUGGCUGUAAUAUUUGUAUUUGUGAUGAAGGGGAGACUACUACGCGUCAGUUUCGCGGUUGGGGUGUGGUGACUGAUGCCAUCGCGCGUGGUAUACGACCUGGCGUAGGCUCCUAUUCUGUGUGGGAUCCCAUCGACAGUCUGCUCGAUGGUCGGUGGUCAACGGUGGUCAGUGGUCUGAGUCAAUGUGGGAUCCCAUGCCGGCUCUCAUCCCAUGCCGAGUGGGAGCCUUCGAGGUGGAGACCUAGCUGAAACCCAAGAUUGGGCGUUCUUAUUCAUACAAGCACCAUUUUUAAUUCUAUAAAGCACGUUACCUUCGGUAUGUGAGCAGCAUAUGUUCAAGCAUAUUAGCGGGCUAAGUGUCGUGUAGGUCUCGCGAGCGCGAGACCAAUUUUGAGCAUGUUCGCUCAAAUCAGCUAAAUGUGAAUCCACCGGCCCUGACUGCGCUUAUGUAUACUCUAUUAAAGCAAUUGCACCUAGUAGCGCGGGCUCACAGGCCUCGGCGAGCAGUGGCCAUUCCUAUGGGACCGCCAACAAAGUCAGAGUUGCACCUUCCGAUGCACCUGGGUGGCUUCCAUGUGACACACAUGCGGCUCUAGGAGCGGGUGUAGGUCUGUUUGGGUCCCCGCUGUAGACGAGGUUCGCCAUGAAUUUGGUUUCAUCCAAAGGGCAGUUCGACUAGCUUUUAAGAUUGCCGUCGCCUAGAUAGAGCAUCUAAAGCAGAUAUAGGAUGAUGUAGCCCGCCGAAACAUCGUCUGUCUGUGCUGCGGUCGUCAAAACAUAAUCUUAUAUGCAUAUAUGUGCUAUGUAAAGCUUCGGGCACACCCCGGCCUCCGAUCGCGCUCGUAGCGGGCGAGCUUAUACAAUUAUAUGUAUAUAUGCGAUAGAAAGCGUGGGGGCCCGCUUAGGACCGAUUUGCACGGGGUCGGCCUGUCCCACCCCUCCUCCCCCCUCAAAACCGUGUGACAAAACACACACGCCUGCCGUACAUGACUCGGGGAGCCGCUGCAAGACCGGAAGGUUGCAAAGGAAGCUACUCCCAAAAUUUCAGCGUGCAGCGAUCACCCGAACAUAGCUCUCUAAGGCCUUAAAGUUGGGGGGUACCCUGAACCGGGCGUGUUCCCCACUUCCCCGUGUGGGGUCGGGGUCGGGGUCGGGGUCGGGGUCGGGGUCGGGGUCGGGGUCGGGGUCGGGGGCGGGGAAUUGGAGUCUGGGGAAAUGGGAUCCAAGGGACGCAAAAUCGCUCGUUUUCGCCCGCGCAGCUUCUAAAUACUUACGUAUUCAUGUAAGAUUAAUUGCUGGGCCAACGCCCUGUGAAAUUGCGAGGGCGCGCGCGGACUUCCCCCCGCGUGCCCGCAGCUCGGCCCCGCACAGGGGUUCGGGGUGUCCAACUCAGCGGUUAGCUGUCGGUUGCCACCGACAUUUGGUCCCGACCCCCCCUGGAAGUGGGCCGGCUGAGCCCCUAGCGCGCCAAGCCAAUACCCACGAUGCCCUUAUCCCAUAUAAAACAGUGCGGUAGCCCUAAAGCCGUGGUCAGAUUGUCGCGCAUUCUCAAUUGCUCGGUGUUGGCCCAAAGCCCCAGGCGCGCACGCCGACCACCCGCUACUGCCCCAUGACCAUAGCUUACAGGUUCUGAGACCCGGUGUGGGCUCAUACAGGCUUUCCGAGCACCGUUCGGGAUACAUGGGACAUGGAAUGUGACCCUGCCGUCCAUACUAAAGCAAUCUAAGCCCCAUCUUUCCCCAUAUGGCACUCUAUAGGGUACACCACAAUCCUCAAGCGCGCCAGGCACCACGUCUAUGUCCGUCUGAAAGCGCUUCCGUCUGAAACCCCAUCCCCAAGCUUCAGUUCCGCCAGGCGUGGGCCCCUGCGCGCUGUGAGCCCAUUUAGCGGCUGCUUUAUUAUGUGCUAGGACCUAGUAUGGCUGCUCGCGCUCGCUGUCGAAGCCACCAGAGCCCAGUUCUGGACUCCCAAAACCCGCGCGCAGCAGCGGCAGGCGUGCGCGUCGCCGCAUUUCCUAAUUCCCAAAUUACAAGCUUUUGUGAUAUCAUAGAGCGUGUUCCUACAGGCUUCCUUGUCCGUUCCUUGGCUUGGCUGCGCUCGCCCAGCUUGAAGUGUCACCCCGAGACAUUGCAAUGCCACUCCAUCACAUUCGUAUGUCCUUGUGUAGCAUCAGAGGCCCAUCGCAAACUACCGACGAUAGAAAGCUUCAGAAACGUGUGUGAUCAUUCGUGCGCUUGGCUCAGCUAGAAAUGGUAGAAGUGACGCAUAAUAUCGCUGCAUAACAUCGUUGGCAAAGGAUUCUUUAGCGUUGGUUUGCUCGCGUAUAGACUCGCUGAGGCAGUGGGACUAUGAUUGUCGUCGAACGCGUCUUCCGCGUAAAAUGUAGCCCAUAGGAACCUUACAUUACAUAUGUAUACUGGGUCUGGCGCUUUGGCGAACACUUGAAACCCUCGGUGUGGAUGAACUUGCGCGAUGGGCGUUCCGGCGAUCAGGGUGUGUGCACCUUCUUGAGCGGCCGAAUCAUUCUAUGCCUGAUUUGUGGGCUCAAAUGGCGAUGUGCACUUUAGGGAGUUUCAGGACGCUUCUAAAGGCCUCAAUAGAUGUUGACGUUUCCCCAAGAACCACGAUAUUGUAAUUAAGGGCCCAUAGGAACCAGCAUGAUGCUGACAUAACGUCGUUUGCGGAAGUUUGCUGCCAAAAGGAGCCCAAACCGAGGAGUUCUUCCUGCGCGCGCUUGUAGUAACACACAAUUCGCGCUCCACUGGGCUGCGCGUGGAUUUCAGCCAGCGCGCAUCACCCCAAACUUAUUGUUAUCAUGUUGUAGAGUUGGACACCCCGAACCCCUGGCCCCGCACCCUGCCCCCCCCCCCCGCACAAAACCCGUCAUACCGUACCCCACCGCGAGAUACGGACUCCACUAUAAGUAAAAUGUGAUCUGGGUGCCGGUGCUGGGGGGUCGGGGCUGUGCAUUGGACGUUGGACGGUUGGACGUCGCGAAGUAAGUUCAAGUUCGCCCUUGCGGCGAAACCGUUCAGCCUUACACGUUUUGCAAAUAUAAUAAUAACAGAGUCUCAGCUUCAUAGGUCUCACGUUGUGGGGCAGCCAACACGGCACUAAUAAGGACAUGUGCUCGCGCUCGCAGCUUACACGCCUACGGGCCUCCUGACAGGUACAUAAGUGCUGAGAUUGAAGCAAUCUACGUAUCUGAUAGUUACCUUGGACCAGCGCCAGCCUGUGCGAUGAAAUCGGCCAAAGAAUCGUCUUUCUUGAGGCAUCGGACACCAUUCUAUGCGUUAGAGUGCGCGAAAUAUGGUUUAGCCUCAGUUACUUUCGCGAUCGACGUUCCCUGACUUGAGUCGGGUAUCGGAACUUUGUCGCUGGGGCCUCUUCUACCUUGUGUACAAUAGCUUCGUGUAAUGGAUGGCUUAAAUAAUGGCUGCGCGCAGUCGGCGGGGGCCGGGACCGUGUGUUUACCAACUUGGCAAGACCCCCCUGUUCUGAAACGUACAGGUGCGCCGCGCCCCCUGCGGGGGCCGGGGCCCGCUAACUUAGCCCCUGAGCCCAGCUACCCGAGCUCUAGCGGGACAUGAUAGGGGCAGGCGGCGUUGCUUUUCUGCCACGCAGACAACACAGCAGGGGAAAGGGUGGGGUGGGGGGGUGGGGGGUGUUUGAGCACCGUGCAGCCUCUGGCGAAGGACAUGGGCAUGCGGCAUUGCCAUGCUGUGCUGUCAUGCGGAGGACAAAGCAGAGUAAGGGUGGGGGGGCGAGGGGGAGGGGGGGGGGGGGGGACCGAAGUCGGCGUCGCCGAGGUGGCACCUCCCGCCAACGUUCGCAAUUGUGCAUUUUUGCAUACAUCAACGAUAUGCAUGGAUACGUGUUCUCGUCAACUACGUGGAAGAUUUCGCCUUUGCGAUCGGUCGCUCGAGUUGGCUUUGCAUUUUCAUGCUCUAGUGCUUUCAGACAACCUUAUCUGUGCUACCUGCUAACUGCAAUGUAAGUUAUCGCUACGUGCAUUGUCGCGCCUGACAAUGAAGCGCAGUUACUGUCCUCGUUCAUACGCUGCACUCGCUCUCGCGCCCUGGGACCAAGAUCACGCAUAGAAGAAGCUAUGAUCAUUCGGUUGUGUCAAUGCGUUGGGCCGAAAUCGCGCUGUCCGCGACGACGCAUAGGAUGCGUCACACUUUCCAGAGGACCCGUAGAUAGCUGUGAUUAGGGAAUGCGCGGUGGGCGGAAACCGGCAGGGAGGUGUAGGUAUCUAGCACGGGUGUGUGAGGGCGGUGUAGAUGUUUAGAGGGUGUGAGGUGUGAGGGGGGACUAGCCGCACAGGUAGCGGCUUAGUUGCGGUUAUUGGGCAGGGCCAGCUGGAUUCCUGGGCUAUGAAAAAGUAGUGCAGAAGAUGGGCGCACAAAUGUGCGCGUGUGGCGCGGUUGGCGUCGGGGCAUGGUAGGGUACGUGAAGCUUCGAUUGAAGCGGCCGAACUAGGCAGCCAGGGGAGGGGGGUGUGCAACUCGGCCUGGAUCCAGGUUCGCGCUGCAUGGGACCCGGCCAAAAGGUGUUCGGACCCCUCCCAAGGAGCUCCCGGCCAUUCAUUUGUGUUUGUAAGACAACUGUAUAGUCAUUAGAACUGAUAUCGGGCCGGAAACCAGUCCAUAUAGCGGGCCGGCCAUCGACACAAUGCGUGCACUGGAAACACCACGAGCGAAAUUCCGGCUGCUUGCAAUCAACCCAAAGGCUCUUCCGCUAACUAUGAAACUGAUGAGACCUCCAGAAAGCGACGGGCGCGGCCCCUCAGGGGCGAUGCCCGAUGCCAUGCAGACCCUUCGCGGGAAUGGCCGUUUUGGAGCCCUUUCCGAGGCCCGCCGAAGCCAGCGGCCCCUGCCGUCCGCUCUAGACAUAUGUACAGAUGCCAUAUUCAGGGGUUUGGUCCGUGUCUAUUGGUGUUAACAGGGGUGCGCGUCCUGCGCUUCCAGGAGAGGGCCCCCUGACCUGGCAUUUUACCCCUGGACGCAAACCGUGAAGCCCGCAACCGUGAAACACAUUAUGCUUCUGAAAAUUCGUUACAUGCCUCCACUAUGCUUGUGCGCGAGCCCAGCAGAGCUGCGCAGGUAUGCAACUCCUGGCCAGGGGACUCUGGACUCUUGAGGUCCUGCUCCGGACUCCCUGAGUACCUACGCUGAUAACUGUGACACCUCCUAUGCAUGUAAUGCCCACCCCCUCGUGCAUGUACGGUAACACAUAUGGCCGUCUAUACUGACAGGUCGUAUGAUGCCCAUUGCGUGCGUCCCUCGGCUGGCCAGGGGCGUGCUGCCUCUGACUGUCUCCUAUGACCUGCUCACCUUCACUUCCACCUUCACUUGCACCUUCAAUACCCCUUCUGCUCGCACCUUGAUAACUUUAGCCACUUAAACUCCACUGUAAGCCUCUGUGUACAUGUACAAAUCAUAAACCUUGUCAUCACUACCAUGCUGUGCUGAUGCUCCACUCUCAGCCACGCUAUCCUUCACUCCAUUUCCAUCUCCGACUCCAUACUGCACUUUCCAGCCACGGCGUUCUUCACGGCCUUACUCUCUUCCUUGCUCACUACCAUCUGACUCCAUACUGCACUGUGCAGUACUAGGCAUGGGAGGCUCCCCUGGUUCUAAGAUAUAUGAGAAUGCUUGCCAUGAAUGCAUAACAUACCAUAAGUUUGCAUUGAAUCUCAAGGUUGCAUACGCACCCGUUCCCGAAGCGAAGCUAUAGCAGCUUGCAAGUUAUUUGACAUGGUCAGGAUGCGACAUGUGGAUAUGUGAAUUGCGACAUACGACAUUGCGACAUAAUGCACAUACCGCCCAAACGCAUCCAAACCCGCCAAACAUAUUGUGCAUGCAUUCAAUAUGCCUCUGGUAAGCGUGGAACGCCGUGGCACACAACAAAACGUGUCUCGGUUGCCACGGUGGUGGUGGCGUGGCGUAGGGUGCGGCCAGCGGGAGGAGCUUGUGGCUACGCUAGCGCAAUACACCGCCGCAAAGCUGGGAGAUGUUACUUAAAUGGGCUUCAGGACGCGUAGCUAUGCAAAUGUGGGCGAGUCUUGGUAUGUCGCAAUGUUGUAUGUCGCAUUUCACAUGUCGACAUGUCGCAACCUGACCAUGUCAAAUAAUGUGCACACAGCCAUAUAUGUGCAGUGUCGUGUGCACAUGCCGUAAGUGAUGUGCUACAAUAAUAAUACUAAUAAUAAUAAUAAUACCUACGCACGGACCAAGGUCCCGCGUGCCUUAAGGAAGAGUCCCAUCGAGGCUAACCCUACCGUAUCUCUGUGGGACCUUGGCAAGAGGCACCCCACGCAUCCACCUUCACUCAGUCCAUAGGAACCGAAGUUCUGGACCUAUCGGCCUACCAACUCUCCGAAUUCGGCCAUCAUGAAGUUUCCACGUUGCAACAAUGGGAUCCGAACCCAGAGAGUCGCUACAACGCUUCCAUCAGUACCGCGGACUCCAUACCGGAAUACUGACUCGGUUCCCCGGGCAGGAUCCGAACCUGCAUCUAUACUUGUCAGCCUCAACCCGGCCGAAUCCGUGAUUCGAACCUGGGUCUGCCAUGUGACAGCGGCAUGCUCUACCAAUUGAGCUACCGGGGAAAGUGAUGUGCUACACUAAUGAACAUACAAAACCGAGUACACAUCGGAUCAGUCCUCACUACAAAGUCCCGCACACAUGCCGUUCACGUGCCGUACGUGCGCGACACGCCGGCAGCUGCUUUGUUUAUUUAUAGUACAUGCGAAAAGCCUGCAAAGAAUUGGUUAUGCCCAUCACAGCUCUAUCUUGCUAGUCCCUACGGUGGUUACGACAUCAGUAACCAAUCCCCAUGCAUAUGUACUCAGUCGUUCAGGCGCACAGAUGGCAGCCGUUUGCGCGCUCCCUCGCGCUGGGCGGGCGGUGCCUCUGCGGGAAGCCCGCGCUUGGCGCGCCCGCGCUUGGGAGCCACGGGCUCCAUGGCUGCCGCCGCGGCCAAGCCGGCUGCCCCCGCAUUGACGCCGACUGCCACCACAGCUCCGCUAGCAGCCGCUGCAUCCAUGCCAGUCGCCGCCAUGUUCCGCUCCGCGCCUGCUGCUGCCGCCGGCCGCGUCCGCUUUGCCUCCGCUGGAACAGCGUCCACAGCCCGUUUGCGGGCGAUUGCAGCUGCGGGCGCCGCAACCUGAGCGCAGUGGGGGCAGAACCACUGCCCUUCCGGGAUGCCGUCCACCCUGGGUGUCAGGCAGAAGUUGUGGUAGCCCUUGUCACAGCUGUCGCACAAGAGCAUUGCGUCUGCGGGCUCCGGCUCGUUGCACAGCUGACAGACAAAGUCGUCACCGUAGGUGGAGUCACAGUCGCUGCUGCUGUCUGCGCUGUCGGGCUCGUCCGCAGAUUCCUCCUCCGGCGCCUCUGCUGCUGGCGCUGCCUUCUUGCGGCCACGACGCUGGCCGUCUGCGCCGCCAGCCGCUGUGGUCGCCUUGCCCUUCUUUGCCGCUGUAGCUGCAUCUGCCCGCCUCUCGUCCCGCAGCGCCCGGUCACUAGCCUUGUCGGCCUGUACCAGCACUUUGAGGUGACGAAGCAGCCCUUCGAGAUUGGCGUGCACGUACUUGGUCACCAGUACGCCCAUCAAAGCGCGGAGGUCGGUGAGCGAGUAGGGCUGUUGCUGCUGCCCGUUGCCGGGCUGCACUGACACCCCUGCGGACGCGCACGCCGCCUGGAAGCCGCCCCAGGCCGCAGGGUCGUACCGCACCUCAUCAAUCCACCCCUGAACAACCAGAGGGCCUCCGCGCAGUACGCUGCUGGCGGUCUUGACGUGCAAAAUCAGGCCGCGCUGUAAGCCCUCGAAGAAGUCUGCAAUGGAAGGCUUCGGGGUAACAAUGCGGCCUAGGUUUAGGCUUGGCAGCAGGUCGUCGUCAAAGCUGCGCCGAAAGCAGCCAUCCGUGCGCGCCUCGAUCAGCUCCUCCACCAGGCGCGCCUGCGACGAAGCUGCAGCGGUUUUGGACCGCUUGGCUGACCUGGUGGCGUUCUGCAAGGUGCUGUGCAGCGCCCAGCCCGUGACACGGCUGCAGGCGGUCCGGUUGCUGAAGAGCUCGAACGUGGCCUCUUUGGGCGGCAACGCCUGCUGCUGCUUUGGCGGCUGCUUUUUAGAACGCCCUGUUGAGGGGGCCGCCGCAGGCUGUGCCGCUGGUAGCAGCAAACCGCGCAGCACCCCCACGCGUGCAGCGGCCGCGAAGAUGUAGCUGUGGACAAGGCAGGCUGACUGCCCCAGCUGCUGCCAGUCCGCCAUGGUUACCGACGGCGGCUCUGCUGCAGUAAUGUUGCGGCCACGUGCAGGCACUAGGGCCGCUGUGGCCGAGAACGGGGGCCUGCUGAUUGGGCCAACCUCCGGUUGGGCGCACAGCCAGCUCCAGGCAUGGUAGCACGGCGCAGCAUGCUGUGCGCCAAACACAUGCUUUGUGGCAGCUGUAGUGCCGUUCGACUGCACAAGCGCGUCCUCCAUUGCAGGCAGCAGCCACGCGCAGUACGCCUCCCACGCAUGGCUGACGCAGGAGUCGGGCUGUAGAGCCGCGGUGAGCUGGGGCACUGCCGGGCGGUGUGCGUUGAAGAUGCUGGUGCCAACCAGGUCCUGCCACACCAGCUGCCGCAGUCCAGCCGCGGCAGCAACGGUAGCCGUCCGUGAUGGCUGGUCGCCAGUAGGCUGUGUGCUGUUUGACAGAUCUGACAGGCUCCAGGUGCUGGACGCCGCUGCGGCCCUGGUUGGGCCCCGCCGCCGGCAGCGUAGAAGGCUGUCCACUGCAUCCACGCUGGCGCUGCCAGCGCUGGAUGCGGACGCUGGCGCGUACGAGCCGUUACGCUGGUGUUGGGCCCGAGUGAGGUUGGCGGCAAUAAGGACCUCGUUGGUGCGCAAGUGCUGCUCGCCGUCCAUCACGCGCCGCGCGUCCGGACAGCGGUUUUGGCCAUGGCCACGGAGCUGCGAGAACGCGUUCUCAACACAGUUCUGGUUGAGUGUCGCGAGAGAGACAGACCGAGGCGGGCUGCCUUGAGGCGCCUUGCUAAUGUAGCUGCGCACCAGGGCAACGACGCCGUAGCAUGUGACCUGUGUGGACGGCGGCCAGAGUGGGGGGACAUUCACUUAAGCCCUCCGAUACAUGUGCUGUGUGGCCACCGACUCAGCAGUCCAGUCCAAAAUGAGGGAUGCCUCACCUGAAAGUCGCUGUAGCACUCCUGAGAAAGGCCCGUGCGACCUGUGCCAGUGGUGGGCAGCUUCUUGUCCUUCUCGUCCUGUCGGAGCUUCUCGUGCCAGCUGUACACGGUUUCGCCAUUCCUGAGCAGUUGCACCAGGAAGCUGUCGUCGGCCGACUUGAUGGGCUCCACACGCUCAAGCGACAUCAUCGUGCUGUUGAACAGCCUGUGGGUGACGGCGUGACGGCGAGACGUGUUCAGACGUGUUCAGAGCAAUACAGCGAUCAAGCAACUUGUGAACGGGGGUUCAACCAAUGUAUGAAAAUAGCCCUGUAGAAUUUGGCCCUGGAAUUACAACCGCUCACCUGACGAAGCCGUGCAGGCGCAGAGCAGCAGCCUUGAUGGCAGCCGGCGGCUCUCCAGCGGUCCUCCAUUGUAGCGGCAACUGGCUUCGCCAGCUGAACAGUAGCCGCAGGUGCGCGCUGGGCUGCAGCCGCCCGCCGCAUGGACCGCAUGCCAGCCAUUGCGGGCUGGGCGCCGGCGGGCUGUGCCGCGCCGGCGGGCUGUGCCGCGCCGGCGGGCUGCGCGGCGCCGGCGGGCUGUGCGGCGCCGGUGGGCUGUGCGGCGCCGGCGGGAUUCCAUCCCUCCGUGUCAACCCAGUGCACAAACUCCUCCAGCCCACGUAAAAGCUGCGAGACCAGAUGGCAACGCAUGCGCGUCCAGCUGGUCAAGUGGAUGUGGCUGUGGUUCACAUGCGCCAUCAGCUGUGGAGAGUGGUGCAUGUCCCAUUCCACAAUUGUCUGGACAUCCCGCCAGCUCAGCUCCAACCAGCCACUGUCAUCCGGCCACAGCAUCUCCACGGUGUUACGUCCGUGUGCACCUGCACAGCGUGCCGCACCAAAUCAUAUGUUAAUGGGGAUCAAAUUUAAAGGGGGGUCAUAUCAGUGACGCGCAGCAUGGACUAGAUACUGCCCCAGGUACGGCACGUCCCCAUACCUGUCCCACUGCGGCUACGCUCGAUGUUGUUCCGCCCCUUCUUGAUGAGGUGCGGGCCGUCCGUCAGCAUAAUGAUGGGCAGCGUUGGAUCGGCCGGGUCGCGGAAGCACCGCAGGUGCGCGGUAGGGUUGGCCGACGGCAUCGUGAUGUUGCAUUCUGAACAGCAAGGCAAUUGUUUAUUAUGGGCUCAGCAACAUGUAGCAACGGCAGCUAGUCGCGCCCGCCACGUGAGCGCGUACCUUCCGCGACCUGCUUCGCCAGCUCCUCGUCCGCCAUCAGCUCCAUCCACUUGCGGUUCUCAGGAGCGCCAUCACACACCGUGUAGUGCACGCGCAGCCCAGCCGCGCGCAGCUGCGUGAUGCCAUGCGAGAUGAGCGGGGCAAGCUCGACAGCUGACACGCCGUUGGUGAAGAAGUAACCGACGGAAGCCCUGAGGGCAGUCAAACAAGCAAGUACGCAAAUUGGUGAUCGGUGGACACAAAAGAGGCGGAUGCACCCGAGCCCUACCCAUGUACCUCAGCCUCCAACAUGCAUUGAGCAUCGCGCUCUUUCCUACCGGACGGUCUGGGGGCCAAGCGUUGUGUAUGUCAGGUGCAACACGUGAGUUGCCAGAGCUGGGGGCGGCGCUGACUCGCCGCCCAUAGCUGCAGCGCCAGCUGCUGAGGGCAGCGGCGGCUUGCCGCCCAGGAGCUGGUGCAGGCGCUGCGCCUCAGUGCCCACGUCCACGUCCGAGUAGCCCAAAAAGGAGUUGGUCGAUAUGUUGAACACCAGCCCGCUGCUGAUCUUCAUCUCGUCAAAGGCAAGCCCGCCGUCAGGCUGCGCGCCAGCCAUCUUCACAAGCUCCGCUGCCUGCUCCAUCACAGGCGGGUGCCAUCCAGACCCGCACGCCGUGAAGCCCUUGUAGUUCAGGAGCUGACUGAUGGACGGAAGCGAAAGCUGGUCGCUGAUACGAUCAUAGAGGCCAGCGCCACCCUGGUUCAGCAGCCCGAGCGCGAACUGCAGCGUACUGGGGAGAGAUGGCAAGGGGGCGAGCGAAAGCGACACCAGCAUUUAGGUGAUACUAAGGAUUGCCCGCUCCGACCCAUCCUGCCGCGCCCCGCCGUGCCUUGCCGCGCCCCGCCCGGCCGCCCGCCCCACCGUGCCGCGCCCUACCGCGCUGCACUGUGCCGCGUCGCAACCCGCCCCGCACCGUGCCACACCACAACGCCUGCCACACCUGUUGUGCCAGCGCAUGCCGUUCACCAUCUUGCCGCCUUGGCGUGCACGGCGGACGUAUUCCAGCUGGUCCUUCCAAAAUGCAGCCUGGCCGGGGUUCUCCUUCAUGUGAGCCUGAACGCCCUCAUGCUGCAGCAGCGUCACUAGAUCCUCCGACUCCCCUGCUGAUAGCUCCGUCAUCUUAGCGCGUGAAGCCUCCAGCUCCGCCUGGACUGCCGCUAGCUGCUCCUGGGUUGCCGCUAGCUCCUGGCCAAGCUCGGCUUUCUCAUGGCUGAGCUGGACAACCUGAACCCGCAGCGCCACAAUCUUCUCCUCCGAAUCCUUCAGAGCCUGCUCGUACCGUUCAGCUGACACCGCUGCCGCGGACAUAGCUGCCGCGGCGGUGGCACCCGCCUUUGCUUCCGCCAGGCGGUGCUGUACGGUGCUGCGGUGGAGGGUGGCGCGCAGGGACGGGGCGUGGGCGUGGCAGCUGGUACAGCGCGAGCUGCAGCUUGCGCCGCUGACGAGGCCGCUGCAGUUGGUGCUGAAGUGCACUUGCCGCUCCUCGUAGCUGGUGGGCCACAGCGGAUCGUCGGUCGGCAGGGCAAGGCGCCCGGCCGCGGGAUAGAUGGUGGUACGCGGCUGCAUACUGAAGCGCUGCAGGGGAAGCGAGUCCACAGUACUGUUGGGGGUUGUGUGCUGGUCCUUGUAUGCACGCAUCUCCGCCGCCGACGUGCCGCCAUAGCAGGGGCGGCAGCUCUGAAGGUAGAGGAGGAGGUCGGACAGGGCUGCCUGGGUCGUCAGCCGGCCCGCGCUGGGAGCAUCUGCUGGCAACUGAACCUCCUCCAGGGCAUGCUGCACGCUGAAGCCCAGGUUAGAGGCCAGUACGACGCUGAGCCUGUUGUGGUAAUGGCUGCCCACCGUACAGUCAAACCGCAGGUGCUUGUCUCCGGUGUGAGACACGGGCUGCUGUACCAGGUGACAGGACCACGCGGACGUGACCCGUGUAUCCCAGUCCUUCCAGCCCGCCUUGGAAGCUGGGCUGAAAGCGGCACGAAUGCUCUCAAGUCGCUCACUUGGACUGACGCACUCAAGCUCGUCAAAGGCGGCCGCGGCCUGCGCCGCCGCCGCCAUGAUAGCUGAGGGAGAGAACGCGCCGCUCGUGACGUUGCGGUGGACAUCAAGCGCCUGUUGGUGGCGUCAUUUACAAAUGGGUUCGUUAGGGCUUGCAGCAGACCGUGAACGCUGGAAGUGCAUCGUGCCUAGUGCCGACCCAGAUUGCAGUCACGCCGCCCAGAUUGUACAUGUCACGCCAUGUCCACACCCCGCACGGCUAACCCCGCAUAUGCAACGAACCCAUGUGAAGCAACUCCGAAACAAUGCCAUGCUCACCUGCGGCAUCGACGCGAGCUCCAGCAGGUGGGCGCCAGGGGCAGAGGCUGCGAAGAUGGCGGUCUGCCUGGCGAAGAUGUUGGAGCGCUUGCGGCUGUGCACUCCCGUGCUCUUGUUGAUUGUACUCACGAAAUAGGCGAGCUGUCGCGGUGUCAGGCUGUACUCGCUGUCACUGCCGUUCAGCCCCGCGAUCUCGCUGAAGAGGGCAGCCGCACUCGCAAAGAAAGCGCUGCUGCUGCUGCCCCGUGCCCUCUUCAUAGUGAGCCCACUGUCUGAGAAGUGCCCGCCAAGGAUACGGUACAGAACCAACUCCUCAGGCGCCGGCAGUGUGUCGCCCCACCUCUCCCACACCGGGAACGUAGUGCGGCCCCCCGUGUAAGCUGCAGCAGGCGGCGGCGCUACUGUUGGCUCCGCCACUGGCCCUGGCCCUACUGUUGGCGCCACCACUGGCACUGCUUCUGGGGCAGCGGUGCUGCCACCGCUACCAGCAGAGGUGGCGCCGUCGGUAGCUGGCAGUUGCUGUGGCGUUGAAGUGGCAGGCGAUGUGGCUAAUGGCUUCUCAGAAGGCUUCUCUGGAAGAUCUGGUGGAUCAAAGGUGGCAAGGUCGAUGCCGCUGACGCUGGACGCAUUCCUGCGGUGGCUGCGCCUCAGCCCCGGCUGCUGCUGCAACCCUGAAGCCGCACCGCUGUCGUUGACCAGCACCUGCUGCGGCCUCGGCUGGAUCUCUGUGCCGAAGGCCCGCGCCUGCGUUGCCGUGCUGGCGGCAACACUGGCGUUCACAAGUCCCGCCACCAGCAGCAUGCUGGCUGUGUUGUGCUGGCGCUGCAGGGGGUUCUGCGUCUGGGCCUGCUCCAGCUCGUACUCGUGCUGCAUCUCCGCGGUCACAGUCUUGUUGUGCUCUGCGCACUCAAAGCAAACGUUCCAGCCAACCCGGUCAGGUGGCGAAACAGGCUGGAUUUGACGCAGCGUUGCGCCUGGCGUGUAGCUGGAGUAAUGGGCUGCAUGUGUGUGCAGCGGACACGAGCCGAGGACACUGGUGCUGGCCACGGUGAAAGCGCAGCAGUCUUCGCCGCCGUUACACCAACCCGGCUUAUGGCCAUCGCUGCUGCGGCCGAUGCUGAUGAAGCCCCUGGACGAAACCUUCAUGCCACAGGUGUAGCAGUGCCUCCGCCGCAUUUCCGCAACCUUUCCCAUUGAGACGGGCUCGGCGCAGACAACCAGGAACAGAAUGAAGAACUGUGGGGGGCGGUACAAGGGGGGAAGAGGCGGGCGGGGGUGAGCAACCAGCCUGCACACAAAGGAGGCCACCCACCAAAGCCUCGGGGGCACUCCACAACAUCUUGGACCGCAAUCACAGGCUCAUCAGAGCGCAACCCACAUGCCAGGGACAGCCCGGUGUAGCCCAGUACCGGUCCCAUCGUGCACCCAAAGUCCCCGGACAUCUGGUGUGAACACUACGCCGAACCUUUUUGCAGUCUGGAAAGCGCUAUGGGCUCCCAUAUACAUGUUCUCCAUUCUGACACCUAAGCACAUGAUAUCUAGGAACGCGCGAUGCCCGCCAUGCAAAAUUGCGCCUGCAUUCUGGUGGGGAAGAAUGCCUUCCUCUAAGGACCCCGGCAUGCGCGCUAUGGCCAAAGUACCGCCAACACAUAUCGAAAUCGUGCAGGCGCGGUGAUAUGGCUGCGACGAUUUGGCCCCCUGUGAACUGAACCAUCACAUUUCGCCGGACAUCGCGUGUGGCCUAAUACUCCUUGUAAACAUGGUCGGGAUUCGCGCUUCUGGUUCCUCAUACAGUUGGCUCCAUUCUGACACCUAACCUAGGGAAAGGAGCGAUAGCCGACGCCACCCGAGCUUGUGCCGCGCUGGGGGCCUUUCCAUGCGGUCCUGGAAACGGCCCAACCAGCACCCUCCUGGCCUCCUAAGGCCGCACCCACCCCCGCUGGGACAUGGUAUUGGGAUGCAAAUGCCUAGGUCGGCGCUGGCAGCUCCUUAGGAGGCUCAGCGAGCCCGCAAAGGGUCCAUUUCCCCGUUCUCCCCUGGUCUCACCGUCGCUCGCAGGGCGCCCAGGGCCUCCAGGACACGCCAGAUCCCCGCGAAACGAGCGUUCCAGUUCAUUUCAGUAUUUCACGCCAUACUCAGCCCAAAGGCCCGCCCAUAGGUCGGCGCCACUACAAGACUAGAAUGCAUACAAAUACACCUCUUACCAACCUCGCAAGCUCGUCGCUAGGAAAUAUGUGGAAAAUGGUUGCUCGGCGAAAGGUGGAGCGAAAGUCCGCAGGUAUCUGCGUUCUGAUAUGCUUUGCACUCUGCAUGCUGACAACCAACGCGACCACGGCUGGGAACGAGUCUGGCUCUGCCGCGGCCGACCGCUGGUUUGACCGGGGACCGCCCCGGCAUUCCAGCGCUUUCGUGCUAUUGGGCAACCAUGACCGUACCAUGCCAAUCCAAAAGUGGUCUGCAAGAGGUCUCACGACCUGCACCGAGAGCUCUGCGAAAGGGGGAUGUUCGCAUGUUUGCACCAACCGGGCAACUGGCGCACAGCUGCCAGCCCUAAGCCACACUGAUGGCUCCAUUGCGACACAUGGAAUUAACCACGCACACGGUAGCGUGUGGAGGGAGAACUUCAGCUUUGCGCACUCGAUGUUCACAGUACACUCGAACCCCGCGAACGCGACGCUCUUGUCGGAUCGCUGCUCUCAGAAAGGCAUAUUUGAUACCAGUAUACUGCACACGACGUGCUACACAGCUGGCAAGCGUGCUGGCGCCGAACCUUUCGGCAUGUCGCCAAAGAGACCUUCGCAAAGCCCAACUGCUGCAAAACACCCGUCUUUUGAGGAGCUUAUAAGCUCCAAGCACAUACCAGUUGCCUCAGAGCCGCUCGCCAACGACGUCCCAGAAAGGGGUCGAGCCGAGCCUCUUGGCCUCCAGUAUUAUACAGCUAAUUCCCAGCUCUAUGAAAAUGCGAGUUUGCUCACAGAACCACAACCGACAAGCUCCGAACGAAGGCAAUACCGAAGCCCUAGCGGACUCCUGUCGCGCGCAAAGGUUAAGCCAAAGCCUGGAUGCACCAACAUACGCAAUGUGAUGAUAACUGCCUUGCAACCGGUAGGGGAGGGACUCCUUUCUACAAAUCUGAAAAUAGCACAGGCAUGCAGGAGUGGCAUGAGAAAGUUAUGCACAGCGGAGGGAGUAUACCGUCCAUAUGCGAGUAAGACAAUCGGGCUGCUUGGAGAGAGCCUGUUAACGAGUGUGCUUGCGCUGGGCGACCUGGGCAGUCGGCAUGGAGGAACCAUGCUGCGCUCCGGUGCUUCGGCACUGCACUCCAUGGCAGAAACAGCUUACGGGCCCCAACCAACCCACAACUGUAGUGCCUCCUGGGAAAACUCGCCGCUUCUUCGCCUGCACCUUGCACUUGCCGUCUACCUCCACUGGGUUGGAGCAGGGCAUGUACGGGCAGCCAUGCACAGCCAUGCUAUCGCCAUCAGAGUGGGCACACACCUUGCAACCCUGUCUAGACUCGCCACCUACCAGACAGUCGCCCAGACUGGCAAAGCACUACACACCAUACUUGACAAAGCCAUUGUCAGCCUCGCCAUCAUCACCGCGACAGGGGCCAUGUAUAUGCUCUGGACCCACCUCCUGCACACCGAAACCCACACUACCUCCAUCAACACGGAAAUCUAUGCAAACGGUGCAAUCCUCAGCCUGCUACUAUGGGGUCCCACACUCACCACUCUUGCUCUCUCCCCACUGUGUGUAAUAGCGCUUGCCUUCGGGAUAACCGCCAUCCCCGCAGCCCUCGGUCUCCUGUUCGCACUGACAGUGACAUCCAUCCUACCCGUCCUCUGUCUCCCAGCUCUCCUCAACUAUGUGGUCCAAGUGACAAGGCAGAUAGCCUCUGCAACCUGGGCCCGGCGGAAGCUACUACUCUGGGGAACGGCCAUGGCCAUCAUCCUGCGAAACCUGUACCUCACACUGCCGGACCCUUGCAGUGUGCAACCGGCACAGCCGGCACUCUGGGGGCCAGCAUUGGUCACCGGCCUACUUACUGCUAGCCAGGCAACCACUCUCCUCACGCUUACAUAUGCAGUAAACCGGACACACACAAUGCCCUACAUCAAGCCAACACUGCGAGGUGCGCUGCCCACAGACCCGACAGCCCCGCCGGCGCCCGCCGACCCUCGCACGCAUGCGGCAGUGAACAUCCGACCACCAGCCGCACUGCACUGGCCGCCAAACUCCAACACCACAUACCAUGAAACACAGCGGCAACACUUCUGCAGUGUCCACGCCCUCAACAACUCUUUGGGGCUCGCAUGGCUCGACCCCCUGGAUGUCCUCUCUUACGCUAAACGAGUGCACGCUCACCUCACAGCCACGCAAGACCCGAAUGCCCUGUUCUGGAAAGAAUGCUACUGCCCCAACAGUGGCGCCUUCAGCGAAUUUCUCCUGAACCACUACCUGUACCACAAUGCCACCAUCAGCAACAUAUUCGCCUACCCCAACAGGAAGUUGAUUAUGCGCCGAACCCACUUUCCGCGACUCAACGGCGACAUCAGCAAAGAAAAGGUCCUAGAGAGCCUUCCGGUAGCCGCCCGAACUCGCGGCUUUACCGUCCACCAGUACACUGUGCGACACACAAUUGCUGUGCGUUACGAAGCAGGACAAUGGAGAGUAAUAGAUUCGGUGAACAGCCCUAUCCACAACACGGUCUUACACGACAACACUUGGAACACACUUGAUGGGGAGGUCUGGUGCCUUGACGCGGUGCGUGCAUCUGACACGGCAACACUUCAGGACGCACUUGGGCAACUCCGUGAGAUCGUCCCGCCACCACGCCCGCCACCCCACAUGGAGGCCACCAGACCCGUGCAGACAGGGCCCGCCGCCACAGGAAGGCCGGCACCAGAGCCAGCUCAACAUGCCCAAGACAACUCACCGCUGCGGGCAGCACACAGGGCGCCACAGCAUGCAGCACCCCACACUACCGCACCCGCGCAGCCACACAAUGCAAAUGCCGGCAUAGCACCCCGACUCAACACGACAGGCACCCGACAAACUAUCCUUAACUGGCUUGUACGGCCCACUGCACGCAACCACGCUCACAUGGAACCCAACCAGGCACACACAAACACGAGACCCCCCAGCAGCAACACCACCCUACACAUCGUGACCCACAAUGUACGGGGACUGCUCUCAGAAAUUCUGUCCACCGGCCAACCCGGCAACCUCAGCUUCACCCUCUGCAACCUAGCCCAAUGGAAAGCCGACAUAGUUGUCCUAACCGAGACAAAACUGACAGGGAAGACUGACUCAAUCAAGCGAGCCUUCCGAAAUGAAGGAUACCGCCUCUACUGUAGCACUACUCCCCGCGCGGCCACAGCGCGCGGUAGCGCUGGCGUAGCGGUGGCCAUCUCCGCCCGGUACAGUGACCUCGGCUGUGUCACACACCACACGCCCCCACCAACACUCCAUGGCUAUGUGUCACACGUUCAAAUUAAGACCCCCGGGAGCACGCCUCUCACUGUACUGGGCAUCUACGCACCAGAAGACAUGCAAACCCGCAAGGCAAUCUACACAUACUGUCAGCAGGUGGUGGGCCGGGCGGACGCGUGCGAACACCACCUAGUCACCGCGGGAGACUUUAAUGCCGUCGCCCGAGCACAUGAGCGUGACAGCCCCAUCGACACGGCGGACCGGGCCCACCAGCGGUUCCUUGCCGAUAGUGGCCUGCGCCCUAUCCGCGGAGACACCACUACCACUGCCGAAUGGUCAUAUGAACAAACACGCCCGGGCAUGGCCCCAUACCACAGUCGCAUCGAUGACAUCCUCCUAUGCCCUGCCACGCGCGCUGCAUGCACAGAAGCGCGUGAAUACACCAGUACAGUUGCAGGCAACUUUGACCACAAACCAGUCCACGCAGAGUUACUAGCCGCGGACCUACAGCUAUGGCCGGCACCACAGGCCGGCGCCCGGAACCCAGUCCCCCAGCAGCAGACCCAACAACGAUGGGCCGAGGUCGCACUGCCUGUCACACAAAAGCAACUGGCCGCCGCAGCUAUCCGCCUUGAGGAAGCCCUUGUGGAAGCAACAGCCGACCUGCAUUCCGCAACAAGGCAGGCAACGCAAUCAAUUGAACAUGCACUCACAAGGCACAGCAUGGACCCCACAGGCUACCCCGCCAGCGUCAUGCACCGAGACCUGGCGCAGGACACGAGCAUCCAGAAGGCCGAUAUCAACCAACUUGCAGAACAACUUGCCUCCGCACUGGACACCGGGCUAACAUGCCUCCUUGAAGAGUGCACCCGGAAAGCCCCCUUCACUGGCAAACACCACGCAUCACGCUCCACCGCACGGGUGCUAAAGCCCCUAUGGGACAAGGAAGUGGCCCUGAAGACACAACUGACAAACCUCACGCAAGGGCCCCAGGCCCUACCUGAGGUAGACGCCGCCAAUGCGGCGGCAAAGCUGCGGAACGAAAUAAAGGCCUGCCAGGCCGAGCACCGCCAGCUAGUGGCGGACCGCGCCAAAGCCCAGCGAGAGGCCGCUGCCACAGCGCUGCAACAUACCCUGGCCACGCGCCCUGCACAGGGGCACAAGAGAAUCUUUCAGAAGGAAGACAUGGAACGGGGUCUCCCAGCGGUCCGGAACCCAGAAACUGGGGAGGUGACGACUGACUCCACCAGCAUCCUCGCCAUACUCGAAACCCACUUCCGAAAGCUGUCCGCCCCACCACGCGGCACCCGCACUGGGGACUUCCGACUACCCAGCAACGCCACACGCGGCUACCCAUUUGAGAAAGCCGACGCAACAGAUCAAUUCACACUGGACCGCAACCGGCACCCUGACACACAUUCCAUGCUCCCCAGCAUGGCAGACACGGCAAAUUUUGAGCAGUGCAUUUCUCACCUCUCCAGAAACAAGGCGACAGGCCCUGACGGCAUCCCAAACGAACUGCUCCGUAUCCUGCCAUCGGGCAUGAAGCGCAACCUCCACUGUAUCCUGCAAAUCAUGUACGUCAAGUCACAAAUACCUGAAACCUGGGCCGCAUCAGAGACCGUGCUACUCCCCAAACCUGGAGACGCCCUGGACAUAAAAAACAAACGGCCCAUUGCGCUCGCAAAUACCUGCUACAAGCUGUACACGUCCAUGCUUACCUUGGGCAUUGGCGAACUGGCUGGCCCCCUCCAGCUAUUCAGUGAAGCGCAGGAAGGCUUCCGUGCCUACUGCAACACCGAAAGGCAGGUCCUAAAUUUAGUACAUGCCCUUGAGGAUGCCGCACUGUUUGGAAAAGAUGUCUAUGCGGUAUACGUGGACUAUAGCUCCGCGUUUAACACAAUCGACCAGGACCGAUUACUACAAAUUAUGUUUGACCUUGGGCUGCCAACGGACCUGAUCCGCGCAGUCCGCAACCUAUAUGCACAUGCGACCACCCGCAUCCGCACCGAACACGGAAGCACAUCCGCCAUUCCUAUAGAGCGAGGCACCGUGCAAGGGGAUACACUCUCACCUGUGCUCUUUAUUCUGUUCAUGGAACCUCUUGUCCGCUGGCUCCAUGCGGGCGGACGGGGCUACCACUACGGCUGCCUGACCCCCAGCGAAAACCUGCAGUACCAUUGCAGUGCCGCCGCGUACGCAGACGACCUGGCGGCGCUCACCAACUCGCUCGACGACCUGCAGGUUCAAUGUGACAAAAUCGCAUCUUACGCCGAGUGGGCGAGCCUGCGUGUCAAUCACACCAAGUGUGCCACCACCGCCAUCUGGCACGACAAAUCUCGCUCGGACCCCAACCUUGACGGGCCCACAGGAAAAGCUACCCUUGCCGCCAUGCGCCGCAACAUGACCAACACAAUUAAGAUUGGCACGACCCCUGUCCCGUACUUCCCCCCGACCCAGCCGUACAAGUACCUGGGAGUGCAGCUCACGUUCUCGCUGGACUGGUCGGCACAUGUCGCAAGAGUCACCGAGACUGUGAAGGACAAGGGCACAGCCAUUGCCACAUCCCUGGCGACACCGGCACAACGCCUGCGCAUGAUACAACAGUGCGUGCACACCACAGUUGCAUAUGGAUUCGCAGCAAUGCCCUUCACAAAACAGGACAUAACAACGCUCGACACUACCCUGGCUGGUUUUGCAAAGCGCUGCUACGGACUCCCCCGCAGCUUCCCCACCCGGACCUCCCUCCUGCCCGCCGACGAAUACGGCUUGGGCCUGGGCUCCCUCCUGCCGCAAUACGCGCGCGUGGCCCAGCGAGCCCUGGUCCUUGCCCUAAAUGACUCGGGCCGUCUUGGGAUAGUAACCCGAGCCCUUCUGCCGCGCCAGGCAAGCAUAGCUGGCCCCACACAGGCCCACCUUCUCCCAGCCCAUAGGUCACACCACCUUACGACGCUGAAACAGAUGACCCUGGCAAAAGAGUACGGUGUCACACUGUACCAAAAUGGGUCUGCCUUUACUGCGCCUACCUGGUCCAUUGCCGCUGCCCUUGAGGCAGAAGCUGACGCCCGGGGCGUCGAACCUCUCCCCAUUGAAUACGUCCUCCCUCUUGCGGACCUGAGGCUCGAACUGAGCCACCUGGUGGACCGCAACACAGGCAAACACCUGAUUACUAGCUCGGACCUCGAGAAGCACAUGGGAGCGAGCCGGGUCCGGCACAAGCACAAGGUAGCCCUGAACAGGCUUAGCCUUGCUCUCAGUAUGGCUGCACGUGCAGGGGAAAACGCUCCAGCCCAUGGCAGCCCUGCCCCCCUGACCACCGCACAGCGUGCACUGCCCGACGUGGCCGCAAUCGUGGCCUUAGCCAUGAGGGCGGACCCCCUCCCUCUCGGAAUGGCCAACCCCCUCGACCGGUACCUGCAGCCCCUCCCGGAGGCGCCCCCCGCCCAAGCAAACACCACGCAAGCCCCCGCCGACCUAGCCCCCCCCUCUCCAGCAGGGGCGGCCCAGGCCCAUCCCGGCGCACAAGGUGCUGCUGCACCGGAAGUCCCCGCUGAUGGGGCAACGCAACCCUCCCUACGGCCACCGGCCAGAGCCCGCAAGCCGGCUACAACACGCCGGCCACAGAACCAAACACGCGCACGGCGCGUUACAAAACAUGCAGCGCAACGCGCACGCAUUGCAGAAACUACACGCACUACCCCUGAGGACUUGCUCACCGGGGACCGCGCCGCCAUCAACCAUGCCCUGCGGCUCACCAACGGCGAUGAGAGCCUGCCGGUGGGCACGCGGGGAUAUGAAACGGCAUGCUCGGUAUUCCAGGCGCUCGCCAAAGACAUGACAGGACACAUGCGGAUCUGCCACCCACACCCACAAGACCCACCCUCCCUUGCACAUGCUGUCGAACCACGCCAACAGCGCCGUGGGCUACCACCCGCCCUCACAACCCGCCUCACGGCGAAUGCCGCCAACCCCGAACCCAACGCCAUAAGCGAGUAUCUGAACAACACAGGAUUGCCUAUGGAAGUCAACCAGGCUGCCGCUCACAACGACCCCAUGGACGCCGAUAGCCCGACGCCGCCCCUGACCGCCCCGGCAGUGCAAGCUGCGGGAGGCCAUGGGGCCCGUCCCAGCUGGCGACUGGCCCGCGCAAGGAUCACACACGAUCUAGUCCCAAGGCCCGCCGACAACCGCACUAACGGUGACACUCAACUCACCUACGCCCUGGACAAUGACGGACAGGAACUGGCACAGGUCCUGCACAGCGAAAACAAACAAACUGUCACGGACAAAGAACUGACACGGAAGCGCAAAGCCAGAGAGGACACCUCUGGGACACGUGAAAAAUACUGGAAGGUGCAGUGGAAGCCGUCCAUUUGCCCGGCCGGCAUUGUCUCUGCUUUUGUUCGCAUGGGCUACGCAACUAUCCAGAAUGCCAGGUGUUAUAAGCACCCUCUUGCGACGCGCCCAUGCCCACAACCUGCGCAGACCGAGGCUGAGCCUCCGGCUGAAACCCAAGCCCACGCAAUCUCACCUGAAGAGCCUGCCCAAGCUGCAGAGCCGGCAGCACCGCAGCCCACUGGGGCCCCCCUAUUCUCGUCCUGGACGACCAAACUCCUACGACAUGUCACGUGGGCGCCGAGCACGGACCGUGAACGGGACCUAAAACACAGUCCACAAUGGGAGGAGUUACUGGAGGAGUGCAAAACCCGGCUAGCAAACGGUACCAACCAAGGCCCGCGGCCCCGAACAGUGCGCCCCGCACCUGAUCGGAACCUUACCGCCAGACAGCGCCAAGGCCGCCACGACGCCGAGCCCCUGGAUACCGCAUCCCGCGCGCGUGACAUCCGCACGACCACCACCAUCACCACAAGCCCGUGCAACCCCUACAAGGACAUUGUGGCCCCCGGAGCAUACACAAUUACCACCACUGGUGGCACCCGCCGUGACCCAGCUGAGGCGCACGUCCAUGAACCCAGUGGCCGCUGGCUGGGCACCAUCACCUACCCCCGCCUCCUUACCCUGUGGGAGCGCUUCAGGCACACCGGCAACCAGCGGCCCAACGCCUUUGAGGAAGCGGUCGCUGCCCUCAUCAUGCGCUACCGCUAUGACCCGGCGCAGCAGGACCGCAAGGCCAUGCCAAUGCACCAGGUGUCGCUGCCGGCAGGCACAGUAGCAGCCAUCGUCCAAUGCCUGCGGGUCACACAAGCAGUACACAUUCGGGAAAUGUUUGCGUCCCCACUAAACUCCUCCAUUGCAGCCCACGAAUACUGGACACGAGACCCUGCUGAUGGGGCCUUUGGCGCACUGCACGAUGCCUACCAGACCGCAUGGACCGGCUUGCAAUAUGCCCACCCCCCCUCUAGCCCCCACGACGCACGGAAGGCGCUCAUGUGGGCCCUCGCAUGCGCCGAGGCUAUGCGUGACUCACAGGAACCAACCCUUACUGUAUUGGCGCUCCCCAAAGCGGCCACUUUCCCCCACACGCAGUGGCUUCAACACCCACUUUGCCACGAGCUGGCCAACUGGUCCGCGGGCACCGCGGGCCUUGACACAGGACUUGGCACCAACACCCAGGCUGAACGCCAGAAGGGGCUCCGACUGGUCAUUGUUGGGAACCCCGCCGGACUCCAGUGCUUUGCCCCCCGCCUGAAACGGCUCGUGGACGCACUGAAACGGGGGGCGAACGCACCCACGCACAUCAGCGACCCGCGCACGUGGACACACACGGCCACGGCCCCAACCUGCCCGGCCCUCCCAAACUCACUUCUAAAGCAAGCCAAAUACCAGCACGCUAACCCAAAGACGAUACACGCCAUGGCUGACGAAGCACGACGCUUUCCUAACGCGCGAUUCCAGACCCACCAUGCUCUGGCCCACGACGUGAAUGGCACUGUCUGGACAGAUGGUUCGGUAAGCAAAAUCAAAACUGACAAUGGCAAAGAAGUCCAGGUUGCCGGCGCCUGCGCCUGGUUCAGCGAUUCUCGCGUUGUCUACGUGAAUCCAAAUGGCGCUGGGUGCACAAACACUAUUACGAGAGCUGAACUGGCAGCAAUUCGUGCUGCCCUCGCAGAAUUUGGUGGCGAAGGUAAAGAAUUUGCAACUAAGAAGCUCACUAUUGCAUCAGAUUCUGUUGCAAGCUUGUACCUAAUCAAACGAGCAAUUAACGAGCCUCGGCGACUGCAUCUGAGUAAACAUCGGGACCUCCUGGAUUCAGUCGUGGCAUUGCUCCAUGCACGCCACGCCCGGGGCGCACCCACCGCCCUGAUUAAAGUGAUCUCGCACACCGGGCUACACGGCAACGAGGAAGCCGAUAAAGGGGCGGCUGCCGUCGCCACCCAGGAAAAACCCGCCGAUUUAUCCGAACCGGCCGACAACGACCCGCACGCCCGGCACUGGUGGCCGACCUUCACGGUCACCAGGGACGACGAUAGCACAGCCACGCACUACGUGUCGGACCUAAACCGGGGCCUCACCAGGGCAAUGGCCCCCAGCUGCCGUGGUGGAUACGCCAACAAAACCCUGUACACUGAGAAAUGGGCCGAGGCAGCACCCAGCCUUGACCCACGCGCCAGUAACGCGUACAUGACGAACUCGGACGCCAGCCACGGCCUACGCCGGUUCAUACAGAAUGCUCGUCAGGGAGGCCUCAUCUGCCCGGCCCGGCUGGCUUUGUUUAAACUACGAGACAGCGACAAAUGUGGUCUCUGUGCCCACACCCAGCGCAGCCGCGGAUCUGACCCAGAGCGUGGCACCGCAGGUCACCUUGCCGGCCACUGCGCGCACCCCCAACUCGUUGGCGCUAGGAUAGCCAAACACAACACUGCAGUGCGGACGAUUGCCGAAUGCCUACACCAUGGUCACAACGGUGGUGGCUACAUGAUAAUGGAUGCCACCUCCCGAGCUGAACUGCCUGAGUACUGUGCGGGCAUGCGGCCGCCGUCAUGGCUCUGCCCGCGAGUGCCCGCUGCAGACCUCAACAGGAUGCGGCCUGACAUUCUGUUUAUCCCGAACCUCCCCCGGUCCGAAGCAGAACGCUUCAUGACAUCCCCACCAGCCAACAAAGGGGCCUACCCAGUGUACAUCCUUGAAGUUGGAUACACCUCUGACCUGCACCACAGCGAGAAGCUCAUUCAAAAACAAGCACAGCAUGCCACCCUUGCCACUGCCAUGCGAGCUGCAGGGUGGACCGUGCACUACGAUACCAAGCACGUUAUUACACUGGGACACGGUGGCACUGUCCCCCGUACCCUUGAAACUCUCCUCAAAGACCUAGGAGCCAAACCGCAGGCAGCCAAGGCCUGCUGCACACGUCUCCACAUGCAUGGCGUCACCACACUCCGGGGCACCGCAAACCUGUACUACCGGCUAGAGCGAGAGAUGGGCAUUGCCAACACCCGAUGCCGCCCGGGAGGCCGCACCCAGGGGACCGCCAAUGGCGGCCCCCGCGCAGGGGAGCCGGGGUAGGGAAAUCAAGUUUUCCAAUGGUGGGGUGAGCUUGUCUCACUCCUCCUUAAGACACGCGGGCACCUGUGCCCUGCGUAGAUAUUAUUAUUAUUAUUAUUUCACGCCAUAGGACACGUCAAGUCAUGAAAUCGCUCAGGAAUGGCUCUAAACCCUCGAAAUGUUGGAGGGGGCCCUGCGGCCCUUCGCUAUCAGUUCUAAUGACUAUACAGUUGUCUUACAAACACAAAUGAAUGGCCGGGAGCUCCUUGGGAGGGGUCCGAACACCUUUUGGCCGGGUCCCAUGCAGCGCGAACCUGGAUCCAGGCCGAGUUGCACACCCCCCUCCCCUGUAGGCAGCCGAGUCGCAGCCCAGCGGGGCACACAUACAUACUGUUCUUACGCACACUAAAGCUGAACGCUACCUGAGAUUCAAGUACCACUCGAGCAGGGUUCGAUCAUUCGAGUAGUUUUGGUCUUCGCGUGUGGAUGAUUUCUUUUCUAUUUUAGACAGGGCCAAAAAUGAUACCGAAGAGAAGCAACGGCAAGCAAAGCGGCCGGAGGAGGCAGCCCGGCAGCAAGCGGCCGCGUCUGCUUAGAACGCCAAGUUACAGGGGCGGGAGUUCCAGACAUGACUAGUUGGAAGACGGCGGGGUGGCGGGACUGCGAGAGGAGGAGGGAGGAGGGAGGAGGGAGGAGGGAGGAGGGAGGAGGGAGGAGGGAGGAGGGAGGAGGGCCGAUCUGCGAGCCCGUGUUUCGAGGCGUUACCGUGGCCCAGUAUGGCCGAUGGUUGCAGACAACCCCCCUCCCCCAAAUUCGCUAACAAGGCAGCCGUACUGCGGCGGAGCAUUCUAAAGGGGGCGCCACUAAAUCGACUGGAAAGAGGCCCAGUAAUCCCACUAGCGGACCGCCAUGCGAUCCAUGGAGCGUGCCCCUAAGGGAGUCAAGUGACAGGGGACGCAAUGUACAGUGUUUGAAUGCCGAGCACGAGAGGAGGCUGGUGUAGAAGUGGCGACUAAAGUCUGAGUAUGACCUGAGUGCCAGAGUCGUAACAAAUGUUGGACCAAAGGUACUGCGGAUGCUGGCGUGCACACAACCUCCUGGACCGGUGACCGGGGCCCCAUAAAAAAAAUGCCGUGGCGACUGGCACGCCCUAGCAUGAGGAUUCCCCGCCCAGAGGGAGGAGCUUUUCUUCCUAUGGGUUUGGCUUUUCUCUCAACAACUUUCCAAAUCAGGAAGCGUGAUGUGUGCACGGAUUGGCUCGCGUCUGCUGGAUGUCUGUGCUGGGGUUGGCCCAGGGAUGCGGGAUGAGCCGGCGACUUGAGAGACGAGCCGCUCUCGCGGCUCGGGUAGUCUCUUCACCAGUUCACGUGGAGCAGUGGAGGGCGUGGGGGAGGGAGUUUCCGCCCCGCUACAUGCAGCUUCCUGCGUCAGNNNNNNNNNNNNNNNNNNNNNNNNNNNNNNNNNNNNNNNNNNNNNNNNNNNNNNNNNNNNNNNNNNNNNNNNNNNNNNNNNNNNNNNNNNNNNNNNNNNNCGCCAGCGAGCGUAAGAGGGGGUUCGCCGAGCUGGGUCGCCGAGCGUGCUAAAAGUUCACAGCACAUCGCAACUGUGCAUGACUUUGCUCACCGAUUAUAUCAACGGAUACAGCUGCUCGCACAUAUCGUGUAAGCUUUCAUCCCAGCCGAUCGGAACGAGCACUCUCUGAAAUUCUUGCAAGUGCGCGCUCUGGCAGGCCAGACUGUGUCGCUAAUACAUCGCACUGUACGUUAUAGCUGCGCGCAUUCUCGAGGAAGCCAAGAAAGCGCAGUUACCGGCUUCGUUCAUACGCUGCACUCGCUCUCGCGGCCUGGAAAGAAGAUCACGUAUACAAGAAGCUGCGAAUAAUCGAUCAUGCUAGUUGGUUCGAGCUGAAUCGCGCUGUAGCGCAAACGCACCGGGUGCGUCACACUUUCCAGGGCAUAUGUAGAUAGCUGGGCUAACAAGGCAGCCGUACUGCGGCGGAGCAUUCUAAAGGGGGCGCCACUAAAUCGACUGGAAAGAGGCCCAGUAAUCCCACUAGCGGACCGCCAUGCGAUCCAUGGAGCGUGCCCCUAAGGGAGUCAAGUGACAGGGGACGCAAUGUACAGUGUUUAAAUGCCGAGCACGAGAGGAGGCUGGUGUAGAAGUGGCGACUAAAGUCUGAGUAUGACCUGAGUGCCAGAGUCGUAACAAAUGUUGGACCAAAGGUACUGCGGAUGCUGGCGUGCACACAACCUCCUGGACCGGUGACCGGGGCCCCAUAAAAAAAAUGCCGUGGCGACUGGCACGCCCUAGCAUGAGGAUUCCCCGCCCAGAGGGAGGAGCUUUUCUUCCUAUGGGUUUGGCUUUUCUCUCAACAACUUUCCAAAUCAGGAAGCGUGAUGUGUGCACGGAUUGGCUCGCGUCUGCUGGAUGUCUGUGCUGGGGUUGGCCCAGGGAUGCGGGAUGAGCCGGCGACUUGAGAGACGAGCCGCUCUCGCGGCUCGGGUAGUCUCUUCACCAGUUCACGUGGAGCAGUGGAGGGCGUGGGGGAGGGAGUUUCCGCCCCGCUACAUGCAGCUUCCUGCGUCAGUCCGCACACCCACAUUAACCACAACUACUAAGUGCAUUAAUCCCGGCCAGCAGCCCCGCCACAGCUUAGUCCGCCCAGCGGAACUCGGCACUGUCACGCCAGUGCUUCAGGGCUGCCGCGUACGGGAAGUCCGACAGAGAGAACCACCGCUGCGCCAUCAUGCGCACAGUCAGGCACAGGUGCCGCUGCUCCAGCCGGUUGCGCUGCUUGUUCUUGAUGUAGCUCAUGGUGCUGAACACAAGCUCCUUGACUUUGGCCUUGACAUUGCCCAAGCUCUUAUCCUUAACCUUAGGGGCCAUAUCGUGGGGCCAUAUCUACUGUAUGAACUGGUAUGAAUGUAAUACGCAUAGCAAGUAGUAUUUGCGGCGGGGCCCGGGUAGUUUAGGGUCCGGCGGAUUAAAUUUUUGGUACCCGUGUGGGUACUCGAGGCCCCAAUAAUUAGUUUCCAGUACCCGCGUCAAUUUCGUCGAAUUGUUUUCUCAGUACCCGAAUGGGUACUAGUACCCGGUUUUGGAAACACUGCUAGAUUGCAUCGUCGGCCUACGUGGACAUUGCGCAGUCUCCAUGCGGGUCCCACUCCAUGACAAAUCGUGUCCCCAGGGAGGCGCCCACACGACGGCACCCAAAACCCCCUGAUAGAUAGUACUUUCAGGAUGCCACCACGCCGUCCCUAACUGAUGUGUACAGGACAAUACAUCAGGGGGGUUUCACCGCCGUCCGGGGGCUGCGCUUCCCCAGCUACCCCAGCCAAACCCGCACGCCAAGGAGGCCCCAAACCAAACGCAGAGCGGGAUACAGACUCCGCCACUUAAUGUAUAUAUGUUACAUGCAAUCUAUUGGAGCAAUAGCGCUUGACGGCAGGCUAAAACGUGCUCGUCGAGGCUCAAGUCAUGACAUUGACCGACCAACAUCCUGCAUAGGCGUUGUUUUGGAGCGUGAUCAAUUGCCGUCAACACAGAUAUCUGCAUAGAUGUAAUCAGGCUACUAUCUGGCCUGAUAUGGCGUGUCCUGGCGAACGCGACAUGCAGAUGUUUGAGGUCGGCCCCGGCUCGAUUCAGUGCCCCGGGGCUACCCUAUUGACCUUAUAUGUUUGUAGUAGAUGCUAUAGGAGGAAUGGUACUGGGCUGGGGACACGACCGGCCCGUAGUUGGACGUUGCCGACCGACCUCGCAGCGCCACCUUGCCGGUGCCUGAGGCGCAUGCUGCCUAUUAAUUGCUAUUCAUAAUUCUGGGUCCCUUUUAUGGGGCCACGCGGCCACACACCGGUGCUCGCGCAAACCCGAUACUCAACGCGGCGACGCGGCGUUCUUAAGUGGGGGGCCGAAUUCUGUGCGCUGUAUUUACACAACUGGGUCCCUCGCGGCUGCCCGGACAGCAAAUGGCCGCGGCUCCGACAUAAACGCCACGGAGCGCACUCCCGUAUGCGGCCCCAGCGACGUCGCGAGCACGCGCGACGCUCCUCGCAACAAAGCUGGGUCCCUCACGCCCGGGGCCCCGGCCCUCCCCCACACCCUCGGAGGAUCGCCCGCGCGACUAAGUCCGGUUUCUAUUAUUAUUCUUCUUAUGAUAUAGGAAUAAUAAUAAUAAUAUCUACGCAGGGCACAGGUACCCGCGUGUCUUAAGGAGGAGUGAGACAAGCUCACCCCACCAUCGGAAAACUUGAUUUCCCUACCCCGGCUCCCCUGCGCGGGGGCCGCCAUUGGCGGUCCCCUGGGUGCGGCCUCCCGGGCGGCAUCGGGUGUUGACAAUGCCCAUCUCUCGCUCUAGUCGGUAGUACAGGUUUGCGGUGCCCCGGAGUGUGGUGACGCUAUGCAUGUGGAGACGUGUGCAGCAGGCCUUGGCUGCCUGCGGUUUGGCUCCUAGGUCUUUGAGGAGAGUUUCAAGGGUACGGGGGACAGUGCCACCGUGGCCCAGUGUAAUAACGUGUUUAGUAUCCUAGUGCACAGUCCACCCUGCAACUCGCAUGGCAGUGGCAAGGGUGGCGUGCUGUGCUUGUUUUUGAAUGAGCUUCUCGCUGUGGUGCAGGUCAGAGGUGUAUCCAACUUCAAGGAUGUACACUGGGUAGGCCCCUUUGUUGGCUGGUGGGGAUGUCAUGAAGCGUUCUGCUUCGGACCGGGGAAGGUUCGGGAUAAACAGAAUGUCAGGCCGCAACCUGUUGAGGUCUGCAGCGGGCACUUGCGGGCAGAGCCAGGACGGCGGCCGCAUGCCCGCACAGUACUCAGGCAGUUCAGCUCGGGAGGUGGCAUCCAUUAUCAUGUAGCCACCACCGUUGUGACCAUGGUGUAGGCACUCGGCAAUCGUCCGCACUGCAGUGUUGUGUUUGGCUAUCCUAGCGCCAACGAGUUGGGGGUGCGCGCAGUGGCCGGCAAGGUGACCUGUGGUGCCACGCUCUGGGUCAGAUCCGCGGCUGCGCUGGGCGUGGGCACAGAGACCACAUUUGUCGCUGUCUCGUAGUUUAAACAAAGCCAGCCGUGCCGGGCAGAUGAGGCCUCCCUGACGAGCAUUCUGUAUGAACCGGCGUAGGCCGUGGCUGGCGUCCGAGUUCGUCAUGUACGCGUUGCUGGCGCGCGGGUCAAGGCUGGGUGCUGCCUCGGCCCAUUUUUCAGUGUACAGGGUUUUGUUGGCGUAUCCACCACGGCAGCUGGGGGCCAUUGCCCUGGUGAGGCCCCGGUUUAGGUCCGACACGUAGUGCGUGGCUGUGCUAUCGUCGUCUCUGGUUGGCGUGCCCCGGCCCCCGCAGGGGGCGCGGCGCACCCAUACGUUGGCUCGCCCCCCAAAGGGGGGCGAAAGCCUUACUCUUCGACCAGAACCAUACAUUAGGGUUGUUUGCAGUUUUUGCGUUUUCGUGAAAGGAUGUAUGCAAGUAGCGGCUGCUUCGGAGUAUUUGUCAAGCGGAGAAACCUUUGAAAACAUGCAACACAGAAAAACCGGUAGAAAAAGCGCACCUCCCAGGCCAUGUCCAAGGCCUGUCGUCUUGGACCCAUCACCAAUCCAAAGCCCAGCGCACGAAGCCACAAGCCUAGCCAAAGCCAAAGCCGCAAGCCAAAGCCAAAGCCAAAGCCAAAGCCAGUAAAGCCAGAGCCAAAGCCAAAGCCAAAGCCAAAGCCAAAGCCAAAGCCAAAGCCAAAGCCAAAGCCAAAGCCAAAGCCAAAGCCAAAGCCAAAGCCAAAGCCAAAGCCAAAGCCAAAGCCGAAGAAUGUCGCCGUGCCCUCGACUUGACGUUCUGCUCGCCGCAAAUGCAUUGAUGCGGUGGCCAUUGAUGCGCAAGGCCGAGGCGACCCAGCAGAGCGAUGUUGCCCGUGGGCCGCCGCCGCCGCCGCCACCGCCGCCGCCGCUGCCGGGGCGUGUGGAGCCGCAACCGUGCUGCUGCAACGCGCCUGAACCUCGCCCCCGGCCCCUACCAUAGCCAACGUGGCAUAGAUGACAAGUGCAGUGCACGCACAGGCAAGGGCAGGAAGCGCAGCGCGAGCGUGAGGGCGCAAGGCCGAGGCGACCCAACAGAGCGAUGUUCACGCGGGUACCACUCCGGGGGUCAAGGGCGGGAUCGCAAGGUCUAUGCCCAGACUGUCGCCCCGACCAUGAAUUGACAUCCCAUUACGCAUAAUAAGGUCCCUGGAUGGUGCUCGGGCAUAAUUUUGAGCGAGAGCUCAAGUCGAAAUGCUGUAUGUCGCGCUCGCCAGGACCCCGCCAACUUAGCCUGAAGCUAUUUUGAUUACAUCUAUACGAGAAUUAAUGUCGACGGCAAUAGAUUCAGGCCCCAAACAGCGCAUAUGCGAGAUAUGGGCUUCGGUCAAUUUCGCGACUUGAGCCCCGAUAAGCAUAAUUUGGACCUUUGCCGACCACUUCUGGCUGAUGAUGAUGUUGGUUAUGUACCUACAGAAAGGCGGUGUCUAAUCCGUGCGGUAGGAUUUGCCCCGGGGCAACGUCCAACGUGCGGGUUUGGCUGGGAAAACGCACCCCCCGGACGGCAGCCCAGUUUUCACCACGGGCAAUAGCUCGUACAAGAAAUCUAACUAGCCAGGCGGAUAGAGCGCUAUCGAAUUGUGGGGGGUAGGUCGGGUCAGCAUCCUUGUACGAGUUAUUGCUCACAGUGAAAAGGCCCGCGGAAGAAGGGACUCCCCUAGACCCCAUCCAGCCGCCUGGUGGUACCCGCGUGGCGAUGUUGCCCGUGGGCCGCCGCCGCCGCCGCCGCCGCCGAGGCGUAUGAAGCCGCAACCGUGCUGCUGCAAUGCGCCUGAACCUCGCCCCCAGCCCCCACCAUAGCUGACGUCGCAUAGCAAGUGCAGUGCACGCACAGGCAACAGCAGGAAGCACAGCACCAGCGCCAGCCAGGGCGUGUCAGCAUCCAGAUUUGUACCCACCCCAACACACGCACUACCUUGGAUUUCCGCCCCCCCCUGCGCGCGCAGCGCACACUUGUGCCGUCUCCUGCCUCGUCACGCCUACCAGUUCAGCACGCUGUAACUUGCCCCGCUUGAAUGCUCUGGUGCACGUCUGUCAAUCCAGUGAUCGCUAUCCAACACCUUGCGCUCACAGCCAGCCUCGGCUACACGCCCCUAGCGCUGAAGCCUCACCUCCGCACUUCCCCUCAAGCGGAAAGUCCGCACAAAGGGCGAGCCAUCGCGCUGCGGAGCGGGGAGGUUUCAGAAAGCGGCGGUUGACGAAAACUUGGGCAACACGUGUUCCCCGCUCCCGCCGACUGCACACAGGCAUUAUUUAAGCCAUCUGUUACACGAAGCUGUUGUACACCAGGAAGUAAGAAGAGGCCCCAGCGACGAAGUUCAGAUACCCGGCUCGAGUCCAGGGAACCCGACCGCGAAAGUAACUGAUGCUGAACCAGAUAAAAUGCGCUCAAGCGCAUAGAAUGGAGUCCGAUGCCGCAAGGAAGCCAAUGUUGAGGCCGAUUUAUCGCACAGGCAGGCGCUGUGCCGAUUGAUUCAUCAGAUACAUAAAUAGCUCCAAAUUAAGCACUUGUGAAUCUUUCAGAAGCCUCGUAGGCGUGUAAGCUGCGAGCGCGAUCAUCUGUCCUUAAUACAGCCGCGCUGGCAGCCCCAUAUAGUGAUACCAAUGAAGCUUAGACUCCGUAAUCAAAAUACUUGCAAAACGUGCAGGUGAACGGUUUCGCCGCAAGGUCGAACUUUCUGCCCUCGGUUUCGGCCUCGGCGACGAUCGAGACUGUUAAACCCAGGUGAUUUCAUCAACAAAGCAUGUUAAGUGAUCGGUUUUGCGCAGCUUAGGACCGGUCCGGGAGGUUGUGCACGCGCAACGGCUGCAAUGUUGUGCGGUCCCGCCCAUUUCGCGACUCUGGCUCUUGCCCUUAACGUCUACUUCAUUCCCAGCCCUUCUUCACCUCAGCUCAACAUCCCUGCCUGCAUAUGCGAGCCCACUCUCUCAGCCUAUUACCGCUGUACGUUGCGUCCCUUGUCCCUUGACAGUUGACACCCUUAGGGGCACGCCCCAUGGAUCGCAUGGCGGUCCGCUAGUGACCGUGAAGGUCGGCCACCAGUGCCGGGCGUGCGGGUCGUUGUCGGCCGGUUCGGAUACAUCGGCGGGUUGGCUCGCCCCCCAAAGGGGGGCGACAGCCUUAGUCCUCGACCAGAACCAUACAUUAGGGUUCUUUGCAGUUUUUGCGUUUUCGUGAAAGGAUGUAUGCAAGUAGCGGCUGCUUUGGAGUAUUUGUCAAGCGGAGAAACCUUUGAAAACAUGCAACACAGAAAAACCGGUAGAAAAAGCGCACCUCCCAGUCCAAGUCCAAGGCCUGUCGUCUUGGACCCAUCACCAAACCAAAGCCCAGCGCACAAAGCCACAAGCCUAGCCAAAGCCAAAGCCGCAAGCCAAAGCCAAAGCCAGAGCCAGAGCCAGAGCCAAAGCCAAAGCCAAAGCCAAAGCCAAAGCCAAAGCCAAAGCCAAAGCCAAAGCCAAAGCCAAAGCCAAAGCCAAAGCCAAAGCCAAAGCCAAAGCCAAAGCCAAAGCCAAAGCCAAAGCCAAAGCCAAAGCCAAAGCCAAAGCCAAAGCCAAAGCCAAAGCCAAAGCCAAAGCCAAAGCCAAAGCCAAAGCCAAAGCCAAAGCCAAAGCCAAAGCCAAAGCCAAAGCCAAAGCCCAGCGCACGAAGCCACAAGCCAAAGCCAAAGCCAAAGCCAAAGCCAAAGCCAAAGCCAAAGCCAAAGCCAAAGCCAAAGCCAAAGCCAAAGCCAAAGCCAAAGCCAAAGCCAAAGCCAAAGCCAAAGCCAAAGCCAAAGCCAAAGCCAAAGCCAAAGCCAAAGCCAAAGCCAAAGCCAAAGCCAAAGCCAAAGCCAAAGCCAAAGCCAAAGCCAAAGCCAAGCCGAAGUGAAGAAUGUCGACCCAGCGGAGCGGUGUUGCCCGUGGGCCGCCGCCGCCGCCGCCGCCGCCGGGGCGUGUGGAGCCGCAACCGUGCUGCUGCAACGCGCCUGAACCUCCCCCCGGUCCCUACCAUAGCCAACGUGGCAUAGAUGACGCACAGGCAAGGGCAGGAAGCGCAGCGCGAGCGCGAAAUUGCAAGGCCGAGGCGACCCAGCAGAGCGAUGUUGCCUGUGGGCCGCCGCCGGGGCGUGUGAAGCCGCAACCGUGCUGCUGCAAUGCGCCUGAAUCUCGCCUCCAGCCCCCACCAUAGCUGACGUCGCAUAGCAAGUCUGCAAGUGCAGUGCACGCACAGGCAACAGCAGGAAGCGCAGCACCAGCGCUUGGGCGUGUCAGCAUCCAGAUUUGUACGUACCCACCCAAAACACACGCACUACCUUGGAUUUCCGCCCCCCCCCCCUUGCGUGCGCGCGCAGCGCACACUUGUGCUGUCUCCUGCCUCGUCACGCCUACCAGCUCAGCACGCUGUAACUUUCCCCGCUUGAAUGCUCUUGUGCACGUCUGUCAAUCCAGGGAUCGCUAUCCAAUACCUUGCGCUCACAGCCAGCCUCGGCUACACGCCCCUAGCGCUGAAGCCUCGCCUGUGCACUUCCCCUCAAGCGAAAAAUCCGCACAAAGGGCGAGCCAUCGCGCUGCGGAGCGGGGAGGUUUUUCCUGGGUGGCGACGGCAGCCGCCCCUUUAUCGGCUUCCUCGUUGCCGUGUAGCCCGGUGUGCGAGAUCACUUUAAUCAGAGCGGUGGGUGCGCCCCGGGCGUGGCGUGCAUGGAGCAAUGCCACGACUGAAUCCAGGAGGUCCCGAUGUUUACUCAGAUGCAGUCGCCGAGGCUCGUUAAUUGCUCGUUUGAUUAGGUACAAGCUUGCAACAGAAUCUGAUGCAAUAGUGAGCUUCUUAUUUGCAAAUUCUUCACCCUCGCCACCAAAUUCUGCGAGCGCAGCACGAAUUGCUGCCAGUUCAGCUCUCGUAAUAGUGUUUGUGCACCCAGCGCCAUUUGGAUUCACGUAGACAACGCGAGAAUCGCUGAACCAGGCGCAGGCGCCGGCAACCUGGACUUCUUUGCCAUUGUUAGUUUUGAUUUUGCUUACCGAACCAUCUGUCCAGACAGUGCCAUUCACGUCGUGGGCCAGAGCAUGGUGGGUCUGGAAUCGCGCGUUAGGAAAGCGUCGUGUUUCUUCAGCCAUGGCGUGUAUCGUCUUUGGGUUAGCGUGCUGGUAUUUGGCUUGCUUUAGAAGUGAGUUUGGGAGGGCCGGGCAGGUUGGGGCCGUGGCCGUGUGUGUCCACGUGCGCGGGUCGCUGAUGUGCGUGGGUGCGUUCGCCCCCCGUUUCAGUGUGUCCACGAGCCGUUUCAGGCGGGGGGCAAAGCACUGGAGACCGGCGGGGUUCCCAACAAUGACCAGUCGGAGCCCCUUCUGGCGUUCAGCCCGGGUGUCGGUGCCAAGUCCUGUGUCAAGGCCCGCGGUGCCCGCGGACCAGUUGGCCAGCUCGUGGCAAAGUGGGUGUUGAAGCCACUGCGUGUGGGGGAAAGUGGCCGCUUUGGGAAGCGCCAAUACAGUAAGGGUUGGUUCCUGCGAGUCACGCAUAGCCUCGGCGCAUGCGAGGGCCCACAUGAGCGCCUUCCGUGCAUCGUGGGGGGUAGAGGGGGGGGUGGGCAUAUUGCAAGCCGGUCCAUGCGGUCUGGUAGGCAUCGUGCAGUGCGCCAAAGGCCCCAUCAGCAGGGUCUCGUGUCCAGUAUUCGUGGGCUGCAGUGGAGGAGUUUAGUGGGGACGCAAACAUUUCCCGAAUGUGUACUGCUUGUGUGACCCGCAGGCAUUGGACAAUGGCUGCUACUGUACCUGCCGGCAGCGACACCUGGUGCAUUGGCAUGGCCUUGCGGUCCUGCUGCGCCGGGUCAUAGCGGUAGCGCAUGAUGAGGGCAGCGACCGCUUCCUCAAAGGCGUUGGGCCGCUGGUUGCCGGUGUGCCUGAAGCGCUCCCACAGGGUAAGGAGGCGGGGGUAGGUGAUGGUGCCCAGCCAGCGGCCACUGGGUUCAUGGACGUGCGCCUCAGCUGGGUCACGGCGGGUGCCACCAGUGGUGGUAAUUGUGUAUGCUCCGGGGGCCACGAUGUCCUUGUAGGGGUUGCACGGGCUUGUGGUGAUGGUGGUGGUCGUGCGGAUGUCACGCGCGCGGGAUGCGGUAUCCAGGGGCUCGGCGUCGUGGCGGCCUUGGCGCUGUCUGGCGGUAAGGUUCCGAUCAGGUGCGGGGCGCACUGUUCGGGGCCGCGGGCCUUGGUUGGUACCGUUUGCUAGCCGGGUUUUGCACUCCUCCAGUAACUCCUCCCAUUGUGGGCUGUGUUUUAGGUCCCGUUCGCGGUCCGUGCUCGGCGCCCACGUGACAUGUCGCAGGAGUCUGGUCGUCCAGGACGAGAAUAGGGGGGCCCCAGUGGGCUGCGGUGCUGCCGGCUCUGCAACUGGGGCAGGCUCUUCAGGUGAGAUUGCGUGGGCUUGGGUUUCAGCCGGAGGCUCAGCCUCGGUCUGCGCAGGUUGUGGGCCUGGGCGCGUCGCAAGAGGGUGCUUGUAGCACCUGGCAUUCUGGAUAGUUGCGUAGCCCAUGCGAACAAAAGCAGAGACAAUGCCGGCCGGGCAAAUGGACGGCUUCCACUGCACCUUCCAGUAUUUCUCACGUGUCCCAGAGGUGUCCUCCCUGGCUUUGCGCUUCCGUGUCAGUUCUUUGUCCGUGACAGUUUGUAUAUUUUCGCUGUGCAGGACCUGCGCCAGUUCCUGUCCGUCAUUGUCCAGGUCGUAGGUGAGUUGAGUGUCGCCGUUAGUGCGGUUGUCGGCGGGCCGUGGGACUAGAUCGUGUGUGAUCCUUGCGCGGGCCAGUCGCCAGCUGGGACGGGCCCCGUGGCCUCCCGCAGCUUGCGCUGCCGGGGCGGUCAGGGGCGGCGUCGGGCCGUCGACGUCCAUGGGGUCGUUGUGCGCGGCAGCCUGGUUGAUUUCCAUAGGCAAUCCUGUGUUGUUCAAGUACUCGUUUAUGGCGUUGGGUUCGGGGUUGGCAGCAUUAGCCGUGAGGCGGGUUGUGAGGGCGGGUGGUAGCCCACGGCGCUGUUGGCGUGGUUCGACAGCAUGUGCAAAAGAUGGUGGGUCUUGGGGGUGUGGGUGGCAGAUCCGCACGUGUCCUGUCAUGUCUUUGGCGAGCGCCUGGAAUACCGAGCAUGCCGUUUCGUACCCCCGCGUGCCCACCGGCAGGCUCUCAUCGCCGUUGGUGAGCCGCAGGGCAUGGUUGAUGGCGGCGCGGUCCCCGGUGAGUAGGUCCUCAGGGGUAGUGCGUGUAGUUUCUGCAAUGCGUGCGCGUUGCGCUGCAUGUUUUGUAACGCGCCGUGCGCGUGUUUGGUUCUGUGGUGGCCGGCGUGUUGUAGCCGGCUUGCGGGCUCUGGCCGGUGGCCGUAGGGAGGGUUGCGUUGCCCCAUCAGCGGGGACUUCCGGUGCAGCAGCACCGUGUGCGCCGGGGUGGGCCUGGGCCGCCCCUGCUGGGGAGGGGGGGGCUAGGUCGGCGGGGGCUUGCGUGGUGUUUGCUUGGGCGGGGGGCGCCUCCGGGAGGGGCUGCAGGUACCGGUCGAGGGGGUUGGCCAUUCCGAGAGGGAGGGGGUCCGCCCUCAUGGCUAAGGCCACGAUUGCGGCCACGUCAGGCAGUGCACGCUGUGCGGUGGUCAGGGGGGCAGGGCUGCCGUGGGCUGGGGCGUUUUCCCCUGCACGUGCAGCCAUACUGAGAGCAAGGCUAAGCCUGUUCAGGGCUACCUUGUGCUUGUGUCGGACCCGGCUCGCUCCCAUGUGCUUCUCGAGGUCCGAGCUAGUAAUCAGGUGUUUGCCUGUGUUGCGGUCCACCAGGUGGCUCAGUUCGAGCCUCAGGUCCGCAAGAGGGAGGACGUAUUCGAUGGGGAGAGGUUCGACGCCCCGGGCCUCAGCUUCUGCCUCAAGGGCAGCGGCAAUGGACCAGGUAGGCGCAGUAAAGGCAGACCCAUUUUGGUACAGUGUGACACCGUACUCUUUUGCCAGGGUCAUCUGUUUCAGCGUCGUAAGGUGGUGUGACCUAUGGGCUGGGAGAAGGUGGGCCUGUGUAGGGCCAGCUAUGCUUGCCUGGCGCGGCAGAAGGGCUCGGGUUACUAUCCCAAGACGGCCCGAGUCAUUUAGGGCAAGGACCAGGGCCCGCUGGGCCACGCGCGCGUAUUGCGGCAGGAGGGAGCCCAGGCCCAAGCCGUAUUCGUCGGCGGGCAGGAGGGAGGUCCGGGUGGGGAAGCUGCGGGGGAGUCCGUAGCAGCGCUUUGCAAAACCAGCCAGGGUAGUGUCGAGCGUUGUUAUGUCAUGUUUUGUGAAGGGCAUUGCUGCGAAUCCAUAUGCAACUGUGGUGUGCACGCACUGUUGUAUCAUGCGCAGGCGUUGUGCCGGUGUCGCCAGGGAUGUGGCAAUGGCUGUGCCCUUGUCCUUCACAAUCUCGGUCACUCUUGCGGCAUGUGCCGACCAGUCCAGCGAGAACGUGAGCUGCACUCCCAGGUACUUGUACGGCUGGGUCGGGGGGAAGUACGGGACAGGGGUCGUGCCAAUCUUAAUUGUGUUGGUCAUGUUGCGGCGCAUGGCGGCGAGGGUAGCUUUUCCUGUGGGCCCGUCAAGGUUGGGGUCCGAGCGGGAUUUGUCGUGCCAGAUGGCGGUGGUGGCACACUUGGUGUGAUUGACACGCAGGCUCGCCCACUCGGCGUAAGAUGCGAUUUUGUCACAUUGAACCUGCAGGUCGUCGAGCGAGUUGGUGAGCGCCGCCAGGUCGUCUGCGUACGCGGCGGCACUGCAAUGGUAUUGCAGGUUUUCGCUGGGGGUCAGGCAGCCGUAGUGGUAGCCCCGUCCGCCCGCAUGGAGCCAGCGGACAAGAGGUUCCAUGAACAGAAUAAAGAGCACAGGUGAGAGUGUAUCCCCUUGCACGGUGCCUCGCUCUAUAGGAAUGGCGGAUGUGCUUCCGUGUUCGGUGCGGAUGCGGGUGGUCGCGUGUGCAUAUAGGUUGCGGACUGCGCGGAUCAGGUCCGUUGGCAGCCCAAGGUCAUACAUUAUUUGUAGUAAUCGGUCCUGGUCGAUUGUGUUAAACGCGGAGCUAUAGUCCACGUAUACCGCAUAGACAUCUUUUCCAAACAGUGCGGCAUCCUCAAGGGCAUGUACUAAAUUUAGGACCUGCCUUUCGGUGUUGCAGUAGGCACGGAAGCCUUCCUGCGCUUCACUGAAUAGCUGGAGGGGGCCAGCCAGUUCGCCAAUGCCCAAGGUAAGCAUGGACGUGUACAGCUUGUAGCAGGUAUUUGCGAGCGCAAUGGGCCGUUUGUUGUUUAUGUCCAGGGCGUCUCCAGGUUUGGGGAGUAGCACGGUCUCCGAUGCGGCCCAGGUUUCAGGUAUUUGUGACUUGACGUACAUGAUUUGCAGGAUACAGUGGAGGUUGCGCUUCAUGCCCGAUGGCAGGAUACGGAGCAGUUCGUUUGGUAUGCCGUCAGGGCCUGUCGCCUUGUUUCUGGAGAGGUGAGAAAUGCACUGCUCAAAGUUUGCCGUGUCUGCCAUGCUGGGGAGCAUGGAGUGUGUGUCAGGGUGCCGGUUGCGGUCCAGUGUGAAUUGAUCUGUUGCGUCGGCUUUCUCAAAUGGGUAGCCGCGUGUGGCGUUGCUGGGUAGUCGGAAGUCCCCAGUGCGGGUGCCGCGUGGUGGGGCGGACAGCUUUCGGAAGUGGGUUUCGAGUAUGGCGAGGAUGCUGGUGGAGUCAGUCGUCACCUCCCCAGUUUCCGGGUUCCGGACCGCUGGGAGACCCCGUUCCAUGUCUUCCUUCUGAAAGAUUCUCUUGUGCCCCUGUGCAGGGCGCGUGGCCAGGGUAUGUUGCAGCGCUGUGGCAGCGGCCUCUCGCUGGGCUUUGGCGCGGUCCGCCACUAGCUGGCGGUGCUCGGCCUGGCAGGCUUUUAUUUCGUUGCGCAGCUUUGCUGCUGCAUUGGCGGCGUCUACCUCAGGUAGGGCCUGGGGCCCUUGCGUGAGGUUUGUCAGUUGUGUCUUCAGGGCCACUUCCUUGUCCCAUAGGGGCUUUAGCACCCGUGCGGUGGAGCGUGAUGCGUGGUGUUUGCCAGUGAAGGGGGCUUUCCGGGUGCACUCUUCAAGGAGGCAUGUUAGCCCGGUGUCCAGUGCGGAGGCAAGUUGUUCUGCAAGUUGGUUGAUAUCGGCCUUCUGGAUGCUCGUGUCCUGCGCCAGGUCUCGUUGCAUGACGCUGGCGGGGUAGCCUGUGGGGUCCAUGCUGUGCCUUGUGAGUGCAUGUUCAAUUGAUUGCGUUGCCUGCCUUGUUGCGGAAUGCAGGUCGGCUGUUGCUUCCACCAAGGCUUCCUCAAGGCGGAUAGCUGCGGCGGCCAGUUGCUUUUGUGUGACGGGCAGGGCGACCUCGGCCCAUCGUUGUUGGGUCUGCUGCUGGGGGGCUGGGUUCCGGGCGCCGGCCUGUGGUGCCGGCCAUAGCUGCAGGUCCGCGGCUAGUAACUCUGCGUGGACUGGUUUGUGGUCAAAGUUGCCUGCAACUGUACUGGUGUAUUCACGCGCUUCUGUGCAUGCAGCGCGCGUGGCAGGGCAUAGGAGGAUGUCAUCAACGCGACUGUGAUAUGGGGCCAUGCCUGGGCGUGUUUGUUCAUAUGACCAUUCGGCAGUGGUAGUGGUGUCUCCGCGGAUAGGGCGCAGGCCACUAUCGGCAAGGAACCGCUGGUGGGCCCGGUCCGCCGUGUCGAUGGGGCUGUCCCGCUCAUGUGCUCGGGCGACGGCAUUAAAGUCUCCCGCGGUGACUAGGUGGUGUCCGCACGCGUCCGCCCGGCCUACCACCUGCUGACAGUAUGUGUAGAUUGCCUUGCGGGUUUGCAUGUCCUCUGGUGCGUAGAUGCCCAGUACAGUGAGAGGCGUGCUCCCGGGGGUCUUGAUUUGAACGUGUGACACAUAGCCAUGGAGUGUUGGUGGGGGCGUGUGGUGUGUGACACAGCCGAGGUCACUGUACCGGGCGGAGAUGGCCACCGCUACACCAGCGCUACCGCGCGCUGUGGCCACGCGGGGAGUAGUGCUACAGUAGAGGCGGUAUCCUUCAUUUCGGAAGGCUCGCUUGAUAGAGUCAGUCUUCCCUGUCAGUUUUGUCUCGGUUAGGACAACUAUAUCGGCUUUCCACUGGGCUAGGUUGCAGAGGGUGAAGCUGAGGUUGCCGGGUUGGCCGGUGGACAAAAUUUCUGAGAGCAGUCCCCGUACAUUGUGGGUCACGAUGUGUAGGGUGGUGUUGCCGCUGGGGGGUCGCGUGUUUGUGUGUGCCUGGUUGGGUUCCAUGUGGGCAUGGGUGCGUGCAGUGGGCCGUACUAGCCAGUUAAGGAUAGUUUGUCGGGUGCCUGUCGUGUUGAGUCGGGGUGCUAUGCUAGCAUUUGCAUUGUGUGGCUGCGCGGGUGCGGUAGUGUGGGGUGCUGCAUGCUGUGGCGCCCUGUGUGCUGCCCGCAGCGGUGAGUUGUCUUGGGCAUUUUGAGCUGGCUCUGGUGCCGGCCUUCCUGUGGCGGCGGGCCCUGCCUGCACGGGUCUGGUGGCCUCCAUGUGGGGUGGCGGGCGUGGUGGCGGGACGAUCUCACGGAGUUGCCCAAGUGCGUCCUGAAGUGUUGCCGUGUCAGAUGCACGCACCGCGUCAAGGCACCAGACCUCCCCAUCGAGUGUGUUCCAAGUGUUGUCGUGUAAGACCGUGUUGUGGAUAGGGCUGUUCACCGAGUCUAUUACUCUCCAUUGUCCUGCUUCGUAACGCACAGCAAUUGUGUGUCGCACAGUGUAUUGGUGGACGGUAAAGUCGCGAGUUCGGGCGGCUACCGGAAGACUCUCUAGGACCUUUUCUUUGCUGAUGUCGCCAUUGAGUCGCGGAAAGUGGGUUCGGCGCAUAGUCAGCUUCCUGUUGGGGUAGGCGAAUAUGUUGCUGAUGGUGGCAUUGUGGUACAGGUAGUGGUUCAGGAGAAGUUCGCUGAAGGCGCCACUGUUGGGGCAGUAGCAUUCUUUCCAGAACGGGGCAUUCGGGUCUUGCGUGGCUGUGAGGUGAGCGUGCACUCGUUUAGCGUAGGAGAGGACAUCUAGAGGGUCGAGCCAUGCGAGCCCCAAAGAGUUGUUGAGGGCGUGGACACUGCAGAAGUGUUGCCGUUGUGUUUCACGGUAUGUUGCAUUGGACCGGGGCGGCCAGUGCAGCGCGGCUGGUGGUUGGGUGUUCACUGCCGCAUGAAUGCGAGGGUCGGCGGGCACCGGCGGGGCUGUCGGGCCUGUGGGCAGCGCACCUCGCAGUGUUGGCUUGACGUAGGGCACCGUGUGUGUCCGGUUUACUGCAUGUGUAAGCGUGAGGAGAGUGGUUGCCUGGCUAGCAGUAAGUAGGCCGGUGGCCAGUGCUGGCCCCCAGAGUGUCAGCUGUGCCGGUUGCAUACUGCAAGGGUCCGGCAGUGUGAGGUACAGGUUUCGCAGGAUGAUGGCCAUGGCAGUUCCCCAGAGUAGGAGCUUCCGCCGGGCCCAGGUUGCAGAGGCUAUCUGCCGUGUCACUUGGACCACAUGUUUGAGGAGAGCUGGGAGACAGAGGACGGCAAUGAUGGAUGUCACUGUCAGUGCGAACAGGAGACCGAGGGCUGCGGGGAUGGCGGUUAUCCCGAGGGCAAGCGCUAUCACACACAGAGGGGAGAGAGCGAGAGUGGUGAGUGGGGGACCCCAUAGUAACAGGCUGAGGAUUGCACCGUUUGUGCAGAUUUCUGAGUUGACUGAGGCAGUGCGGGUUUCGGCAUGCAGGAGGUGGGUCCAGAGCAUAUACAUGGCCCCUGUCGCGGUGAUGAUUGUGAGGCUGACAAUGGCUUUGUCAAGUAUAGUGAGUAGGGCUUUGCCAGUCUGGGCAGCUGUUUGGUAGAUGGCGAGUCUAGACCGGGUAGCAAGGUGUGCGCCUACUCUGAUGGCAAUUGUAUGGCUGUGCAUCGCUGCCCGCACAUGCCCUGCUCCAGCCCAGUGGAAGUGGACGACGAGUGUAAGGUGCAGGCGAAGGAGUGGUGAACUUUCCCAGGGGGCGCUACAGUUAAGGGUCGGUUGCGGCCCGUAGGCUGUUUCUGCCAUGGAGUGCAGUGCCGAAGCACCGGAGCGCAGCAGGGUUCCUCCAUGCCGAUUGCCCAGGUCGCCAUUAUGUGUGACCCAAACUAAACCAAACCCAAAACUAAACCAAACCCAAUGAAAACGAGCGGAGCACAGGCAGAGGCGGGGGUGUUGCAAGGAUGUUUGGAGAAGCGGUACGGGGGGGGGGGGAGCAGGGGGUCCAGAUGCUCACCAGAGGGGGACUGGCGAAAGGAGGGACUGGCAGGGAGGGCUGAGGCGGGCGGCUGAAGCUUGGGGCGUGGGGAUAUUGGUCGUGUGUGCGCGCCAGUGCGUUGGUAUGGAAGAGCAUUAGAGCAAGCUCUGGGCAUCAUGGGGGGGGGCAUCAAGGAGGGAACGAGGGAGGGCGGCCGGCGGCACGCGUGGGGUGGGGCGAGGUGUGUGUUUGUGUGUGUGUGUGUGUGUGUGUGGCUGUGGCUGUGGCUGUGGCUGUGGCUGUGGCUGUGUGUGUGUGGACUGGCGGCACGCCUGCCUGCCUGCCUGCCUGCCUGCCUGCCUGCCUGCCGUGGACAGGGGAGGGGGCACUCGGAUUUGGGGCGUUGUGUGCGCCCCAUGACUAAUGCCUCAUGGCACCAUGGUGUGCCGGAUGUGCCCUGCACAAACCAGCCAUCACACACUGUCCUGCGUGCAUGGGUCGUGCUCCUUAACCAACCAUCAUCACACCAGCCACCACACCACCACACCGCGCCAACCACCACACCAGCAGGCCUGCCAAGCGCGAGCCCCUGCCGCCUCCCUGUCAGCCCCAGCAACCCAUCAGCUCCCCAACCACACAGUCUUGUCUCCUUCCCCCAUCCCCUAAGUAUUAUCGCUUGCAACUAACGCCUCUGCUUGUGCUCCGCUAGAUUUCGUCGGUUUUGGUUUACCGUAGUUUGGGCUGGUAUUUGCAACCCGCCCUCCCCUUCCCUCCGCGCUCUUUUGCAAUGGGUUAGGGCUGGUAUCUACAGCCCUCCCGCCGGCCCUUCCCUUCUCCCGCCAUCCCCUUCCCUCCCCCCCCCCCAACGCGCCUGCUAUACUACUGUUCCUAGCUACGCCUUCACUUCUUAACCCAGGUAAUCAUGAACGUAACCCCUGCCCCGCACCCGUGACAGGAUCAUCUUCGGCCUAGAUUACUGCCAUCUCAAAGGAGUGGUCAACCGUGACCUCAAGCCCGAGAACCUGUUGCUCAAGCUGACGCCGGAGGCCAGCAAAAGGCACAGGUGGGCACAGGGCAGGAGGCGGGCGGGUGGGGCGGGCGGCGGGCUUGGUGGUGUAGGUUGUGGAGUUUGGGGGGAGGGUGGUAGGUGGGGGCACUUGGCUCUAGGCCUCCUUUCUUUAGACACCAGCAAAGAUGGGUCUGAUGGUUUCUAAGGCCCUCAGCCGGCUCUUUGGCAAGAAGGAGAUGCGCAUUCUGAUGGUGCGUCCAGCCCCGCCCUGACACCUGGGCCCGACCGCUGACCGGAGACUAUGCCCCGCGCAGGUCGGUCUGGACGCCGCUGGUAAGACUACCAUCCUCUACAAGCUGAAGCUGGGCGAAAUCGUGACGACUAUUCCCACCAUCGGUAAGGGGAGAGAUCACCACCCGUAGCAGUGUGCAGCGCUGACUCGAGGCGACCGCAGGCUUCAACGUGGAGACUGUGGAGUACAAGAACAUUAGCUUCACCGUGUGGGAUGUCGGUGGCCAGGACAAGGUUCGUUUCGCUGCUUGGCCGCGAAGUUUGGCGGGGACUUGACUCGCUGUCUUCUCUGUUGCAGAUCCGCCCUCUGUGGCGGCACUACUUCCAGAACACUCAGGGCCUCAUUUUCGUCGUGGACAGCAAUGACCGCGAUCGUAUUGGGGAGGCCAAGGAUGAGCUGCACCGCAUGCUCAACGAGGUGCGCUGGAGGACUGCGGGAUGCUUACUGGGGCUCCGCGAUGAGCUGCUACGUUCAUCACAUUGAUGGUGCUGACUUGCAUGGUAUGCUUUCGGGUAUGCAGGACGAGCUGCGGGACGCCGUGCUGCUGGUCUUCGCCAACAAGCAGGACCUGCCCAACGCCAUGAACGCGGCGGAGAUCACGGAGAAGCUGGGCCUGCACGGCCUGCGCCAGCGCCACUGGUGGGUAGCGUCCGGAUGCCAGCGAAAACGUGUCAAAGGCGGGCGGGGGGUUCCAGCGUUGUUGUAUGGGGGGAGCUGCGUGGGAGCUGCGGGUACCUGGGCUGUUCUCAAAUCUGAAUGCCCAGACCAGUUUGCCUGGAAGGUGGCAGCACACGAGGAUUGAACGCACAUAACCGUGUCAAGGGUUUGUGGGCUUGGACGGCAAACACCAACUCGUGCUGCGGCUAGAAAACCCGACAGCGUGGGGAUGCAUACCUGGCAGCGUCAUUACGAGUUGACCGUGGACCUGACGACGGUGUGUGCAUUGGUUUGGCUUGCAGGUACAUCCAGUCCACGUGCGCCACCAGCGGCGAGGGCCUGUACGAGGGCCUGGACUGGCUGAGCCAAAACAUCCAGAACAAGUCGUGAGCGAGCAGAGUGGUACAGUGAGACAGACUAGCGAGAUGUGGCUGAUGAGGGCGUGGGCCAUGGCUGCGGCCCCAGGUACAGGAGUUCUGGUGGGUGGAUGUGUCGGGAUGCGUGGUGCGCGUCGUCAUGCAGUCGGGUGGUCAUGCGCGGAUAGCCAUCGCAGCGCGGGCUCGCAAUGCCAUUAGCCUGCUAGUAGAUGUGCACAUCGCGGGCAUGUUAGAUUGUUUAGGUCCCUUAUGCUGAACCAUUAUUUCUCCAGAAAAAGGCAUGCAAUACCCUGUCGCUUGCACGGUGACGCUUGACCCCUGGCAUGGGUAGUGCGGUGUUGUGGAGGGCUCUGCCAUUUCAGGGCCCGCAUGUAACUUUAACCGCAUGUGACAUAUUGACUUUCAUCGGAGGCGCGCUGUGUCCUGGGGCGCUCCUUGUGGGGUAGACAUUGGGCGGGUGCGCUUGUGGGAGCGCCGGCGCGCAGGUUUGCAGUGAUGCCUGGGGUCCACAUCAGCCUUCCUUGCAGUCUACCAUGAUUGAGAUGCUCGCAACUGCAAGGCAGGUUGACCUGCAGACGUCAAUGUGACCACCCACCACGACCACCAUAAUGAAGCGCAGCGCUAACUACUCCGGCUACGUCCAGAGCUCGGAUAGCUGGGCUCAGGGGGUAAGUUCGUCUUUAAAGCAUUCUCAAUACGGGGAAAGCCGCACAUGCACGCGCACCUCCGCUCACGCCCACCGCCGCAUGAAGGAAAGCCGGGGGAACGCAUGGUGCGCCGGGCUGGAUACGGUGUAUGGCUCACAUGCACGCGCACCUCCGCUCACGCCCACCGCCGCAUGAAGGAAAGCCGGGGGAACGCAUGGUGCACCGGGCUGGAUACGGUGUAUGGCUCACAUGCACGCGCACCUCCGCUCACGCCCACCGCCGCAUGAAGGAAAGCCGGGGGAACGCCUGGUGCGCCGGGCUGGAUACGGUGUAUGGCUCACAUGCACACGCACCUCCACUCACGCCCACCGCCGCAUGAAGGAAAGCCGGGGGAACGCAUGGUGCGCCGGGCUGGAUACGGGGUAAGGCUCACAUGCACGCGCACCUCCGCUCACGCCCACCGCCGCAUGAAGGAAAGCCGGGGGAACGCCUGGUGCGCCGGGCUGGAUACGGAAUAAGGCUCACAUGCACGCGCACCUCCGCUCACGCCCACCGCCGCAUGAAGGAAAGCCGGGGGAACGCCUGGUGCGCCGGGCUGGAUACGGGGUAAGGCUCACAUGCACGCGCACCUCCGCUCACGCCCACCGCCGCAUGAAGGAAAGCCGGGGGAACGCAUGGUGCUUCGGGCUGGAUACGGUGUAUGGCUCACAUGCACGCGCACCUCUGCUCACGCCCACCGCCGCAUGAAGGAAAGCCGGGGGAACGCCUGGUGCGCCGGGCUGGACACGGAAUAAGGCUCACAUGCACGCGCACCUCCGCUCACGCCCACCGCCGCAUGAAGGAAAGCCGGGGGAACGCCUGGUGCGCCGGGCUGGACACGGAAUAAGGCUCACAUGCACGCGCACCUCCGCUCACGCCCACCGCCGCAUGAAGGAAAGCCGGGGGAACGCAUGGUGCGCCGGGCUGGAUACGGUGUAUGGCUCACAUGCACACGCACCUCCGCUCACGCCCACCGCCGCAUGAAGGAAAGCCGGGGGAACGCCUGGUGCACCGGGCUGGAUACGGUGUAUGGCUCACAUGCACGCGCACCUCCGCUCACGCCCACCGCCGCAUGAAGGAAAGCCGGGGGAACGCCUGGUGCGCCGGGCUGGAUACGGUGUAUGGCUCACAUGCACGCGCACCUCCGCUCACGCCCACCGCCGCAUGAAGGAAAGCCGGGGGAACGCAUGGUGCGCCGGGCUGGAUACGGUGUAUGGCUCACAUGCACGCGCACCUCCGCUCACGCCCACCGCCGCAUGAAGGAAAGCCGGGGGAAAGCCUGGUGCGCCGGGCUGGAUACGGCGUAUGGCUCACAUGCACGCGCACCUCCGUUCACGCCCACCGCCGCAUGAAGGAAAGCCGGGGGAACGCCUGGAGCGCCGGGCUGGAUACGGUGUAUGGCUCACAUGCACACGCACCUCCACUCACGCCCACCGCCGCAUGAAGGAAAGCCGGGGGAACGCCUGGUGCGCCGGGCUGGAUACGGUGUAUGGCUCACAUGCACGCGCACCUCCGCUCACGCCCACCGCCGCAUGAAGGAAAGCCGGGGGAACGCCUGGUGCGCCGGGCUGGAUACGGUGUAUGGCUCACAUGCACGCGCACCUCCGCUCACGCCCACCGCCGCAUGAAGGAAAGCCGGGGGAACGCAUGGUGCGCCGGGCUGGAUACGGUGUAUGGCUCACAUGCACGCGCACCUCCGCUCACGCCCACCGCCGCAUGAAGGAAAGCCGGGGGAACGCAUGGUGCGCUGGGCUGGAUACGGGGUAUGGCUCACAUGCACACGCACCUCCACUCACGCCCACCGCCGCAUGAAGGAAAGCCGGGGGAACGCCUGGUGCGCCGGGCUGGACACGGAAUAAGGCUCACAUGCACGCGCACCUCCGCUCACGCCCACCGCCGCAUGAAGGAAAGCCGGGGGAACGCCUGGUGCGCCGGGCUGGAUACGGUGUAUGGCUCACAUGCACGCGCACCUCCGCUCACGCCCACCGCCGCAUGAAGGAAAGCCGGGGGAACGCAUGGUGCGCCGGGCUGGAUACGGUGUAUGGCUCACAUGCACGCGCACCUCCGCUCACGCCCACCGCCGCAUGAAGGAAAGCCGGGGGAACGCCUGGUGCGCCGGGCUGGAUACGGUGUAUGGCUCACAUGCACGCGCACCUCCGCUCACGCCCACCGCCGCAUGAAGGAAAGCCGGGGGAACGCAUGGUGCGCCGGGCUGGAUACGGUGUAUGGCUCACAUGCACGCGCACCUCCGCUCACGCCCACCGCCGCAUGAAGGAAAGCCGGGGGAACGCCUGGUGCGCCGGGCUGGAUACGGUGUAUGGCUCACAUGCACGCGCACCUCCGCUCACGCCCACCGCCGCAUGAAGGAAAGCCGGGGGAACGCAUGGUGCGCCGGGCUGGAUACGGUGUAUGGCUCACAUGCACACGCACCUCCACUCACGCCCACCGCCGCAUGAAGGAAAGCCGGGGGAACGCCUGGUGCGCCGGGCUGGUUAAGGUGUAUGGCUCACAUGCACACGCACCUCGGCUCACGCCCACCGCCGCAUGAAGGAAAGCCGGGGGAACGCAUGGUGCGCCGGGCUGGAUACGGUGUAUGGCUCACAUGCACACGCACCUUGGCUCACGCCCACCGCCGCAUGAAGGAAAGCCGGGGGAACGCAUGGUGCGCCGGGCUGGAUACGGUGUAUGGCUCACAUGCACGCGCACCUCCGCUCACGCCCACCGCCGCAUGAAGGAAAGCCGGGGGAACGCAUGGUGCGCCGGGCUGGAUACGGUGUAUGGCUCACAUGCACGCGCACCUCCGCUCACGCCCACCGCCGCAUGAAGGAAAGCCGGGGGAACGCAUGGUGCGCCGGGCUGGAUACGGGGUAAGGCUCACAUGCACGCGCACCUCCGCUCACGCCCACCGCCGCAUGAAGGAAAGCCGGGGGAACGCCUGGUGCGCCGGGCUGGAUACGGAAUAAGGCUCACAUGCACGCGCACCUCCGCUCACGCCCACCGCCGCAUGAAGGAAAGCCGGGGGAACGCCUGGUGCGCCGGGCUGGAUACGGUGUAUGGCUCACAUGCACGCGCACCUCCGCUCACGCCCACCGCCGCAUGAAGUAAAGCCGGGGGAACGCCUGGUGCGCCGGGCUGGAUACGGUGUAUGGCUCACAUGCACGCGCACCUCCGCUCACGCCCACCGCCGCAUGAAGGAAAGCCGGGGGAACGCAUGGUGCGCCGGGCUGGAUACGGGGUAAGGCUCACAUGCACGCGCACCUCCGCUCACGCCCACCGCCGCAUGAAGGAAAGCCGGGGGAACGCCUGGUGCGCCGGGCUGGAUACGGUGUAAGGCUCACAUGCACGCGCACCUCCGCUCACGCCCACCGCCGCAUGAAGGAAAGCCGGGGGAACGCCUGGUGCGCCGGGCUGGAUACGGAAUAAGGCUCACAUGCACGCGCACCUCCGCUCACGCCCACCGCCGCAUGAAGUAAAGCCGGGGGAACGCAUGGUGCGCCGGGCUGGAUACGGUGUAUGGCUCACAUGCACGCGCACCUCCGCUCACGCCCACGGCCGCAUGAAGGAAAGCCGGGGGAACGCCUGGUGCGCCGGGCUGGAUACGGUGUAUGGCUCACAUGCACGCGCACCUCCGCUCUGCCGCGGCUGCUUGGCGCAGUCACCACCACGCGCCGCCGCCGCUCCCCCCGUUAUGCCUGCCGCUCCGUGCAGAUCCCGGGCUGAUAGCAGCGCGCAGCAGCGGCAGUCGCCAGCCUUCCUCCCCACCCGCGGCCGUGCAACCGGUGACUGCUGGCCAUGGGCAGCCGCGGCAGCCACAGCCUCUGCCGCGGCUGCUUGGCACAAUCACCACCACGCGCCGCCGCCGCUCCCCCCGUUAUGCCUGCCGCUCCGUGCAGAUCCCGGUCUGAUAGCAGCGCGCAGCAGCGGCAGUCGCCAGCCUUCCUCCCCACCAGCGGCCGUGCAACCGGUGACUGCUGGCCAUACUUGGCGGUCGACAGUUUCCUCCUGUGGAACACACAUAAUAAGAAUGUAAUCUACUCUUGAAGCCUUCUAGCACACUCACUCGCGAGACACUAGAUGGCCAAAGAGGAAGCGAGCAAACGGACACGACUGGACAAGCAAGUAGGCUCAGCGAGAUGGUUUAUCACCGCUAUCACUCUGGGACUACUUGUUACAGUGACGGGAAGCGGCGCCAGGAACGCCGCGUUGUCUGCAUGGUUCAGCACUGCGCCUGCAUGAGCCACCCACGACUCUGCAAUAUGACAAGACCGACUCGGAAGCCCACGAGCCCUUCGCCGCACUGCCGAGAACAGCCGCCCGCAUGCAAGCGACCCCGCACCCCCCCAGACCCCCGCCAGACACAGCAAAGUACACAAGAACAAACACAUGCAUUCGAGGAGCCAGACCUGCUAAAACAAAGCGCGUCGAGCUCACUUGGAGCUGCAGCCAUGCUCAGGAGACGUGCGACUAGCUCUCGCAAGUCGAGAAUUAUUAACAGCACUACAGCAAUCAGCUGGGCGCUUGUUUUGCUUUCGACGCUCAGCUAUAUCUUCGCUCGUGCCCGCUGCGAGCUGAGCUGGGACAUCCCCGGCCCUCGGAAACAGAGCAAGCUAAAAGUAAACAGCAACACAGCAACCAGUUGGGCUUUUGCUCUAGCUACAAUUUCCACUUAUAUGCUCUCUUGCCGGCGCGCCCGCCAAGCAACGCCCGGAGCCGACACACACAUGCGACACGCUGGCAGCAAGAGCAAACGCAUCAAACUAGCCACACCCGUUGUCAGAGCCAUACACCUCCAUGAUAAACAGCACGACAAUCGCUCCUGCCUCAUCCAUGCAACCAACAACCUGCUCGGGAAACGCCUUCUCACACCCGCCACAGUCUGCGCCGAAUGGGAGCGGGGGUGGCAGCUCCUGCACCGCAACUCCCCAGCCUCAGUGCCCACCUGGGCGACCUACCUGACCGCCACCAGCAUAGACUAUGGCCUCAUAAACCACUGCCUCAAAGCCAACACCUGUUCCCCCCUGCCAGGCCUCCCCCAUGUCCAACUCACGGCAUGCUCGUACCACGGGGGCCUAAACCAGCACGAAGCACUCAAUGCCAUCCCCUCCGAGUCCCGCCACAUCGGCUUUAUUCUUAUCCACGGCGGCCAUGCCCGAACUGUGAAACAUGCAAACGGCCGCUGGUGGCUGCACGACUCCAAUGCACCGCGCGCCAUCCCCCUCACGAACGCCGACGCUGCACAGCCAGGCUACUACCGGUGGGCGGAUCUGGGGCGCGGCCUCGCCCUAACCCUCACUUACACCCGACACCCCGAAGUAUCAACCAACUUCAACAUCCGGGACAUCCCGCCAAUCAGGCCCCCCACCACCCGCAUCACCCUCUCACACGAGGGCAUCCGCAUCACCGCUGUCCGCACCAAUGAGGUAAACCGCCAGCACGCAGGCACCAAACGCACACGCGCUCCAAACCGCAAUGAUGCCUCCACCGCAAACAAAAGCGGCCCCACAUCCGCAGCCCUCGCACAUGACCCCCCCAUCAACCCUGCCGUCGCCACCCCUGCCGGCCCCAAGACCACAAACUCCCCUAGCCCGCCUACGAGCGCCAACCCAGGCCCAGCCUGUCAAACCAAAACUGCCACACGCACUGUGCCCAAACCAGUGGGCCCCACAAAGCGCCCCGCCAGGCGUACGCCCAACCCCACCCCUAAACUCCGCAAACUCGCCACUGGCACCCCCAGCGCACCACCACCAGCCAAGAGACUCCACCAGACCACCAUAGCAACAGCGCACAAAAGAAGACACACGGCCACACUCCAAAACACACCCAGCGGACCCGCAGACGGCCAAGCCCAGGCCAGCCCCUCCCCACCCCCCGACGGACGCAUCUCCAUCCUCACCCUCAACACCAGAGAACUGUUGAGCCACCAUGAAAGCAUCCUCCACACGGUCACCACACGCACCCCCGACAUCCUCUUCCUCACCGAAACCAAAAUUCCCACCCGCCUCCACUACAGCAUGGGCAGCGCGAAAAAGGGCCUCUCCUCGCACUACCAAACCUACACCAGCAACGCACCCUACAACCCACGAGAGGGGACCCGCCCCCAUGCCGGCGUCAUGGUCGGUGUCACCCACCGCUUUAGCCGCCCGUCCGGCACCACGGACAUGAAUGCACACAACACAGACGCACGCCUGGCAGGCCACGUCUGCCACAUACGCAUUGCACCACCACACAGCACGCCAGUACACGCCAUCGGCAUAUACGCCCCCAGCGACGACGCCACCCGCGCUGCAAUCUACAAAUACUGCACCGACCAAGCCGCCAAAACGACAGCCGCUAAAGAGCAUCUCCUUAUGGGAGGCGACUGGAACGCAGUGCUGUUCCCCUCCGACCGCAGCACGGGCGAGCUGAACGCUACGGACCGCGCCCACAUUGCCUUCGCCACCUCUGCGGGCCUGCACCCACUCACACCGCCCACACACGACCACCCCCGGCCCCACACAUACCUACAAGACCAAGCCACGGCACCGCACAUGAGCCGCAUUGACGACCUACUAGUAAGCCACCACACACACGCCAUCAUCACUACAACAGGAGGUGGACAGGAAGCGGUGCAUGAAUGCGGUGAUGCCCUCGACCACCGUGCCCUCCUCUCCAGCGUCCCCCUCGCUGCCCUCCGCCUCUACCCCUUCCCCACGACACCUGCCGCCCCCUCCGAUCCUGACGCAUGGGUAAACUACCAUCCACCAACCAAAGACCAACGCGAGAAAGCGCGCAUCAAGAUGGAGGAAACCAUUGGACAAGAGAUCGCCGACCUACUGAACACGCUACACCCUGCACACUUCGCCAUCACCAAUAAGCUAUACCCUGCCGGCCUCACCCCUGCCCAAGCCGAACGGAACACCCCAAGCCCUGCGGAGUUCCGCGCCCUUCCCGAAGUUAGUGCUGCCGACACCACGUCCAUCAGCAACACACUCGAAACCAUCCUCCAAAAGUGCCUGGACGUUCUCAAAACCUACUGCGACAAAAAACCGCCGCGCGCCAGCACUACAAGCCCACGACACCACACGUCAAAAACAGUGACGCGCCUCCUGACUGCCACCAGCAAGCUGAAAGAACGACUCACAGCCGCCCUUACUGCCACAAACGCAGCGGGCGCCACCCCACCCACCACCUCACCUCACCCCGCCCCGACGCCCCCACCCAACACCACCAGCCCCACACCUACCCCGCCGACCCCCGCAGAAGCCGACACACCCACCGCCAUCCGGAGUCAACUACUCAACGCACGCACCCUCCUCCGUGCCGCAAAAAAGGAAGCAAGGAAACUCAACACCAAACGGGCAGCCCGCGCCUUCCGACGACUGGUUGCAACACAGCCAAAACGCGCACACCAGAAGAUCUUCGAUGAAACGGACCAGCCACGCGGCACGCCCGCCCUCACUGACCCCACCACCAAAGAAGUCCACACCGCACCCGAGAAAAUCCUGAGCAGCAUCCACCAGCACUUCACCGCUCAACUCCUCCCAAUCAAUGGCCCCCGCACAGGACACUACGACAUACCCCACAGCGAGAAACAGUACCCCUGGAGCCGGCCCGACGCACCUGAUCGUAUGCCGGCCCUAUCCAAGCCAACCGACGCACCCGCCACCCUACUGCCCGGCAUAGCCGACAGCACAACGUUCUUUGGCUGCGUCAACCACCUGUCCCGCCGCAAGGCCCCGGGGCCCGAUGGAAUACCCAACGAACUCCUCCAGACAAUACCAACCAACCUGCAGACAGCCAUCCACCAACUCAUGACCCUCAUGUGGGUGAAAGCGCACAUCCCUACACACUGGACACAGUCCGACACCGUCCUCCUACCCAAGAAGGGAGACCCCCUGCUGAUACAGAAUAAGCGGCCUAUCGCGCUGGCCAACACCCUCUACAAGCUGUACACCUCUCUCAUCACCGUAAACGCCGCCCUGUUUAGCGAACAAGCCCACAUUUUCACGGAGUCACAAGAAGGAUUUCUCAGAGGCCGCAAUACCGAACGGCAAGUCCAACACCUGCUCCACGCAAUAGAGGACGCCGCCACCACCGGACGCGACCUCUUCCUACUGUACAUUGACUUCACCUCCGCAUUUAACACGAUCGACCAUGACAAACUGCUCAUCGUCAUGCGCGAUCUAGGCUACCCCACCGACCUGAUUGAGGUGGUACGGGACCUCUACGGCAAGGCAGCCACCAGCGUCCGCACUGAGCACGGCACCACGCCCCCCAUCCCCAUCCAACGAGGCACAGUGCAGGGUGACGUCCUAUCACCCCUACUGUUCAUCAUCUUUAUUGAACCGCUGCUCCGGUGGCUACACGUUGGCGGGCGCGGGUACCAAUACGGAUGCCUCACCAAAGCCGAAAACGACAAGCAUAACCUCAGCUCCGGCGCCUUCGCUGAUGACCUGGUCACAGCCACAACCCAAAUCUCAAAUCUACGAAUCCAAGUUGAAAAAAUUGAGAAAUACGCAGCAUGGGGCGGUUUGAAGGUCAACGUCUCCAAAUGCCAACUACAAGGCAUACUCCACGGCCGCGCGCGCGCCGACCCCACCCUUGGCGGCCCCCGCAGCAAGCCCCACCAGGCAGCGCUCGCCCGGAUGCUAGAAGGCCAAAUCCGCAUAGACGGCACCGCUAUCCCAUACAAGCCCCCGCAUGAAUCCUACAAAUACCUCGGCAUCCACAUCACCCCUACCCUAGACUGGAGCGCACAAGUACAGUACAUCCGGGAAAAGAUUAAGAAGCGAGGGCAACGCAUCGCCACAUCACUUGCCACACCAGACCAAAAGCUCCGAAUGAUACAAUUUACCAUCCACCCAGCAGUGGCCUACAGCCUCCCGUUCAUGCCGUACAGCACACAUGACGUCACCAGCCUCGACUCCCUGAUUGCCAGCACCGCCAAAAUGUGCUACGGCCUGAAACGAAGCUUCCCCACCCGCGCUAUCCUCCAACCCACCAACGCCCUUGGCCUGGGCGUAGGCAGCAUCCGCGAGCUGUAUGCCCGCCGCGCCGGCAAGGCUCUCGUCCAGGCCCUGAACGAUGGAGGCAGGCUGGGCGCCGUCACCCGCGCCAUGCUCCACCUGCAACACAGCGUGGCACAGAAGAUACCCGCAGAUCAGCUCCGCACACAAUGCCGCUUCUAUACCAACCUGCGACAGCUGUCGCUGAUCACAGACGCGGGCCUGGAGCUGACCCAACAGGGCAGCGCAUACCACACUACACUACACGGUUUGUCGGCCCUCCUUGCACGCACCGUGCCGCCAGGCGCCGACGCGGAACAGGCCCUGCCCUUCCGAUUGAUUCAACCCCUCCUUGAACUCACCAGCGACUUCCGCGAGCUCCUCACUCCGGACCGCACCUGCGUCAUCGAUGCCAACACUCUAAAAAACACAUGGCCGAGGGCCCAAAGGCGGCACCGGCUAGCCCUCAACCGUCUCACUCUCGCACUCCACGCUGAAACCCGAACUCGCGCCAAAACCCACAACAGCACCGCUCCCCUCACCACUGCCCAGCGCACUCUUCCAGAUGGACACACCUUCACUGGCCUCCACACGGCCCACACCGCACCUGCCGCCGUCGACUGGGGCACGCUUAACCGCUUCCUCCGCCAGCGCGCCCCCGCCACCGGACAGACUGCUAACGCCGGAGAAACCGCUGCGGCCACCACCGCCGCCGCCACCACCGCGGCGGCCGAGCCUGAGGAGGACCACCACGCCGGCGAGAGCCAUGCACCUGCACAAACACGCCGGCCAGGCACACAGCAACGUAAGCGGGCUUGCAUUAAGAUGGUCAGGGAACCUGAAGGUCGUGGAUCACCGCCUGCUGAUGCGCCCGCAGCAUUUGAUUGGGAUCCAUCGCUCGACCCGCUUACAGAAGCACACUGCGCAGACCUGAUCCAUACCGCCCCUAGCCUCCUCGGCAAAUCCAAGCCCCAAAACCCCGCGGCACACCUCAGAGGCCUGCUCCUCGGCCCCACACCCCCAGCCACAUUCACACACCGACACAAGCUCAGUCAGGAGGAGCAAGACGCGUACCUAGCCGCCACGUCCGACACAUGGAAGCACUUCAGCGAAACCUACCGCACCAAAGCCCUAACCACCACCAACACCCUAUACGGGCAACAGGAGCGAGUACAACAAGUGAUAGCGCACACCACCAGCAAAGGCGCGCCCUUUUACCGAGUCCAGUGGGAACCCACCGUCAUCACCCCCGGCUCCCUCACCCUCUACGCCCGCAACCGCUACCGCCCCAAACCCGGCGGCCUUACCUGGCUCCUCACCCCAGGUAACGAACCUCGCGUCCUUGUGGAAUGGGAAGACUUGGAAGAACCCGCCGCUAUCCUGGAUGCACAAGACAACAAGCAGGAACUCCUAGACGCCCUUAACGCCCGCCUCGCCGUCCCCCUGGGCCCCCGCCCGCCACCCCCCGCUACGGACACCCACCUAAACCCUGACCAGCGACAGGGCCGCUGGACAGACGCCAGCAAUGACACAGCACGAGGGCAACGCACUCUGCGCCACUACGUAGAUAUCAACGUUGAGCCCUGCAACCCUAGCCGAGACAUCCACCCCACGCAAGCAUACACCGUCCAGCUCGGUACAGCCCUCGACCCCGGCUCCCCGGCAUGCGGCACCCACCUGGCGCAUGUAUACGACCCCCGCGGACGGUGCAUAGGCACCAUCAGCGCAGAGCGGCUCAGCCUCCUGUGGCAACGCUACCAGCAUGCACAAACAACCUGGCCCGAAGUGCACGCCAAGCACGAUCAGGGCAGAGGCUUUGCGGCCGCCAUCGCCCGCCUGCUCCUCCGAUACAAACCCGGGGGCGGCUCCAAAUCCCACCCUGUUACCGAAAAAGGCGAACGCAUACUGUGUGAAGGGCUGACGCAAACCCUGCACACAGCAAUAGGCAGCACAACGGAGCUCUUCGCAUCACCCCUUAACGUCUCGGACGCCGCCACCACCUACUACACACUGUACGAAGAAGACAUGCUCUUUGGGGCCAACUAUGAUGCGUACUCACAGCCAUGGGAUGGAGUUGCUGUCGCCUGCCCCGAACCCAACACCGAAGACGGAGCUCACGCAGUCCGCUGGGCACUAGCAUGGGCCGAACACACCGAACCCCUUACAAACACCCGCAACCCGCCAACCACUGCCACGCUGCUCAUCCUCCCCACCCAACGCAACGCGCCAUACACACGAUACCUCGCCCACCCCAGAGUCACACUCCUUGGCAGCAUCUCCGCCACAGCAACACACGCCCUUCUCGGCCAGAUCCACAACGACGCAGGCAUCACCCUAAAACACGACCUAGUGCUGGUCAGCAAUACACCCGGAGCCCAACUCGCCCAGCCCAUACGCGACGCCCUAGGCACAUCCCUAUACCUCUCGGGCAUGCCCGUCGACCCGCAGCCCCAACUCACGUGGGCCCACACGCGAUGGGUAACCAAGCAAGUCCGCCGGAUGACCCGCACCCGCCCGGCGGCACCCCGGGUAACACCCCCUCCCGUACCGGCCACGCCAGCCACCCUGGCCCCCUUCGCGGCCACCCAGCCCCUCCGCCUCAAUCCCUAUGAAGGCUUCUACACCGAUGGCUCAGUGCAGAAGGACGCCCUCGGUCAGCCCAGCGCGUGGGGGGCCGCAGCGAUUGAUGCCCGCACGCUGCGCUGCUAUCAAAUCGACGUCAACCCUGGGCAACACGGCUGUAACACCAUCACACGAUGCGAGCUCUCGGCCAUACACCAAGUGCUCAAGCUAGACGAAGUGCAAGCGCUCCCCGAAGUCACAGUAUACACUGACUCCGCUGCGUCGCUGUUCCUCAUCCGCAAAACAAUCAACCAGCCCCAACUCCUCACCUUCAGCAAACACAAAGCGCUGCUGGAUAACAUCCUCGCGCUACUGAAACGCCGCUCCCACGCCGGCUGCCGGACUAAUCUCCUCAAGGUCAAAGCACAUUCAGGGAUUGCGCACAAUGAACUCGCAGAUCAGGCGGCGGUGAAAACCGCCAAGGGAGAACAGAUACCCGGGGCCAAGUGGCUGGUCGAGGAAUCCGAUAACGACCCGCGCAGCAAAUACUAUUGGAUACGUAAAACUAUGAAACCGACUGUAGAAGGGGUGCCACGAGAGAAGAACGAAGGACACUACGCGCAUGACCUCAACCGCGGCAUCGCCACGCUUGCGGCCCCGCACAUCGCCCAAGGCCACACCCGCGAAACCCUCUACACUGGCUUCGUUGCCAAGGCCAUCCCAGACCUGGAUAUCAAAUCCAGCACCCGAACCAUGAACCUGCAAUCAGGCCGGCACCGCAAGGCCAAACGCUGCAUGGACUAUCUGUACGGGCAGCUGUGGAACAAUAAACUCGCAGCCCGCUUCGGCCGCACAGUCACAGGCCGCCGAGCCCCCCGCGCUGGCCCCGAUACCCCCGCCCCAUGCCCACUCUGUCGCGGACCCGACUCCGGUGGCCAUAUACUGGGAGGCUGCCACAACCCCCAACUCCGUGCAAUGUACAUUAAACGACACAACAUUGCAGUCCAGACCAUCGCACGAGCCAUCUCCCGUGGUGACUGCGGUGGCUGCUACAUGGUAAUGGACGCCACGUCUAAAGCCGAUCUGCCAGACUACGCGGCUGACAACCGCCUGCCGCCGUGGCUGCUCCCCGACCAGGAGGGCAAACCAGCCGGACGCCACCUACAUUACCGCCCCGACAUCCUACUAAUCCCUUCCAUCUCCCUCGCCGCAGCCCUAAACCCAAACUUUGUCGUGCUUCCCAGCGAACGCGACACCAUCCACAUCAUCGAAGCAGGAUACACCGCCGACACGAACCACGCCGCCAAGCAACACGAAAAAGCACAACAGCACCAGGCCCUUGCAGCCGACCUGCGGGAAGCGGGAUGGAAAGUGCAAUACACCCCGCAGAGCGCAAUCAGCCUCGGAUUUGCAGGCACAAUCCACAAGGACCUCCAUCCCCUCCUCACCUCCCUGGGCGUCACUUCCCACAAAGCCAGGCAGUGCUGCGACACCCUACACGACCACGCAGUCACCACCCUCAACCACAUUGUCCUGACCAGACGGCGUCUCGAACGGGGACUGCCACCUGGCGACCCGGGCGGGACGUAACACCCUGGCGGGGUGCAGGCCUGGCCUGCACGCCCGCCUUCACAUGCUCGGUAGUGGGGGCGUACAGGAGGCGGGCCUGGCCCACCUCCUCAUCUCCCCCCACUCCCUUAAUUCACACCACUUGCCUACGGCAGGGUGUCUCUAUUUCUAUUUCUAUUUGCUGGCCAUGGGCAGCCGCGGCAGCCACAGCCUCUGCCGCGGCUGCUUGGCACAGUCACCACCACGCGCCGCCGCCGUUCCCCACGUUUACCCUGCUUAUGCUUCCCGCUCCGUGCAGAUCCCGGGCUGAUAGCAGCGCGCAGCAGCGGCAGUCGCCUGCCUUCCUCCCCACCCGCGGCCGUGCAACCGGUGACUGCUGGCCAUGGGCAGCCGCGGCAGCCACAGCCUCUGCCGCGGCUGCUUGGCACAGUCACCACCACGCGCCGCCGCCGCUCCCCCCGUUUACCCUGCUUAUGCCUGCCGCUCCGUGCAGAUCCCGGUCUGAUAGCAGCGCGCAGCAGCGGCAGUCGCCAGCCUUCCUCCCCACCAGCGGCCGUGCAACCGGUGACUGCUGGCCAUGGGCAGCCGCGGCAGCCACAGCCUCUGCCGCGGCUGCUUGGCACAGUCACCACCACGCGCCGCCGCCGUUCCCCCGUUUACCCUGCGUAUGCCUGCCGCUCCGUGCAGAUCCCGGGCUGAUAGCAGCGCGCAGCAGCGGCAGUCGCCAGCCUUCCUCCCCACCCGCGGCCGUGCAACCGGUGACUGCUGGCCAUGGGCAGCCGCGGCAGCCACAGCCUCUGCCGCGGCUGCUUGGCACAGUCACCACCACGCGCCGCCGCCGCUCCCCACGUUUACCCUGCUCAUGCUUCCCGCUCCGUGCAGAUCCCGGUCUGAUAGCAGCGCGCAGCAGCGGCAGUCGCCAGCCUUCCUCCCCACCCGCGGCCGUGCAACCGGUGACUGCUGGCCAUGGGCAGCCGCGGCAGCCACAGCCUCUGCCGCGGCUGCUUGGCACAGUCACCACCACGCGCCGCCGCCGCUCCCCCCGUUUACCCUGCUUAUGCCUGCCGCUCCGUGCAGAUCCCGGUCUGAUAGCAGCGCGCAGCAGCGGCAGUCGCCAGCCUUCCUCCCCACCAGCGGCCGUGCAACCGGUGACUGCUGGCCAUGGGCAGCCGCGGCAGCCAUAGCCUCUGCCACGGCUGCUUGGCACAGUCACCACCACGCGCCGCCGCCGUUCCCCCGUUUACCCUGCGUAUGCCUGCCGCUCCGUGCAGAUCCCGGGCUGAUAGCAGCGCGCAGCAGCGGCAGUCGCCAGCCUUCCUCCCCACCCGCGGCCGUGCAACCGGUGACUGCUGGCCAUGGGCAGCCGCGGCAGCCACAGCCUCUGCCGCGGCUGCUUGGCACAGUCACCACCACGCGCCGCCGCCGCUCCCCCCGUUUACCCUGCUUAUGCCUGCCGCUCCGUGCAGAUCCCGGUCUGAUAGCAGCGCGCAGCAGCGGCAGUCGCCAGCCUUCCUCCCCACCCGCGGCCGUGCAACCGGUGACUGCUGGCCAUGGGCAGCCGCGGCAGCCAUAGCCUCUGCCACGGCUGCUUGGCACAGUCACCACCACGCGCCGCCGCCGUUCCCCCGUUUACCCUGCUCAUGCUUCCCGCUCCGUGCAGAUCCCGGUCUGAUAGCAGCGCGCAGCAGCGGCAGUCGCCAGCCUUCCUCCCCACCCGCGGCCGUGCAACCGGUGACUGCUGGCCAUGGGCAGCCGCGGCAGCCACAGCCUCUGCCGCGGCUGCUUGGCACAAUCACCACCACGCGCCGCCGCCGCUCCCCACGUUUACCCUGCUCAUGCUUCCCGCUCCGUGCAGAUCCCGAGCUGAUAGCAGCGCGCAGCAGCGGCAGUCGCCAGCCUUCCUCCCCACCAGCGGCCGUGCAACCGGUGACUGCUGGCCAUUGGCAGCCGCGAUUACUAGUUAAUACCUAGGUUUAACUCAACAUACAUACAUACAACAUAGAGCCUGGCACUCAUUGCUUUGCCUUUGUUUAACAAGGCCCAUCCCUAACGCCGUUCUCGUGGCAAUUGCGUUAUACGUGCUAGUAUACUGUUUGUUAUUAACGCAGUAAAUGUAGAAGCAAUAGUUUGCACGUUGCAGUGCAGUUGGGCGAUCGCGAGGUCUGGCAAAGUCAUCGUUCGUUAUGUGUCUACACUCUGUGAUUUGAGCAAGUACUUGAGGUGAAGGCUUUGAUGGGGCUUGCGUCGGGGGCUUGCGUAUUCGUGGGGCGCAUGCGUCUGCAUGCGUUCCGCAUGCGUGUUUCGCACGCACAACAGAGAGGUUUGCCGCUCUCCCCGCCCCUCAUGCUUCUUGCUUUCCGUGGACGCAUGCGUCCCACCCCCAACGCAUGCUUUACGCACAAAAAGCAGGUGUGGGCACUUAUUGUGCAUCGGUGCCCCGGCCAGCCCGCCCAGCCCUGGCGGUGGGCUUGCUGUCGGCGCUAGCGCCCCGCCGUCACCGCCACCUGUGCUGCUGCAGUCCACUGCCGCGGUGGCGCCGGCAGGUGUCACCGCCCUGCCCAGUGCUGCGACCUCCAAGUCCGCGCCGGGCCCGCCUGCGCGCUGCAGUGCUUCGGCACUCCCGCCCAGUUAUGGAGGUGGGCUUGCUGUCGGCGCUAGCGCCCCGCCGUCACCGCCACCUGUGCUGCUGCAGUCCACUGCCGCGGUGGCGCCGGCAGCUGUCACCGCCCUGCCCAGUACUGCGACCUCCAAGUCCGCGCCGGGCCCGCCUGCGCGCUGCAGUGCUUCGGCACCCCCGCCCAGCCCUGGCGGUGGGCUUGCUGUCGGCUCUAGCGCCCCGCCGUCACCGCCACCUGUGCUGCUGCAGUCCGCUGCCGCGGUGGCGCCGGCAGCUGUCACCGCCCUGCCCAGUGCUGCGACCUCCAAGUCCGCGCCGGGCCCGCCUGCGCGCUGCAGUGCUUCGGCACCCCCGCCCAGUUAUGGAGGUGGGCUUGCUGUCGGCUCUAGCGCCCCGCCGUCACCGCCACCUGUGCUGCUGCAGUCCACUGCCGCGGUGGCGCCGGCAGGUGUCACCGCCCUGCCCAGUGCGUGCUGCGACCUCCACUGUAACGACGGGAAACUCGCGUCUCGGCGCGUCUCAGCGCGUCCGAGCGCGUCAGAAUGCGUCAGGGGGCGUCUGGCCGCGUAUCGUGACGCGAGUGCUGAGACGCGAACAGUGACGCGAACUACUUUGAAGGGGACCCAUACCGUGGUGCGCACGGUGUUUUACACUAGCCUAUACUGCUAUUGCGACAAAUGUAGCCUUGCCCGGCAGUAUGUGGGCUGUCAUGGGCAGAUUGGCCCCUGCACCUGCGCCUGCUGCCGCAAGCCCCUGCACCCCUGGCCCUGCACCCGGGCGGGCUGGCCAGCCCCGCCUCUGCUCCGUCGCCCCAACCAACCUUUAGGCGCAGUUCAGCCAGCCUGCGCCAGCCAGCCGAUAUGUGCCGAUACUGCUUACAACAAGCCUAUAAGCCUAGAUACAGUAAGCAAAGGCAUUGGCACAGGCGAGCAUCGGUGACACCGGUGCAAUCGGUCGCCCACCACCAAGUGUUUGCCCCUUGCCUCGCUUGACCGCUAUUCUCUUGAAAACAUAAACAUGACUGACGAACUCAUGAAUCAUACGUCUGCCAACGGGCCUUGUUCCGUUGGUGGCGGCCUGGGGCCUUCAGAGCGCGCUUCACAGCGGGCUUGUAUGGCUCCAGGCCGACCAACCCACCUCAGCGCUUACUGCGCACGUAGUGCUGUCAAUGUUAACAUUAGUGUUAGUGCUGGCGGCUCUGGCAACGGUUCACCUGAGCUUUGCUCCUCGCGCUAUCAGCCAAAGUUCACAAACGGAAGAGCUACAAAUCUUCAUUAGGCUUCCUUCAGGGCAACUCGUCACGUUCGUGGGACCUGUCGAUGCCACUGUGGGCUCUGUCUUCGACUUUAUCGCUUCCACGACCCUCUUCCAUCUAGAUAACAGCCGGAUAUGGCGCUUGGUCGCGCGCGGCGGCGACACGCUGCUGGAGCGUUCGACCGUGCUGGCACGUCGUGGCCUGGCGUCCGGUUCCGAGCUGCAAGUGCUCGCACGGCUAAUGGGUGGCACUCCAAAGAGAAGGCCAUCAGCACCCUCAGGUAUAGUUGUUGGGAGUCAAGAGGCUUGGCACGGCAAAGGACUUACAACCACACCGUGUGCACGCAGACAACUGGCUCAGCCUCCACCGCUUCACCCGCUUCCAAAACCACUUCGGAGACCCCGUCUACACGUGCACCAACCCUGGAUGCCGUUCGCCAACGCAGUUCAAGGAUAGAGCGGCUUGCUCUCGCCACGAAAAAUGCUGUGAGGGUGCACCUCGGGACCUCCCUCUCCCUGCCGGUACCGGUGGCGAAGGCGGCCUAGGAGACGCUGACGUUCCUGAGGGAGGGAGGGAUUCGCCUGCGGGUUCUGUUAGUGAGAGCGACAGCAUGGACACUAGCGGUAGCGGCACCGACAGAGGUAGCGGCACCGACAGCGGUAGCGGCACCGGCAGCGGUAGCGGCACCGGCAGCGGUAGUGGCACCGGUAGCGGCACCGACGGCGGCAGCGGCGGGAAUGUUGGCAAUGGCAGUGACAGGAGUGGUGGUGGCUACAGUAAUAGCGGCAGCGCCCGGGUUGACAGCGACUACCUAUACUCCGAUGAGGAAGAGGAAGAUGCUGCUGACGCUGAACCGGGUAAGGAUCGCGCAGGUUGCGGUCCUCCUUUGCGCGCCGCAAGCCCGGGUCUGGGUGCUGGGUCAUGCCUCUGUCCUGGGGGUCUCGCUUCCGGACAUGGCUUAUGUUCAGAUCGUUGAGAAGCGACAUCUAACUUUGCAUUACCCUGACGUCCCGCCCAACCCUGCCCCCCCACCCCCAAUCCACAGGUCAUUUCCUGGCGGCAGCUCUACACCGCGUUGUGGCUUCUCUCGACCAGGACGACCCUGCCAACAUCAACACCAUUGAGCUGCUGAAUGCUAUUCUGCAGCAAUUCGGGCACCUGGCGCCUGUUGACGGCGACGGUGAUGCUGAUGACCAAGCCGGUGCGGUUGCCAACGACCUUGCGGCGCAGGGCAUGGUCAUGCAACCCACCAACAUCUCCGAACUACAGCAUGGUGCGCGGUCUGUGCAGCACUUCAAGGGCAUCAUGUCAGAGCCGCUGUGGAGAACAGGCACUCAAUGUAAGUCGGGAUGUGGGUCGGGUCGGGUCGGGCGGGGUUGGGACAGCGGGAUUUCGACAGGCUUUGACAAGGGAGCUCUGGGGUAUUGCGUGGUGGGCGCAGCAGCAGGCGCGGGCAACACUGGAAUGGAAUGGGUAUUCGAACUGCCACUGCAACGCCACGGAAUUCUGUGCAUGUAACGGCGCACUUGAUUGACGCAAUGCACCUCCCUUUCCGUGGCUUUCACCCUCUCCGCUGGCACACUACUGCAAUUCCGGUACGACACCUAUCUGCGCAGCUGCACCUAUCACUGUGGGGCAGUUUGCUUACGCUUGGAUGAAGGAGAAGAUUGAUGGGCGCGUACGGGAUAAUGUUGCGGACCGUCAGCUGCGUUUCCUUCGUGACGUGUGCUUUCCACCUGGCAAUAACUUGCCCCCGUCGCUGUACAUAAUGAAGAAGAUGUUGGACAUUCCAGACGCACGUGACUUUGAGAAGCACGUUUGUUUGAGCGACAAGUGCUUGUUUCCUGAUUUCCCUCGAGAUGAGUGGCACCAGCACCUGCAAGAUGAGUGCGGCUGCGGCCAUCGACGGUUUAAGCCUGCCCGGCCAGGACACCAACCAGUUCCGAACAAGGUACGUUGCAUGCUUUACUUGUUGCCCAUGCGGAGUCUCCCCAUAGCAAUAAGUCUCCCAAGGUCUCCCAAUCCUGCAUGCCCUUGUUCCGUCAACCCUUCUUGACUUCAGUGCCCUUUGCCAUGACCGCGUGCACGUGCUGUCUUCCCACAGAGGUUCUACGACUUCGGUGUCGAGAAUGUCGUGCGCGGCAUGUUCAUGGACCCACGGUUCUGCAUGUUUCGCGGCACAGGGCGCGACAACAACCCUGAUGACUUCUACGGCUCGCGGUACGCACAAGACAUCAAUGCCAAGACUUCCGGCGAGUUCUUCGAGCCCGACAGCUCCGCUUACGACCUGGGAUUUGACUUCGGCGAGGUCUUCUCGUUCAAGAAGUACAGCUGCGGGAUGCUGUUCAUUCGGUGCGUGUGACGGACCUCAGCCUGUUGCAUAGUAUGGGCAAUUGCUUUCCUGUGCACCUACAGCGUCUCCGUGUGUGCAUUUGAUGUAAUGGGCAUCGUUAAGUAUGUGCCUAUGCUGUAAUCAUCACCCACCAGACCUUAUUGCUCCCCGCUUUAACUGCUGUCUUCAGGUGCGCGGACCUGCCAGUGACUCACCGCAGCAAGCGCCGCCACUGCUUCCCCCUGAUCAUCACGCCCGGACCUUCGGAGCCUGACUCAAUGGAAGUCUACUUGCGCCCAACACUGACAGCAUUCAAGGCCUUCGGGCCUGGCACCGAGGGUAUGACCGUGGUGGACGCUGCUUCGGGCCGGACCUUUGGGCACAAGAUGUUUCUGGGCGGUAUCUUUGCUGGUGAGUGGGCUUUUAGUCCGUGCUGGGGCGGGAGCGUUUGGGGACGGUAGUGGUGGGGCGGGGGCAGGAGUGCUCAGGCGUGGGCGGGAAUGCUAGGGUGGUGUGGGAGAGCUGGGGCAGGGGUGGGGGUGCAGGGGCGGGGCGCGGGGCAGGUGUGCUGGGGUGGGGUGGGAGUGCUGGGGUGAGGGCAGGAGUGCUGUGGCUUAGGUGGGCAUGGUGGGGCGGGGUUGGGCUGGUGGUGGUGGUUCUGGGGCGGGGGUGGGAGGACUGGGGGCGGGAGUGCUUGGGUCCAUAUGUUGACCUCUGCUUGGUCUGCAUGCAGAUACGCCUGCUAACCGGACGUUGAGUCUUUGGCUCUCCCAUGCGGCCAAGAACGCAUGUGGGCACUGCAUGCUGCUGGGAGAGACUGGCCCUAACGGCCAUGGUACAUACUUUCUGGGGUACAACAAGCCGGCGGACAUCAACACAGCGCUGAACGUCCUGUUGCCACCUGACUGUCAGAUGCCAGAGACUGCACUAUGCGGUGACAGCAGGAUCCGGAUCUCUCAUGCGCACCACAUGGAUCGGGCACAGGUUGUGGAAAGUAAUCAUGACUUGGCAUCAGCGCUGGGUUGCCAUGGCAUUUCCUGCAUAGCGAAGGAGCUGUCGUACAUAGACAUGAAUAACGUGUGGGUUGUGCCCAUAGCGCAUGCAGCUCUGUUCGGUGUCAUCAAGAAGUUCUGGCACUUUGUGCUGGGCGAGUCCGUCAAGAAGGCUGAGAGUGACUUUGUGUUAAGUGUAGAGGCUCGUCGCAGAAUGACUGCACGUGCAUCCCAUUUCAUCAUUACUAAUGACUUUAACCGACCCUACCGUGACAUUGUCCCCUGCUCGUACUGGACCAUGGAAGAAUGGCUACACUGGACGGACUGCUUCUCCCUAUACGUCCUGCACUCGCACGGAGGGGAUCCUAAUAAAGUUAAGAUGCCGGUAGUUACACGGAAAGAUGAUGCAGGGCUGGAUCGUGAGUUUGACCUGGGGAGAAUGUGGGAGAUGUUGCGCACGGCCAUGCUGCAUUAUCUGCGGUAUGACCAAUUCUCGGAGGCUGCGUGUGACAGUGCAGCAGUAACCUUCAAACAGUUCUGCUGUGACUCGGAGCUCGUGUUUGGCAUGAAGUUUGCUACCUACAACAUGCAUCUCCUGGCAUGUAGGCUACGCGAGCAGGAGCGUGCACGUGGGCACGUGGCGUUUGCAACUGAGUUCUGGGUCGAGCGCGGUGUGCAGCAGGUCAAAAGUGGGGUCAAGUUCCGCACAACCAGGUGUCCAGAGCAAAUUAUUGUGAGUGGGUUCCUUGCAAGUGCCCGGCUCGCUGAGAUGCGAGCUGAGCGUGGCAGGGGAGGUGGCACCGCGGAUGGUGGUGCAACGGAGCCAGCCGGGGUAGAGGCCGGCCAUGCACUGGCUGCGGGUGGGAGCCAGUACAAGUCAUUUGAUGAGUGGGUGCCAAAUUACCGUGCAGCAUACGUCACAUUGACGGGGGAUGUUUGCGCGGAUGUAGAGGAUGGUGAGGGUUCCCAGCUGCUUGGGCGCGGAUAUGUGGCGGGUCCGACCGAGCGGACAGUUGUCUUCGAAGCAUUCAUGAAGGCUUUUAGUAAAGAGGACUUCGAGACACGUUCAGGUGUGGUGGAGGGUGACUUGCAGAACGCAAGUGUUAUUAUAUUCAAACGUGCACUUGUACGACGUGACCAGGUUUUACUAUCUACAAAGUAUAACUUGACCACUGCACGUGAGUCAUUUUAUGUGAAGACUAAGUAUGCGCCAUCCCUUGACACCCCAGAGGACGAUCAGGACGUGUCUGUGUAUGUUGGAGAGGUUGCAUUCUAUGCUCGUGUGCAAACCGUGCGUGGGGUUGUAUGCCGUGUGGCAAUUUGCGAAUUGCAUAAGGUGGAGGUGGUACGGCCGCAGUCGUUGUACUAUGCUGCAGACUUUAGUCGCCGCAAGGCAACCCCCAACCAAGAACGCCAGCAGACGUUCCUGAACUCGUUCCCCGUGCUAUUGCAAGCCAUUGACUCGAAGGUGAUGCGCUGCAAGCUCGACGAGAAUAAAAGUUACUUCAUUACGUACCACUUGUUUUCUCAGUUGCCAACCAAUGAUGGUGAUUGGCAAGGAGCAGUGCAAGUUGGGUAGCCGCUCACGCGGCUGAUGCAGUCUGUAACAUGAUGAUGUCUUCUGGGCUUGUGUCUUCCGGGGCCGCCAACCGUUCCACUAAAGAAAACUUCCCGGCUGCCGACAGCGCACGCAGCCCUGCACCUGCCAGCUACCGUCGGUACAGUAACAGCGCGCGAACGACGCACCAAUGCCUUGUCCCUUCUUGCUACCCAUUUAUGUGGGCACGGGUGGGAGCCACACACAUCGGGACUACGCUUUCCUGCCCCUUGCCAUGUUCCAUCACGAGCACGCAGCCCUGCACCGGUGCCGUAUGACGAUGCAGCCCCAGCCCCCUUCCCGCCUUUCCACCAAAGAAAACUUCCCGGCUGCCGACAGCGCACGCAGCCCUGCACCGGUGCUGUAUGACAAUGCAGCCCCAGCCCCCUUCCCGCCGUUCCACUAAAGAAAUCUUCCCGGCUGCCGACAGCGCACGCAGCCCUGCAUCGGUGCCGUAUGACGAUGCAGCCUCAGCCCCCUUCCCGCCUUUAAAGAAAACUUCCCGGCUGCCGACAGCGCACGCAGCCCUGCACCGGUGCCGUAUGACGAUGCAGCCCCAGCCCCCUUCCCGCCGUUCCACUAAAGAAAACUUCCCGGCUGCCGACAGCGCACGCAGCCCUGCACCGGUGCCGUAUGACGAUGCAGCCCCAGCCCCCUUCCCGCCUUUCCACUAAAGAAAUCUUCCUGGCUGCCGACAGCGCACGCAGCCCUGCAUCGGUGCCGUAUGACGAUGCAGCCUCAGCCCCCUUCCCGCCUUUAAAGAAAACUUCCCGGCUGCCGACAGCGCACGCAGCCCUGCACCGGUGCCGUAUGUCAAUGCAGCCCCAGCCCCGUUCCCGCCGUUCCACUAAAAAAAUCUUCCCGGCUGCCGACAGCGCACGCAGCCCUGCACCGGUGCCGUAUGACGAUGCAGCCCCAGCCCCCUUCCCGCCUUUCCACUAAAGAAAACUUCCCGGCUGCCGACAGCGCACGCAGCCCUGCACCGGAAGCUUCCCAGCAUCUGAGACACAAGUUUCCCAUCAGUACAGUAUUGAUCUACCGGCCUCUUGUUUGUUUACCUAUGGAACUCAUAACAACAACGAUACAUGCUUGCGACCAGCCGUGCAUGGCUGAUCCGCCCGCUCAGCACUUCCCACCACUGCCCUGCGCCCGGCGGCCCUUGAUAGCUGACUGUUGCAGGGCCGCACCCGCAGCCCGCUUCUGGGAUGGCGGAUGACAUCCAGCCUCGGCCUCACACCCCGCGCUUGCGGCCAUGCGCAGGAUCUCCGCCUCAAACUCCUCACCGCGCUUGCACAUGACAUGCAGAGAUGCGGUCUUGCCCUCCGCCGCCAACUCCAACCGCCCGCGCGCCUCGGCCCUCCCCACUUUCACAUCAGACUGGCGUGACACAACGCCAGAGCCCACCGUCACGCCGCACGGCAUGCCCGCCUCAUCGAAUUUAGCGUUAAGUGGCACACGCAAGUCAGCACCGUGCACCACCUGCCGCGCGUCGAACACCAGCAGGUCGCUGUCCUGGGUGCGGGUGUAGGCGCUGACCCCACCAAAUGUGAACAGGUUGCGGCUGACAUGCGCCGCACGCUCCACAUCGUCCAAGAAGUCCUUGCACUGCAUGGCGAUGAGGGGUGAGCUGUCAUACAGCAGGCCAGGGCCAUACCCAUAAGCGCGCCAGCGAGCCCACGCCCAAAUUGUCAAGCACCGGCUUUGGUCAGGGCAAUGCUCCCUGGCUGGCAUUUGCAUCCUUCCUCCACCCGGCCACAAAAACGUUCCGCCGGGUCCCUUCUCCACCCCACCAGCUCGUCCAACCCUUGACGCCUGGCAGCUCACCCGGCGCCCUGUUGCCGACUUCCACAGAGCCAGGAACACGACAGUUGGCGUUGCGUCGUCCGGGUCCAGAUGCGGGUGUGUGAAGUAGUCCAGCCCGACCGGAACCAGGCCCCAUGGCGCCCCUGUCGCCAGGAUUGCAGGCGUACCCGCGACGGUCUCCUUCGCGCUCCUCACGAGGUAGUCCCACAUCGCCAGCAGCAGCAUGGCGAUGCACAGGCCGAACGCACCAAUGACCACCCGCGCUUCGUGGCUCCUCGAUGUGUGCGCAUACCUGUCAAGGAAUCAGGCCGUGCACCUUGCAUCUGUUGCCAAGCCAUCCCGAACGCCGCCCAAAGCCCUCGCCUCCUUGGAUUUCCCCUUAGGUUCCGCUCCACCACGGCUAUGCACGCCCCUCCCUCGCUGCCAUCGCUUGCCAGUCCCAUACCACUCACAUGGUCACGCGGCUCGCCUUGUUGGUCUGCACAUGCCGGUAGCCUGCCAUGUGAGUUUCGCCGCCACACUCUUUCAGCCGACCACGGGGGACCUUCUUCAGCGUCUGCGCCUCCAUCAGGCGCCGCUGCAUGUUGCGCGCCGCGCUCGCACCAACACCGGGUACUUGCUCUGCAUCACCGGCCCCGGCACAUACAGGACCAGGAGGACUGGGUUGAACACGCCGUCAGUCCCCGUCAUGUCAAUCCAGAACAGGCAUGCCCUGCCAGUCAUGUCCCAGUACACGGUCAGCGCUAGCUCCGCUGAUGUGCGGGGUCUCCCCGCAGAUUGCGCCUCCAGGUCCAACGCCGCACGAGCUUUGGCGCGCGCAUUGCACGCGUCGAGCACGUUCGGCCGCAGUUGCCGCACGUUGCCUUGCAGUAGGUCGCGGAGGGCAUCGGGGACUCGCAGGGCGAUGUACAGCUCCCUUAGCAAGGUGCCAUCGGUUAGCUCUCCAGCAGCAACCUGGUGCGGACACACGGUCACAAAUGGCAUUCAAGACAUCCAACACACAAUUGCAGUGCUCAGGACCCCUGCACACGCGGCCUGUUGGGGGGCCUGGGGUAAUGGCGGUCCCACGCCACAGAUACCCAAAGUUCCCCCCUCACCCCGGGCUCCGGCAGGUCUGUCACAACAUCAGUACCAGAGCGGGCAGCACCAGCACCACUGCCUGCUGCUUCCACAUCAGCCAUUCCCUCCUUUGGCGUCACCACAUUCAAUGGUGGUGCAGCCACCGCAGUGCCCUCCACCGCGGCUGCUGCCGUAGUCGAUGAAGCUGGCCGCCCAUCCUCCACACCACCGGACUCCCCCUCCUCCAGGCACGCGCCCUGUGCAGGCAUUCGUGCAUGAGGGCGUACGCAUGCCGACCAGGCCCGCCUGCCAUCGAGGCCACAUCACGUGCAUGCAUGCAUGUCCACAUUACGUGCACCCUACGGCCUUGCCGCCCCAUCCUGGCUGCGCACCUUCAGCUCCAGGAUCGCGGACAGGGACACGAUCUCGUUGUCCUCCACCAUGCCCAUGAUGCUCUCCUCCACGUCCGGCGCCACAUCCCCCACCUCAUCGCCCAUUGCCUGGGGCCUGGCCAUGGGUGGCAGCUCCAGCCGUACCAGCUUAUCCGCAAUGCCGGCGAAAAGCGUCAACUUGUCCCCCCGUUCCCUGGCCCUUCUUAGCUCCCUGCGAGAGCCGGCGGAUUGUGUGGGAUUUCAGUCAGCGCGCCCAGCCCCUCGCGCCGAGGCCUGAGCCCCCACAUCCGUGCUCCGGGCAGCGCCAUCCAAUUCGUCGGGUUAGCCCGGUCGGCCCCGGACGCCCCCGCUCCCCCCCGCCAUGCCCCAUCUGAGGCCGCCGCCCAAUCCAGGCCCGCCCCCGGCGAUGUGACGUACCCCGGCCACCACAGCCCAUCCAUCCAAGCCCUCCCAACCAUGGCCUGUACCUCCCCCCAGCCUCACCUUGCGAGCUCCUCCCGGCCGUGACGCCUCCACUUCUCGCCCAGCGCCAGUAGGAACCUUGGGGGGCACCCGCGGUGGGCGGCCUUGGAAGGAUCCCUCCUCCACCGCUGCUCCUCCUCGACUCGUGCCGCGAGGCAUGAGGCUUUAGGCAUGCCCGGCAUGUCCAGCUGCACAACGCCGCCGGCCCUCGCAAGUGCCGCCCUGCACAUGCAGCCCGCAUGUGAUUUUGCGGAAGUCCCGCGAGUGUCCCCCUUCCCCUCCUCAAAUCUCACCUUACUAUUACGGCCUCAUCAGAUGACAGCGACAGCGUCCCCUUCUUCAAAACCGUCUCAGUUAUGUCCAAAUCCUUGCGGGCCUCGCCCUGCUCCAGACCAACCUCUUCCGAGCUAGACGGCUCCAUUCCUAUUAGGUGCUUCUUCCAAAUCAAGACGCGCCGGGCCCGCGAACGCCGUUCAACGCGACGUUGCCACCCGGAGCCCUGGGUGGCAAAGUCGGCGCGCCUGUACCUCCGUGGCAGUCAGUGCUGCUACUAUGUACUCUUGCUUAUAUUGUUUAUGCCCCACCAUUUGCCGAGCCCAAACGCGUGUCUCUGGCUAUCGCCCACCACCGGCCCGCCCCCGCCCCAUGCGCAAAACCCUACCCCUACCAGUCCCUCCCUUUACAAACGAUACGUAGCAGUUUUGCAGGUGUUGAAAUUGAAGGUGUUCAAAAACACCAAGAAGGUGAUGAUGCCCAGGGACUCGAGGGGACCAUUUGGAUUCACCCGUUUGAAUUGGCCUCCGACCUGAGUCAAACGGGGAUGGGUGAUGGAAUCCAUCGUUUGAAUGCGCUUUAAAUUGCAAGAGAGGGCUUUCGGGCACUACCCUACCUCACAACCAUCCAACAUGGUCGCCCGUGUCUGCAAGCUCCUUAUCAAGGAUCCCGACCAUCCCAACAAAGUCUACCAUCAGUGGGCGACAACGAUUUCGCCUGGAACUAAGCCUGAUACGUUCAGGGGGGAUCUUCUCCCCGAGACGGACUCCACCGUCAAUUACAAGCUCUCCGUGGACCCCGAGGACCCCGAGGACCCCGUGGAAUAUUAUUCGCCGGAGCAGGUUCUGGCGUUUGCUCUCGAGUACCUGGCCAGCGGCUCUGACGGGCCCGCCUGCCCCCUUCCCUGCGCCUCGUGGGAUGCGGAGAAGCAGAGGCUGACCCUCACCAUUGUGCGCGAGUCCAAGCAGGACCCCAUCAAGAAGCCCAAGAAGAGCAACGCGAAAGAGCCCAUCACUCGCGUGCGAACGCCGGACUCCGCGCUGUUCAUGGAGGCCGUCCGUCGCUUCUACCCCUUCGCCAAGCGCGGCCCUGGCGAAGGCCCCCGCCUGCUCAACACCAGACUGGCCGCCAAUGGCGAGUUGAAGAAGUAUUGGCAAGACAAGAUGGCCGCGGCCUACGCCUGGAGCCUGAAGCGGGGCAUCACGUUGUCGCGCGAAGACUUCCAGGCCGACUGGACAAAGUGAGUUUUUGUUCUUCUGUAUUGGCAUGGGAAGGACGCUAGAAUGCGGAGGAAUGUCAGUAGCAUGAGCGAUGAGGAAUAGGGGGAUGAGAGUGGACUUGACCGCGUUGACUUGUUGAACUGACCAUAGUUAAUUCUUUAUACAUAAACUUGCUUCAUCCUACUACUCUUUCACAACAUAUCCAGGAAGGCAACCGACUUCAACGCCAAGCGCACCACUUACGAGAAGACGACCGCAGCCGCCCGCGCUGUCAAGGACAGUGAGUCUGCUUUCUAAUUGUAUAUACUGUAUAAGCACCUUGCAAUGAGUGCGUUGAGAGACAUGCGCGAGAGGCAGACUUUGCGUCAGUUUGACCUGGACCUUCUGCUCCAUCCUCAUGCUUCCACCGCGUGCUUGCAGAGAACCAGCCCAAGAAUGAGCGUGGCUGGUACAAGAACGCAUGGCGCAGCAAGUGGGGCAAGAUGUGGGACGGCUACAAGCGCGACCCUGUGCGCUUCACGGCUGGCGAGAAGCAGACGCUGACGGAAGAGGAGGUCGGUCUUUGCAAGGAGCUUGAGUCUUUGCUGCCAAGCCGGGCUUCCGCGAGCGUCAAGGACGCCAAGGUGUCCUACGGUGCCAUCGACGCUGGGGGCCUUCUGGUGGGUUACUUUCUUACAUAGCCAGACUGUUAGUGCGUGCUUCGCUUACGAGCGCAUCCUUACUGCUGAUACGACCAGGCGCGGUUGUUGGUGAAUGUCUGUUGCGCUUACACAACUCUGCUGCUUCUUGCAGGGACCGCUGGCCAAGGCCUUGAGCGGCCUCUCUUCAAAGACCAAGCGCUCCUCUCUGGGGUCCACAGGCGCCGUCGACGUCGCCGCCGCGCCUCAGCCCAGCCCGCCCAUGCCCCCGCCCAUGCCCCAGUCCGCCCCAGGCGCCAUCGACAAGCUGGCCGCGGCGGGUGCCGAGCGCAUGAAGGUAAGACCACCGUGAUCAUGUUCUCUGCGCGCGUCGUCUAAUAUGGCUCGCUGCGUAAGUCGUUUACUUCUGCACUGGAGAUGGUCCCUUGCGGCAUGGGUGCCAGGCACCACUGCGGACGGACCGUCCCUUCGUGCAAGUUCGCUUUCACAGCAUUGCGGCACACUUGCUGUCAUGCAGGCGAUGGGCGACAAGAAGCGGACGGAUGCGCAGAAGCGCAAGGAUGAGAGGACGGCCGAGGCGCCAGCUAAGGUGAAUGGGUGAAUGGGGGAGCUUCCGUCGUCUGGUUCAGGGUGUGUGUGGCAGCACUGUUGGUGCUCUCGGGUGGGGUUCAGCUAGAAUGCAUUCUAAAUGCAUGUGGUUCUUGGUCUACGCCAGUGUACUCUUGCGUGUUUUCUUUCACCAAUUUAUGAUGGCGAAUCAUUGUUGCGCCUACGCCCCCAUCCCAUGCAGAAGCACAAGGGCGAUGAGGCGGUAGCCCCCGCUGCCAAGGCCAAGACCAAUGCCAAGACUGCCGCUGAGGGCAAGGCUGCCAAGGUUCCGGCCGCGAAGGCUGGCAAGGCCGCCAGGGGCAAAGCCGCCAGGGGCAACGCCGCCAGGGGCAAGUAGACUGCCAAUGCUGGUGCUACAUGGAUUGUACAAUGUUCGGACUAGGCCUAGUACGGCUUAUUCUGGACUUAGCUACCGAGCAUUAGGAUGUUUGGACCCUGUGUAGACCACCUAGCGGUAGUAUGUUCGGACCCUGUGUAGACAUCCACUCCAGCAUGAGCGAGUGGCAUUUGAGGACUGCUGUGCUGCAUGCUGUGUAGACCACCUAGCGGUAGUAUGUUUGGACCCUGUGUAGACAUCCACUCCAGCAUGAGCGACUGCUGUGCUGCAUGUGCAUGACAGUGAGACUGUGAUGGGCGACAGAGCGCCUUGGACUGUGAUGCACUUACUGUCAGAUCGUAGUUGUGUGGAAAGCGAGUGAGAUGGUCGGUUCAGGUAAUCCUGAAACAUGUGUGCAGCCAGGGUCCGCCGCAGAUGUGGGAUAGAGGCAGUGUAACGUGCUCUGGAAUGAAGAGUUUCAUGUGUUUCUCCGUGGAUUGUACGGUACCCCCGUGUUUCUGUUUUCGAAUCGCGUCUCAAGACGCAGUGCGUCUCGUGCAUCGCGUGUGUGUGAGACGCGGCGCGUCUAGGGUAUCAGGCUAGCGUCUGGUGUGACGCAUCGCGUUAGCUAAGACGCGCUCUCCAUGCAAUUGUACCGCGUCACGACUCGCGUUCCAUUGCGUCUCGCAGACGCAGUGAAACGCGCUAUCUGUAAUGGUGCCCCGCUUCACUGUUUCUGGUUGCGUCCCCAUCGCGUCUACCCCGCGUCUCCCCCGCGUUUCCCCCUUAACGCGCAGCGUCUCGGCGCGUCUGACACCGCGUCUCACAGGUCAGACGCGGCCCAGACGCGCCCAGACGCGGUUUCCCGUUGUUAUAGUGUCCAAGUCCGCGCCGGGCCCGCCUGCGCGCUGCAGUGCUUCGGCACCCCCGCCAAACCCGCCGCCCGCACAGCCAACGGGCUUCUGUGCACACGUGCUGCAGCUCCAGCGGCCCAUCGGCACCGCCGUGAGAGGGGGUUCAUGGCAGUUCACGUGAUAGCAGUCGUUGCAGUCAUCGCAAAAUACCAUGUCAAAGACGGCCGUGGCCCUCCUUGCCACCGCGACUCUUCUUGGUGGUGUGCCUGCUGAGUGCCGUUUGCACCGCCCGCCCAGAGCCUCCGGCAGCUUGUCCACGCCUGCAUCAUAAUGCGCUGUUCAAGUACGGAUGCAGUCACGACGGGAUGUAUCAACUUACGAGAGCGGAGCAACUUUGGCGCUUGCGAGCAUGUUCAAGCGUCAGGGGCAACCACCCCUGUACGUUUGUCAAUUGAUUUUGAGAAGGCGUUUGACAAGGUACCCAGAUGGGCGCUGUGGGCAACGUCUGGCCGAAAGAGGAGUACGUGGCCGAAUGAUGGAGGUCCUGAAGCGUUGCUAUGAAAGAGUUUGCCUGCGGGUGAAGGUGAACGGCAAACUGAGCGACGCGUUUGAGUCGCUGCAAGGGGUCAAGCAGGGAUGUCCUAAAAGCACCGACCUGUUUGGCACCUUCAUUGAGGCACUAGCAGAAUACGUGGACGCAUGGGACCAGCAUGAGCCAACUGAACGCACGUGGAAGCAUGAGGCGCCGACGAUAGGUGGCAAACUUGUGGCCUGCCUAUUAUACGCGGACGACCUGACGGUAUGCGCACUGUCCAUCCACCGUAUGCAGUUUUUGCUCAAUAGAUUGCACGAAUUUUGCCAAACCUUUGGUAUGCGAGUCAACAUAGCUAAAUGCGAGAUCAUGGUUUUUGCGGGAAUAGCAACGCACCGGCAAAUCCACGCCGUGUACGCUACGGCCCUUCGGUACCCGUACCCUGGGGGUGUAAGCAUACCGGUGAAGGGGCGAGCGCGGUACCUUGGCCUAUACUACGGCCCGGCCACAACGUUUGAUUCUUGCUACCAAGAGCUAAUAGCUGCGGGCAGGAGAGCUGCGUUUGGGUUGAUAGCGGCGCUAGAUAAGAACGAGUGCUCGUCCGGGCACCAUGCAAGCAUGUUUCGAAGUGCAAGUGAGGUCCGUGCUGUCGUAUGGCGUCGAGGUGUGGGGCCCCGACGCCCUGAGCGCCCUGUUUGAAGGCACGAGCUAUGGCGGCCACGACCGCACCAUGGACAAAACGCUAAAAAGCAAGUGGAGAAAUGCCAAGACUUGGUUUGACAAAGCCCUGAUUGAUCCGAUGGUGGCACUGCAAACAUCUUUCCUGGCACGAGCUGCGGGGGUUCGCAAGCCCACCUACAGGCUGCUUUAUGCUGAGUUUGCCGCACAACCCAUGCAUUUGCACUGGGCGUACAUGGUGUUUGGUUGCUGGAAUCGUAUUAUCAAGCAAGACAAAUCGCUAGCGCACGUGUUUUUGGAAGAUGCCGUAGCAACGGCAGCUGCAGGAGGUUUCGAAGGCAUGUGCUGGGUGAGCAAGGUUUACCGAGUCUGCAAAAAGCUUGGCUACGACUGGUGUACAGAGGGCCCGCAGGGCACAGACGCACUUUGUGAAUGGCUACUGCGCACGGGGCUGCCGAUUGGUAGUUUGCUGGGCAACUUCGCCCACAUGCUUAUGGGUGAAUGGAAGGCAGAGAGCAUAUGCACUGACCCUCGGGCUUUCCCUGAAAGCGGAGGGCACCGUAGUACUGCCGGUGGGCCGGGAGUUAAGAUGUGCCGCUAUACGCAGUGGAUGGGCGUCCCGCAGUUGGAUGCUGCAGUUAAGCAAGGCAUUUUACCGCACAUGAAGGAGUAUGUUACGCACAAGCACCUCAUGGCGCUGAUACGGUUCAGGCUAGGAUGUUGGGAUAUCGAGGUUAAUCGCCCCGUGGCGGGGGGCCGGUACCGUCCGCGCAACGAAAGGGUGUGCAGGCUGUGUCGAGGCGGUGUAGAAGAUGAAAAGCACGUUAUGCUGGAGUGCCCAAUUUAUGCUAACAUUCGGUUGGCUUCUGGUACUACAGGUAGCGAUAUGAAAAAGAUUAUGCUUGACACGGACACGCAAAAGUUGGCUGCCCACUUGUACGCAGUUACGACGCUACGGGCACGGACGCUAUUGAUCUAGGCCAUUUGCCUGUUUACCUAACGCGCCCCCGGACUCAAAGGAGUUAGUGGGGCCACAUGGACUCGAACCCAUGAAUAAUAAUAAUAAUAAUAUCUACGCAGGGCACAGGUACCCGCGUGUCUUAAGGAGGAGUGAGACAAGCUCACCCCACCAUCGGAAAACUUGAUUUCCCUACCCCGGCUCCCCUGCGCGGGGGCCGCCAUUGGCGGCCCCCUGGGUGCGGCCUCCCGGGCGGCAUCGGGUGUUGACAAUGCCCAUCUCUCGCUCUAGUCGGUAGUACAGGUUUGCGGUGCCCCGGAGUGUGGUGACGCUAUGCAUGUGGAGACGUGUGCAGCAGGCCUUGGCUGCCUGCGGUUUGGCUCCUAGGUCUUUGAGGAGAGUUUCAAGGGUACGGGGGACAGUGCCACCGUGGCCCAGUGUAAUAACGUGUUUAGUAUCGCAGUGCACAGUCCACCCUGCAGCUCGCAUGGCAGUGGCAAGGGUGGCGUGCUGUGCUUGUUUUUGAAUGAGCUUCUCGCUGUGGUGCAGGUCAGAGGUGUAUCCAACUUCAAGGAUGUACACUGGGUAGGCCCCUUUGUUGGCUGGUGGGGAUGUCAUGAAGCGUUCUGCUUCGGACCGGGGAAGGUUCGGGAUAAACAGAAUGUCAGGCCGCAUCCUGUUGAGGUCUGCAGCGGGCACUUGCGGGCAGAGCCAGGACGGCGGCCGCAUGCCCGCACAGUACUCAGGCAGUUCAGCUCGGGAGGUGGCAUCGAGUUGGGGGUGCGCGCAGUGGCCGGCAAGGUGACCUGCGGUGCCACGCUCUGGGUCAGAUCCGCGGCUGCGCUGGGUGUGGGCACAGAGACCACAUUUGUCUCGAACCCAUGUAAAUGCUCAUGCUCAUGCUCAUGGCUGAGCAUGCCAGCAAUGACCGCCACAGCUUCCUCCUCGCCGUACUCUUCCUUCACCUCCUGGAAGUGGCCGAGUGCCUCCUCCUGCAGCGUUGCAAGUAUCAGCAAACUACCCGUAGCCGCCCUAGCAUGUGCACUUACCUGCGUCGGCGUGAGCUUGCCCCAUUUCAAGCUGGCAUCCCGCAGCGCCCUGGCCAGGGCUGCCUAUAGCCUUCUUCCUUCAGCACCUGCAGCAGCGAGCCCUCCCCAGCCCCCUUCCCAUCCAUGUUGAAGCGCUCAAAAUGCGUCUGCAGGAGCUGCUGGCUGAGUGCAGUUGCACCUGUUGCAUAGGGGAUGAAAGGAGUUAAUGGGAGCUUGGCACGCAACCGUGCACACGAGGCUUGCACACCUUGCGGCUUGCGGACCUUGCGAGCCGCCACCACCGGGUUGACAAUAAUAAUAAUAAUAAUAAUAAUAAUAAUAAUAAUAAUAAUAAUAAUAAUAAUAAUAAUAAUAAUAAUAAUAAUAAUAAUAAUAAUAAUAAUAAUUACAACGCCGGCCCAUAGGGCCUGGCAUGGAUUAACGGGGCAAGGUGACUAAGGCGAGAGGGCCCGCCCCCCUCACGCUGACGCCUCACCACGAAAGAGUCACAACCUCCGAAACUACAACCUCCAAGUCCUAGGCCGCUCUUCAAAGUCCACUACAUCCAAACCUGCACACCUAGCAUAUCGAGCUAGGGAAACGCCACGUUAUAGUAGUGGAGCACUGCCAGUUCGUGCAAACCGAGGAGCCAUGGCGCUCCUCUUCGAGCCUUGGAUCUUGAGCCUUGUCUUGAACCUUGGACCUCGCCACUAAAUCGGACUUCUGCACCGCGACCUUUCUAGUUUGCAGCGGCAUAAGCCCGCAAUUGCCACUAAGGGCAAUUACCGUGGGAUCACCAAUCGGUUUCGCACCAAUCUUUCGCCUUUUGCAUAGUUGGGCUUUUAUCCGGAUUCGUACCCGGGUCCCUUCUGCCGUAAGGACGAGUCAAAUCGCUAACCAGCUAGGCCGGGGGCCUGAUUGUGCACACCCUCCUCCUCUGGGCCCGAGGCGGGGGGGGUGGGGGUGGGGGCUGUGAUGGAGGUGUGCGAUGCCGCGCGGGACGUAUGGUGAAGGUGUCGGGGUGGGGAGUACGGGGGCCGGCGACGAGGUUUGCUGCAUGUGUACCGCCGCCGUCCUGCAGCCAAGACCUUCGUUGAAGGGCAGCGUGUGUGUGUGUGUGUAAUGCACGGUAUGUGUGUUUUUGUGUGUGUGUGUGUGUGCUUGAAAGGUGUGUCAGCCGUGCAGGCAUUGAUUGGUGCAAAUUAAGCAAGGAGUGUUCACCAGCGCCAUCACUAACAAAACUGAUGAACGGGCUGUGUCGAGGUCGAGCGCUCAUAUGUUACAGGGGCGGUGUUAGUGGCCGAAUUUGCUGAAAUGGCGAAACAGGAGUUGACGAAAUAGGCUGCCACUGCUUCAUGUUUCGGGGGCUCCGCCCCUGACCCGCACAAUGUCAACACUGACACGAUACGCCCACUCCUUGGUGUGUCCUGCUCACCUAAUUCCACUGUCCCGUUAGGGGAAUCCCUGUCUCCCGCCGUCAACACUCAACACGCAUAGAUACAGCCCUUUGAGCGUUGUUACCAUAUGCGACUACUUCUAGCGCUCGGUCAAGGCAAACAUAACGACCGCCCCCAACAUCAUUAGCGCUUCUAUGGUGGUGUCCAUCCGUGAGGCAGACUAUGAACACAUGCAACAGUGUAACAACAACAGCUAUAACAAGAUCGCGACCUCAGCGCUUGUGAUGAUCUGUGGUCAACAGCCGUCAUUGAUGUGCGAGGCCUACGUCUUCCUUGUUGCAAGUCGUGGUGCAACAAUCACGUACAGAUGCAAGCACAGCUGGCGUUGCUUAGGGCACGUGCGCUAGUACCCACGCAAGCUGAUACGGGAGCACGUUGAUGACGUCGGGUGAUGCGCCAUGGCGAGAGUGUAUCAUGUGCAGCAGAGCAGCAUGCAGGCGCCGCCAUUCAUCUACGGAAACGGGCGCGUGCCAGGCCUCCCACAGGUGCACGACUUCGAAUCCGUGGCCGUACACGCUCCACGCCACGUCAGACGUGUUGGUGAUGAUGGGAGGACCGCAAGUGGCUGCAAGUGCGUUGCCGGGCGCGGUGGGAGUGGCUGCAACGGCCAUGCCGUCAGGUGUGGCGCGCAGGACGCGCAGGGUUGGCAGGUUGCGGGCCCAGAGUGCGAAAUUCACGGCACUGGAGAAACUGGAGGGAGCGUCAGGUGGGCCCAGGAGAAUGGCACCGGUCCAUGCGCCGGCAGACUGCACUUGUUGGUGCCCCUGCGUAGGGUGGGGGAUGGCGGGUUGGAGUGGAGGUGUGGGCGUGCAGUGGAAGGCAUGGGGCCGCAGCAGAUUUUGGAUGCGGCAGGUAGAGGACGGGACGUACACCGCACACCUAGACUCCUAAGCACGAUGCUGCUGCUGUGCGAGUCCCUGCCGCACGCGGACGCGUGCCCGCACCUGCUGUAGGAGAAGGUCGUAUGCCCAUUGCAUAGCGUGUUCGCUGCCGCCCAUGGCGAUGGCGUCAAGGUCGAUGCGAGCGCCACGGUCAUGGAGGAGCUGCAGGAUGGGCAGGGGCGCGCCAGUGCGGGCCGCGGAGGUGAAAGCCGAGUUGUAUGCCCAGGUGUCCUGCGGAUGGGCAGGCGGUACGGCUGCAGCCACCAUGGCAACUGUGUCCCAGGAGGAGGUCUGUGCAACCACGUGCAAGUCGCGCGCGGUUAUGCUGAAACCGCAGCGUAGGAAUGCUUCUGUUCGUGGGCGGUUGUCUCUAAGCAGCCUGACGCCCGCGUCGCGGGUGGAGGAGAAGAGCGUACAGUCUGCAUUGCAGUGGCGGGCGGCCAUUUCGCCCAUGUGGAGGACUGUGUCUGCAGCUUCGUCAGGGGUGCCGUGCUGUAGAAGCAGGCGGUUGCGUAGCUCCUGCGGCACAGCCACGCCGGCUGCGGCCAGCGUUGCUAGCACCGCGGAAAUGUUUCUGAGGUUCGGGUCGCGCAGGAACGGGUCAGAGCUCAGGAGGUCUGUUGCGACAGCCUGCCAGCCUUGCGGUGCGCGCAGCAGCAGCAGCUGGAUACUGUCUGUGUUGGGCACAGGCAGUUGAGACGCUGUGAGUGUGAUGCUGCGGCAGACGCGCAGCACGACUGAGGGAUCGGGCGGCUGAGGUGCUGGUGGCUGCGGCAAGGCUUCGUGAAUGGCUGGCUGUUGUGGUGGCGGCGCAGGCGCUGCUGGCGGAGCCACAGCUGGGAAGGCAGGUGGCUGUUGCGCUGGCGGCGCGUCCACCACGGGCGGUUCUGCUGCUGGGUCCGCAGGCGGCGGCAGCGGCAAGCUGUGCGGCCACUCAGGGAUGUAGGUGGUGAGCACAUGGUACAGGAACUGGGUGGAGCAGCCUGCUGCGAUGCCGUCCAUGAUUUUGGCUCGCCAGUACGCACCAUACCAGCUGUACGGCGGGGCAUGUUGCAGGGCGCGCUCGACUAGGGCUGUGUGUCCGCGUGCGGCCGCCGCCUUGAUGCUGCUUGCGGGAAGGGUGUGCCAGGCGUCGUGCUGUGCGAAUUGGGUGUUAAGGAAGUCCAGCACACUGCUGUGGCCGCCGAUGCAAGCGCCCUGUUGCGUGCUGGUGUACAGCUCUUGCCAGUCUUGAGGGUCUGCGUGUGCUACUGUGUCGAAGAGGAGCGUGAGGACAUCAAGGUGCCCGGCGCUGCCGGCGGCCACGAAUGCUGAGCAGGUGAGCGCGCAGCCGUGGCUGAUGAGCUGUUGGCAGAGGUGCACCAAGCCAGCCUGUGCGGCUGACGCCAGUACCUCUGUGUUCAUUGCGACACCGCUGUACUGGAUUGCUGCAGUGGCGCUGGCUGCGUGCCCUGAUGCCGCUGCGAGGCAUGCUAGCCGGCGUCGUUGCGACAGGGAGAGGUGGGCCCAGGCGGCUGCGGUGGCGAAGGUCUCCUGGAAUGCGCGGCCGGGCCAGCCCGGUGGUGGCACGUGCGUGUCAAGCCGCCAAUGUCGCGAGUAUCCAGUGUACGUGUGCGGGCCGGCGAGAAACACGCGGCGGUGCUGAGGCGCGGAAAGGCUGUUGCGCAGGAAGCGCGAGGUGCGGCGGAGCGCAGUGGCCCCAUCAGCGGUGUUGAGGAAGGUUGCGAUAUGGAGCCAAAGGUCGGCGGGCAGGUUCUGCCAGUCCGGGGCCAUGUCGGUGCUAAUGUUGAGGCACGUGCAACUAGAGUGCGGGAUGUGAAGGCGCUGGAUACCGGGCGUGAGGUUGGAUACGUAAUGUUGUAUUUGGUUUCAGCCUUUGUGUUCAGCGUAGGCAUGGGUGUGAUCGGGAUGAUGGGCGACUGGCGGAUUGCCGGUCGCAAAGCUUGCCGGAUGGUUUAAUUAUAUAGAUGUCGUGGUUUAAUAAUAUAGACUUGGAAUCCUCGUGGUGUAUUUAGAUAGACCUGGAAUGAGUCGCGUUCGGUGCGAGGCCGAGUUGGAGAGCGCGCGCAAGAAGCCGCGGCAGGAGGCGAACGAUGUGCUGAUCGUGCCGUUCGGGCCGAUGUCUGCGGAGGCAGGCGAGGCGGUUGAAGCGCAGCGGUAGGUACCAGCGCUGGGAAUCGGAUAAGCCUGGCGGCUCAGCGAUCGGGCGCGCGAUGAAGCUGGGCAGUGGCUUUUUUGCGGGUGCUGACAGCAGGGAUGUGGCUGGGUGCAUGGCAAAGGCGGAGCGGCAACGCUGGGAGGCGGUUAAGUGAUUGCGUGGGAAUGUGCUGCCCUCGCCACUGGAAAUGCAGAUCGGAGCGCGCCAAGGCCGACGCGCUGCUGGGCGCCAACAUGCUGCUGCCGCCGUAUCAGGGCCGGCUGGUGGCGCAUCUGCGCGCGCGGUACGCCUUUGUUCCGAUCCCGGGGCAGACCAAGCUUCGCAAGGUGUACGCGUGCGAGACUCCGGCCUGCAACGCUCGUAUGGAGUGGGUUGCCAAGGAUGCUACCGCCAAGGCCUGGCUCGUUUCGCAUAGCCCGCACAGCCAUGCGGCAGCCGCGCCGACGCCUACGGCGACACCCGGCCAGCUGACAAGGUGUGUUUGAUGGAGUGGGACCGUGUGUGUUAGUGUGCGCGUGUGGGUGCGGGGUGGGGGUGGGCGUAGGGGGAGGGGGGCAGGCGGAAUCGGGGCCAGGCAAGCGGGCGAGAGGUACAGGAGCUCGCAGUGGGCGCGAGGUACAUAGGACCGCACAGGGGUGCUUUGUGGGGCGCUGUUUUGAGCGGGCAUUUGCGCACGUGCCGUGUAUAUACAGGCAAGCGCUGCGCAACAAGAACUUCUGCAUCGCCAAGAGUUGGGUGGAGACGUUCAAGCGUACACUGGUCGCCGCUGAGCUGAGCAGGUGCAGUAGGUGUGCGCGGCCCUGUUGUGUGCAGUCCAGCGGGAUGUCUCAGCACAGCAAGGGCAGGGCACCAGCGUACUGAGAUCGGACAGGUCUGCUGCGCGUGUGGCAUGACUCCCCCGGUGCGGGGGACUCAGGCGAAGCGCCGGUCGCUUGCGGCAGGCGUGGCUGCCGAUGCUGUCGUCGGCAGCACCAGGCUCUGCAUCGCCCCAGUUGUGUGGGGCCCGCAUCCUGGGUAGUGCAGCGUUGGCAGGGGGGCAGUUGCGCGGGAGUAGUUGCGUGUGGGAGGUGGAGGGAGGUGCAUGCGCAAGAUCUGUUGCAGCAGUGGCAUGACUCCCCCGGUGCGGGGGACGUAGUCAUUGUUUGCACACUCCGGAUGCACAGGCCCGGACUGCCAGCCCGUGCACCCCGCACACGCCGACAAAGGAGCGCUCAUAAGGUCUACGUCAUAGAAGUCGGAUACUGCUCGGACCUAAACCACCCGGACAAACGCGCAGAGAAGCUGCAACAACACGAAGACCUCGUGGCCGCUCUCCGCGACGCAGGCUGGGACGUGAUGUACAGCCCAGACACUGUAAUUAGCCUUGGCCAUACUGGCACGGUCACACCCCACCUUCAUGCCCUCCUCAAAACACUCGGAUGCCCCACACAGUCCGCACACAGCACAUGCCGUAAACUAGUGCAGCACGCCAUCCACACCACAACCGCCAUCACAGCCCUCCGCCGCGAAAUCUACAGCCACAAAUGGCCAGGGAGACCACCAUAAAACCGUAUGACCCGCUGUGGGAAAGGGGCCAGGCCCAGUACGCCUAGGCGCACUGGCAACCUCCCCUCUCUCACUUGGGGGACAGGGGCUCAGCGGCGGAGACCAUCUAUGCGGUGGUCUCUCACGCCCUCACACCCCUACCUCCGCAGAACACGCCCUGUCAUGCAGGGAGUACCUAUUAUUAUUAUUAUUAUUCAUUGUUUGCAGCGGCAGGCUCUGCGUUGCCCCCGUUGUGUGAGGCUCGCAUCCUGGGGAGUGGGGUGUAGGCGUGGGUAUGGGUGGGCGCCUUGCAUGAGUGAUUCACACUGACCAUUGUGCCUGCAAUUGUGUGUUCUGUGCAUGGAGGCGCGAGGAGGGUGCUGCGUCAGCGGAAGCUGCGCAGGAGCUGCUUGUGCAAGGCGUGGCCAGCAGCAUCGGGUGGGUUUGCUUGUAUGUGCGGAUGUGGGCAGGGCAGGCAGGAACAGUGCAUGCCAACUGCUGCAAGGCACUUUGCUGACGCUGCGCACAUGUUUGGGUACCCGCAUGGUUGCAGGGAGGGGCAGUGGUGCAAGCUGCGCCCGGAUCUGGAUGCGCUCGGCGUGAAGCUCGACGCCAACGGCAUCGUCACGCACCUCAAGUACGCCCUCGCGCCGCCCAAGCCGCCCAGCGCGCACCUCGUGGAGGUGAUGCAGGCGGGUGCCAUCCGCGACAUCCUGAUGGGCAUGGGCUGGGCCGCGCUGCCGGAGCAGCAGGUUCGGGUGUUCGACAUUGACCUUGCCGCUGCGGAUGCGCUCGCGCUGGAGGCCCUGCAAGGGUGGGCACGCAUAGCGGGGGUGGCGCUGCAAGGCGAAGGCCAGAAGCUGGUGCGGCGCCAGCAGGGGCUUAGCACCGGCGGCGACAAAACCUCGUGGUACCAGCAGUGGUUUGCGGAAUGCCCGUUCGGCCUGCUGGAUGUCACCGGGCAGGACGUGCGGGUCUGUGCCGUGCGGCGCACAGCAGAUGGUGGGCUGCAACGCGCGCCGCUGGUCUCUGUAGGGCAGGUGCGAACAAGCUGCGGGCCGGGCGUAUGUUGUUGCGUGUUGUCGGUUGUAUGGCGGUGUGCGUGUUCACCAUGCUGCUGUUGUGCUUGCCUGCAGGUGUCGGGCGAGGCGGGGCGCGCUCUGCGCAACAAGGUGGAAUAAUAAUAAUAAUAAUAAUAAUACCUACGCACGGACCAAGGUCCCGCGUGCCUUAAGGAAGAGUCCCAUCGAGGCUAACCCUACCGUAUCUCUGUGGGACCUUGGCAAGAGGCACCCCACGCAUCCACCUUCACUCAGUCCAUAGGAACCGAAGUUCUGGACCUAUCGGCCUACCAACUCUCCGAAUUCGGCCAUCGUGAAGUUUCCACGUUGCAACAAUGGGAUCCGAACCCAGAGAGUCGCUACAACGCUUCCGUCAGUACCGCGGACUCCAUACCGGAAUACUGACUCGGUUCCCCGGGCAGGAUCCGAACCUGCAUCUAUACUUGUCAGCCUCAACCCGGCCGAAUCCGCGAUUCGAACCUGGGUCUGCCAUGUGACAGCGGCAUGCUCUACCAAUUGAGCUACCGGGG
rnacentral:lncRNA from 1 species